rnacentral:lncRNA from 1 species
UCAAAUUUUCUAUUAAAUUGCUGACGUGGCACUUGUGCGGAGCCCACACAUUCAAUAAUAUAAAGCCACGUGGCUUUAAAUAAAAUAAAUAAAUAUUUUAAAUAUUUUAAAACUUUUAAUUCAAAAAAAUAAAAAUAAAAACUGCACCAUGACCAUCCCCUCUGUGUCCUCCCUUUGCUAGCGCUGCGCCUCCCCCCUUGCAAACACACUCUUUGCCUCUCUCUCCCUCCUCUUCCUUCACUACAGUCUAAUCCAACCAAACAUUGCCUGGUUCUGCUUGUGAUUGGACAUGGGCAGUAAAAGAUUGCUGUUGGCUACGAAAAUUUAAGGGAAAACAGAUUUUACAGAGUAGGAGAUGUAGAGGAAAGAGAUCAAAAGCAAGAAACAUAAUGUGAUCGUUGUGGAGGUCCAAGAGUAGAGGCCUUCUACAAGGUCAGCCAAAGAUCACAUAUAGUCUUUGGCAUUGCAGCCUUAGCCAAAGCAAAAGUCAAAGCCUUUGGCUUUGUAGAAUUUUUUUUUUUUUAAAAAAAAACAAAGAGAGAGAGAAAGAGACACAGGGACAGGGAGAGGGAGAGGGAGAAGGGAGGAAGAUGAGGGAGAGAGAAGCAAAAGAUGGGUAUGCGAGGGGAAAGGGCGCUGGCAGAGUAAGAAUGCAGAGGGUGCAGGUAUUUUUGUUUUUGUUUUUAUGGAUUUAAGUUUUAAAAUAUUUAAAAUAUAUUUUAUUUUAUUUAAAGCCAUGUGGCUUUAUAUCAUUGGAAGUGUGGGUUCCACACAUGUGCCACGUUAACAAUUCAACAGAAAUUUGACGGAAGCUAACGGCAGGGACCAUUUUGAUGUGUAGAGGGUAACCUUAAGGACUAUUAGUGUCACCAAAAAACGUUAGGGACGAAAGGUGAUAAUUUCGCAAACGUCAAGGACCAUUUGUGAUAAAAAGCCUUUAGUCUUUUCAGCUAUCCUGAUUGUGUCGAGAAAUUGGCAUCUCAUCCGUUCUUGUUAAGCUCUGAAGAAAGGAUGGGUAUGUUUGCUCGUUAUCUUCGUAAGUGGGAAAAGGUUGCUACAUGUACAGCAGUGAAAAAAGCUUUGCAAUUAUCCGAUUUCGAUAGGUUCAAAUCCUGGAACUCUACUGAAGUCCUUGGUUCCAUGGAUAAUUUUAUAAAAAAAUCUUAUGACAGUCAUUAUGGGAACUACACUGGGGAAGUGGUAGACCUUCUUAGUUUCUUGAGGAAUUUGAAUAAUCAUUAUCAUCAGUUAAAGGCUUUCUCUGUUAAUGUCGUGGAUGUGGACCGUGGUGUUCAGAAGCUGUUUCCUGGGUUUUUGGAGCUCCUGUACCAACAUUUGGAGAAAUUAUAGAUUCUAUACAAAUAUAUAAAAAGAGGAUGCAUGUAAGACAAGCUUAUAAGGGUGUUUUUUAUUUUUUAUUUUUAUCGUUUUAAUUAGCAGAUAUUUGCCAAAUAGCAUGACUUGUAUUACGCAUAUCAAGCAAACCUGCACAGCAUAGCAUCAAUCAAAACCCAUUUUUUGUUGCCUUUAACCCAACCUCAUGUGACAUGUUGGCAAUAUUGCGCUGCUUUAUUAGCCAUAGUAGCUUCCGCAUAAAAUAGUGAAACAACCCAAUUACUAGAAUGAGCAAGAAGAUGAACGCAUUGUUGCGUGUGUAAUUAGUCAUACGUAGUAAUAAUUUUGGAAGUUCAAGUAUCAAAUCUUCAAGGAGUAAGUAGGCAAAUGUCUGAAUACAAAGAAAUAAUUAAGGAGGCAUUUGGUAUCGUAUUCAAAUUGGGAACUCAAAAAUUUUGAUUUUUCUUAAAAACAAGGAGUUCUUAAAUCUAUUUUUAAGAUUCAAAAACUUGUUUGGUAUGAAAACUGUUUUCAAAUCUUAAAAAUUUGAGAACUUGUGGGUUGUUAGAAAAAAAAACUGAAAAAACAUAUAUUUUUUGUUUUUAAUAAUUGGGGUUUUUUUUUUUAAUUGUUCUUGAGUUUGAGUUUUUAAAAAUAGGGCUACCAAACAGGCUUUCUUUGUUUUUGACUCAAAUUCUGUUUUUAAGUUUAAAAAGUUGGAUUCAAGUUGAAUACUAAACAGGCCCUAAACAUACCAAAAUAAAAGUGACAAACAAAAUGGAAAAGUAAUUUUAUUUGAGUCUUGUAGAGAUUCAGUUUAAAAAAACAAAAUACCAAUAAUGGAAAUGCUAAGACAUCAAGGUUCAAUCCUUUAAGCAAAAUAUGUUUCAUGCUCUUUAAUCAAAAUUAGUUGACAGGACCCGCCCCGAAUUCCUCGAAACCUGAGACAAAUCCUGUGAAAAUUCCGACAUCAUACCGAUGCCGGACCCACUUACUAACGACCGAGACUUUCAACUAAAAUUUUGGCAGAGUCUCACCUGUAAAUUGAACAAUUCCAAAAAUUUCAACAUGCAUAAAACACAUUUAAUAUCACCAACCGGCAGCAUGCACAAGGUAAUUUCAUGCAAUUCACAUAAUCGGCCCUCGGCCUUCAAAUAAUUCGAAACAAAACUUCCAACAUGCAAGGUUUGAACCUCCUAACACAAUCACAAAUCGUUUAGGGCCUUAGCCUAAAUCGUACAACAAUCCAAAAUGAGUUUUAUACCUAUUUUAACCAGAACACACUUACGCAAUCCUCCUUCAGCCAAACAGAGUAUGAAUAAUUAUUUACUUACAUCUCGUUUUCAACCGAAUUUUAGGACCAACCUCAAUAAAGCAACAUAAAUAAAAUUUAGUUCGCGGCUGCACCUAGGUAAGACGUCAGGCUACCUACGUACCCUUACUGAGGGAUCAAGCCACACGUAGUUCUUUCUUCCAUAGUCAUGCACCAAAUGAUAUACAACCGUUUCAGUAGUACAAUUAAGUUAUUUCAAGAGUUAUCUUUCCCCGUUUUAAUUUAAAUCACAACAACCAAACAUAAUUCUUUUUAUACUCCAACCUUUCUCCGAUAUAGUAAAAUAAUCCCUUAUUUCUUUUCCCUGGUAGUGUCUCACACUCCAGAAAAUCCAACGCCACGUGUGAGACCUAAUAAUCACAUAUUCUUCACAUACAUCGGAAAAUCCAAAGCCACGUGUGAGACCUAAUAAUCACAUAUUAUUCCCAUAAGCCGAAAAAUCCAACGCCACGUAUGAGGUGUCUCACAUGCCGGAAAAUCUAACGCCACGUGUGAGACUUAAUAAUCAUAGCCAAGCCCGCGACUUAUUUUCACCACUCAUCAGAUCAAUUUACCCAUACUUAUCUAAUCCAUAAUUUCAAUUAUUAAAAUAAUAUCUAAGAGUUUUCAUACGCUAACAUAAAACACUCAAAAUCCCCCCAUAGCCAACAUAACUCAACUAACGGUCGAGACUCGUUAAUAAGGUUGUUCUAGUACUCCUCGAAUAGGAAAACUAUAUCGGAAGACUCACGAUCACUCGAGAGGUCAAACUACCCCAACUUGGUCAACCGGGCCCACGGGGCCCCGACCUCCGUUUUACGAUUUGAAAGUUCAUAUGGGUUCCACAAGGGUUGGGAUACAUGUCCUGCAAGUUUGGUUCUGAUCGGAUUGUCGGAUAGCUCACGAUGGGACGGUUACUUUACACCUAGCCAUAGGGUUGGCAUUUUCGGAGUAUCCGGGACUCCGUUUUACGAUCCGUUUAAUCCUACACGAUCCUAAGGAUGUCUAUAUUAUCAUAUAUUAAUUUCAAGACGAUCCAAUGGUUCAAACUUAUCGAACCCAUAUAACACACAAUAGGCGAAAUCCGUUCAAAGUUCAAACAGUAUCCAAAUUGAAAUUCGAGCACCCCUACGCGCUCGUGAGAACCUGUGGAUCACAUCAGGGCACAAUGCCCCUUUUCUAUAAUGCCCACGCGCCACCACAAGCGCUGGUAGCGCGUGGGUGUCUAAAGCAAUAACCCUUUGCCACAACUUAAGGCUCCUACCCUAGGUUUAACACUCUAUUUGGAGUCACUUUUUUUCUUGAACAUACCCCAAAAAAUGGCCGGAAGUGGCCGGAAUGGCAAUCCCCAAAACCAGCCAAAAUCCAAUUCAAAAAUCGAGCUACCAACACUCAAAAUUAAUGAAAUCCUACCCAACCAUCAACUAGAUUAUGAAGAAUAUAUGAAUUUCCAUACCUUGAUCGCCAAAAAUGGUGACCGAAGGAGAUAGAUCAGAGCCGGAGAAGUUUCGAGCGAAAACCGGCCUAAAAAUCACAUUUUUCGGCAGCUGAAGCGGCGGCCGGUGUCGGGAAAGGGCCGGAUCUUGACGACGGGGCUGAGCCGGUCCUUUUGGCACCGGUCCCGUCUGUUGCCAUAGCCGGAGUUUCGAAGAGAGAGGGAGAGGGCUGUCGUCGGGGGGAGAGAGAGAGAGAGAGAUUCAGAUUUUAUCAAACCCUUUUCGCAAAAAUUACGAUUAUGCCACUGAGGGUAUUUUGAUCAUAUCUUUUUCAUUACAACUCCGAUUCGGGCCCACUACAUGUCUAUAGACUCAUCUCGCCGUGCUCUACGAAACGGUGUAGUUGAAAUUCCCAAAUUCUUUCCUGGUCAAAAAGUCAACUUUAAACCUAAUAAAAUAUUCUAUAGGCAAAAUGGUCUUUUACCUAAAUAAAUUAAUAAUUACUUACAUUAUAACUCGAUUAAAAUUAUCAUAGAAAAACUUUAAUAGGAAGAUGAAGAAAUUAAAACUAAUUUAGUUUUUCAAUGUUAUCUUUUAUCAAUGAAGAAAUUAAAACUAAUUUAGUUUUUCAAUGUUAUCUUUUAUCAAUGAUUUAGAUUGAUAGAUUUCUCAAGUAAUAGAUUUGAAGGAGAGAUUCCAGCAGGUGUCAUCGGGAAUCUAAGAGGCCUUCUUUUCCUUAACUUUUCCAACAACGCUCUCACUGGUCUCAUCCCGUCAUCUUUAUGGAACUUGACGGCUCUUGAAUCGUUGGAUCUCUCCCAAAACCAGCUCUCAAGAGGGAUCCCCAAUAAUUUGGCACAACUCACUUUCCUUGAAUAUUUCAAUGUAUCCUAUAACCAUCUUUGGGGUCUUAUACCACUUGGCCAACAAUUUGGUACAUUAGUAGAAGUUUCAUACCAAGGAAACUCAGGUCUGUGUGGAAAGCCUUUGUCAAAGAAAUGUGAUAGCUCAAUAUCGCUACCGCCAUCAAUCUUUGAAGAAGAUGAAGAUUCCGGGUUUCAAAUUGCACUAGAUUGGUAUGUGGUUCUGCCAGGAGUUUUUAGUGUGGCUGGGAACUUUUGGACAAGCAAGAAUCAUGAAUGGUUUUUAGAGAAAUUUAGCAGAAAGAGGCAGCCAAGAGUCACACGGGGAAGGAAAGGACACAGAAACUAGGUACUUAUUUUAAAUCUAUGUUUAUCUUGCAGCUGCAGCUGCUGUUGUUUUGAAUAAUUGUAUGGGGUCUGGUGCAUUCUGUUUUAUUACAAUAAGGGUGGUGGUGUGUAUUUUGCCUGUAUUAAUUUGUGGUGCUGUAAGUUGCUUGUAUUAAUUUUUACAACAAGUAAGCAAAGAGAAAGACAGCUCAUUUUCCAUUUCCAAAAGUAUCUGUUUUUUUUUCCUUCAUCCUCUCCUUUAAUUCGUGCUUUUGAACGUUAUUUAUAUAUAAUAAUAAUAAAGCAACUUUUUUGAAAUUUUGAGUAGAUUCGUGACUAAAUUAAAGGGAUUGUGAGUGUUUUAAUACUUUAUUUACUUGGUAGUUAGAACCAGCUUUAAGACUUUGAAUGGUUAGCUUUGGAAGACUUUGAAGACGAUAAACUUCUCCACCUUCAUGGCUUCUUCUCUUUGAUUCCCUUACUUUUUAUUUCGAUUCUUCUGUUUUUUUUUUUUCUUCCCUUUUUUAUACUUUCUCUAGUUACAACUACGUUUGUCAUGAGUUGUGCGUCUAUAAAAGGAGUUUAUAAUUUCUCCACCCUUAAUUGUGUGAGAGCCAUAAUUAAGCAUACAUAAUUAGAAAACAAAAUUGCAAUGGGAAUGGAAUCGUGGCGGUCGAAGUUCAUUUCUCUACAUUGUUUUAUUUUUCUGUCACUCAUUGCUACUCACUGUUUUUUAUUUGUGCAGACUCAGGCACUUGCCCAGGUUGAUGAGUGCUCAGCGUUGCUGCAGUUCAAGGAAAGCUUUGCAAUUAACAAGUCUGUUUCUGCAGAUCCUCUUGCUUAUCCGAAGGUUUCAUUUUGGACGCGAGAAGGAGAUGGGAAUCGGAGUAAUUGUUGUUCAUGGGAUGGUGUUGAGUGUGAUGAAGACUUUGGCCAUGUUGUCGGCCUUGAUCUCCGAAGCAGCUGUCUCUACGGUUCUAUCAAUUCCAGCAACACUCUCUUCCGCCUUGUUCACUUGCAGAGGCUUGACCUCUCAGAUAAUCACUUCAAUUUCUCUCAAAUACCAUCAAGAUUUGGUCAUGAUCUUUCGAGCCUAACAUAUCUCAACCUUUCAUAUUCCUUAUUCUCUGGCCAAAUUCCAUCAGAAAUUUCAAAGUUAUCGAAGCUGUCUACCCUUGAUCUGUCUUUCAAUGGUCCGAAAUUUGAUGCUUAUGGUAUCCCUUUGAAACUGACCAAGGCCAACAUGAGAAGCCUGGUUCAGAACUUGACCACCAUAAAACAACUUCAUCUUAAUUGGGUAGAGAUGUACUUCACUGUGCCUGAUAUCUUGGUCAACGCAUCUUCUCUCACAUCUCUCCAACUUCGCGAUUGUGAGUUGAAUGGGGAAUUCCCAGUAGGCAUCUUCCACCUACCAAACUUAGAGGUUCUUGAUGUGAAUGGUAACUCAAACCUUACCGGUUAUUUCCCUAACUUUAACAAGAGCAAUGUUUUCAAGAAAUUGAAUGUUGGGGCCACAAAUUUUUCUGGUAUGCUGCCUGCUUCUAUGGGAAACCUUCAUUCCUUAAAUUUUUUGGACAUCUCUUGGUGUCAUUUUUACCCCCUUAUUCCAUCUUCACUCGGAAACCUUACCCAGCUCAACUACCUUGACAUGAUUUCAUUUAAUGACAUUCCAAAUAAUAAUUCCACAGGCCAAUUAGUUUCUGAAUAUUCCUUGUCUUGGAUAGCAAGUUUAACCAACCUCUACAGUUUGUCCCUUUGGGCCAACAAAUUCAGGGGGAAAUUCCCAAGUUUUGUGGCCAACCUCACGCAACUUUCAUUUCUACAAUUGGGUGGUAACGAAAUAACUGGUCAAAUCCCAUCUUGGCUUAUGAAUUUGACCCAGUUAACUACUCUAUACCUCGUGGGUAACAAUUUGAGCGGAGCAAUUCCUAGGUCACUCUUCCAGCUCCAAAAUCUUGAAAUUCUUGACCUUUCCUCUAAUAGCUUGAGUGGACAAGUUGAGUUUGAUCAGUUUUCCCAGCCCAAAAAGUUAAAGGAACUUCGAUUAGCAUACAACAAGUUAUCUCUGCAGAUCAUAACCAAUUUGAGUGCUACUGUUCCACAGCUUGAACUUCUAGAUUUGACGUCAUGCAACUUAACAGAGUUUCCAGAAUUUUUAAAAUAUCAAUCCGAAUUGCGCUUCUUACAACUUAGCGACAACAACAUUCAAGGGCAAAUACCAAAAUGGGUGUGGAAUGCAACUAGAGAAACUUUGUUGCUUCUCGACCUCUCUUCCAACUUCUUAACGGGAUUUGACCAAAAUCCAAUCAAUCUUCCAUGGCAGAAUCUAUAUGCUUUAGAUCUCCGGACCAAUAUGUUACAAGGAUCACUGCCAAUUCCACCACAAUCAAUCAUAAACUACGUGGUCGGCAGCAAUCAUUACAGUGGAGAAAUUUCGCCCUCGUUCUGCAACUUGAAUCAUUUGCACAUUCUUGAUUUGUCCAACAACAGCCUGAGUGGCAUGCUUCCACAAUGUUUGGGGAACUCCAGUGCUCUUGAAAUAUUGAUGCUGAUGAACAAUUCAUUUCAUGGCAGUAUUCCUCAAAUAUGUCCAGUCGCAAAUAGUUUGAAAAUGGUUGAUUUGAGUUACAAUCAGUUGCAGGGAAAAGUACCAAGAUCAAUGGCCAAUUGCACUCGAUUAGAGUUUCUUAACCUUGGAAACAAUCAUAUGCGUGACAUCUUCCCAUCUUGGUUAGGGGCACUUCCAGCACUACAGUUUCUCAGUUUGAGGUCUAAUGGAUUUCAUGGCAUGAUUGGGAAGUACGCGACUAACCAUGACUUCCCAAAGUUGUGCAUCAUUGAUUUAUCUGACAAUGGUUUUUCAGGUGUGUUGCCCUCUAACUGCUUAGAGAACUGGAAUUCCAUGAAAUUUGUUGACGAGAGCCAGCAAACUUAUUUUCAAGUCAUUUCGACAUCAUACAACAACUCAGCUAAAUAUUCGUAUAGCUUUUCUUAUCCAUACUCAAUCACGACUUUCGCAAAAGGUGUUGAGUUGAAAUUUAUAUGGACUCCUUAUCUUCUUAGAUUUAUAGAUUUCUCAAGUAAUAGAUUUGAAGGAGAGAUUCCAGCAGGUGUCAUUGGGAAUCUAAGAGGCCUUCUUUUCCUUAACCUUUCCAACAACGCUCUCACUGGUCUCAUCCCUGCUAAAAUAUGAAAAACUAUGAGAGAAUAUUUGUUUGUGGGAAUUUUCUGUGUAUUCUUCUCCUUGUAGGAGGUCAUAUUUAUAAUACAACGAAACCUGAAUGGGCAAGUAAAUAAUAAAUUCCUAAAUCUAUUUACAGUAGGAAAUCAGGAAUUAAAGUAAAUCAAUUACAAUUAUAAUAGGAAUUCUUGGUGUGUAAGGAAAGUAAGUCAAUAUCCACAAGUCACGCCAAUACUCCCCCUCACGUUGGUGCAUAGAUGUCGCCAAUGCCCAACUGAUCCAGUGAAUUGUGGAAUGCUUUACUGGAAAUCGCCUUUGUCAAAAUAUCCGCCAAUUGAUCCUCGGAUUUCACAAAAGGAAACUGAAACACUUUAGCUUCAAGCUUCUGUUUGAUGAAGUGUCGAUCUACCUCAACAUGUUUAGUACGAUCAUGCUGAACCGGAUUCUGUGCAAUGGCUAUAGCAGCCUUGUUGUCACAAAAGAGAUUCAUUGUGGAUGUAGGUUUAUACCCGAGUUCAAUAAGCAACUUUCUUAACCAAAGAAGUUCACAAAUCCCUUUAGUCAUGCCUCUGAACUCGGCUUCUGCACUGGAUAAAGCUACUACAUUCUGUUUCUUGCUCCUCCAUGUCACCAAAUUACCUCCCACGAAUGUGAAGUAACCCGAUGUGGAUUUUCUAUCUGUUACAUUACCUGCCCAAUCUGCAUCUGAAUAACCAUCAAUAUUUAGAUGACCAUGCUUUGAGAACAUAAGUCCUUUUCCAGGUGCAGACUUCAAAUAUCUAAGUAUCCGAAGAACUGCAUUCAUGUGGUCUUCACUUGGAGAGUGCAUAAAUUGACUGACAACGCUCACCGCAUAAGCAAUGUCUGGUCGAGUAUGUGACAAAUAGAUCAAUCUUCCCACUAACCUUUGGUAUCUUUCUUUGUUAGUUGGAACUUGAUCCGGAUAUUCUCCAAGAUGAUGAUUCUGAACAAUAGGAGUGUCCGCAGGUUUACAAUCUAGCAUUCCUGUGUCUGUCAACAAGUCUAAGACAUAUUUCCUUUGAGAGAGAAAUAUGCCUUGCUGCGAUCGAGCCACCUCAAUUCCCAAGAAAUACUUGAGUCCACCUAGAUCCUUCAUCUCAAACUCCGUAGCCAGAUAGUCUUGUAGCUGUGAUAUUUCCUGUUUAUCAUUCCCAGUAAUAAUCAUAUCAUCAACAUAGAUUAUUAAUGCUGUUACCUUCCCUUUUUGAUGUUUCAAGAACAGAGUAUAAUCUGAGUUGCACUGUUUGAAACCAUUGUUCUUCAUUGCCAUGGUGAACCGUCCAAACCAUGCACGUGGUGACUGUUUCAAUCCAUACAAUGCUUUUCGUAACCUGCAAACUGUUCCAGUCUGAGUAGUAUUAUAUCCAGGAGGAAUGUCCAUGUACACCUCCUCUGUGAGUUCACCAUGUAGAAAAGCAUUCUUUACAUCAAACUGGUGUAGUGGCCAAUCCAAAUUAGCUGCAAGGGACAAUAAGACUCUGACGGUGUUUAACUUUGCAACUGGUGCAAAAGUUUCUUCAUAGUCUAUACCAUAAGUCUGUGUGUACCCUUUUGCCACAAGUCUUGCCUUGUAUCGCUCGAUAGAUCCAUCUGCAUUGUGUUUUAUAGUAAACACCCAUCUACAUCCGAUAGUCUUUUUUCCUCGUGGUAUAGUCUCUAAUGUCCAAGUCUGAUUUUUCUCAAGAGCUUUCAUCUCCUCUUUUAUAGCUUGGACCCACUUAGGAUCUUUCAAUGCUUCAGAGACCUUGGUUGGAAUAUGGAUAGCAGACAACUGAUGCACAAAAGCCUUGAGUGGUUCAGACAGCUUCUCAGUGGAUACAUGAUUUGCAAUUGGAUACUUGGAUGUCUUGCCAAUAUCCGGUGAAUAACGGUUUGGUGGCUUCCCACGAUUUUGCCUGAAAGGUAAUUGAUAUCCAAUAGUUUUAUCAUCUAAAUGCACAAGUCUAGUAGGAGUAGUUACCUCAAGGAUAUUCUCAGGAGAUUGGUCUGUUGGUACUGUUGAGUUAGAAGGGGGGUCUUCAUCUUGUUGUUCUGUAUUGUCUGUAGAUGUGGGACUCGGAUCAGAAAUAUCUUCACAUGGAUCAGGUGGGUCAGGCAAUUGAUCGCUAUGAAUGGGCGAUUGGUCACUUUUCAACAGAGAGUAAUCUCGUGCUCCAGACUCGGGAUGAUCAAUCAUUUCUGUACAUGGGAGGAUUUCUUUGUUUGCCAAGUUGCUCCAAUUCUGUGCUUCACUUUGUAUCUCCCCCUGAAGCACAGAAUUGGAUGAUGGGUCAUGAAAGAACAGCUCAGAUUCCAGAAAAGUCACAUCCAAAGUGACAUAGGUUCGUUGGGUAGGAGGGUGAUAACAACGGUAACCUUUCUGAUGAGUGGCAUAACCCACAAAAACACAACGAAGCGCACAGGGAUCAAGUUUGCUACGUUGAUUUUUGUGAAGAUGAACGAAAGCCACGCAUCCAAAGAUUCGGGGUGUGAGUACCAAAACAGAGGGCAGAGGUCUGUGUUGCGCAAGCACCUGCAAAGGAGUUUUAAAGGUCAAUACACUAGAAGGCAUGCGGUUGAUCAGGUGAACUGCAGUGACAAUAGCAUCAUCCCAGUGAUGGCGAGGAACAUGAGCGCCAAUCAGAAGUGCUCGGGCGGUUUCAAGAAGAUGUCGAUUCUUUCGUUCAGCAACACCAUUUUGUUGCGGUGUCUGAGGACAAGUCGUCUCAUGGAUAAUUCCAUGUUGUUGGAAGUAAGUCUGAAAGUCAUGAUUGACAAAUUCUCCACCAUUGUCUGAGCGAAGAAUCUGGAUUUGAGCAUUAAAUUGAGUUUUCAUCUGUUUGUGGAAGGACUGAAAACGGGAAAACACCUCGUUUUUAUUCUUCAGCAAAUAAAGCCAUGUCAUCCGUGUACAAUCAUCGAUGAAUGUGACAAACCAUCGAACACCAGAAGGAGCAGUGAUAGGCGAAGGUCCCCAGACAUCAGAGUGAAUUAAUGUAAAUGGAGUAGUACACUUGUUCGUACUCAACGGGUAGGGCACACGGUGACUCUUGGCCAAAAUACAAGUAUCACAUGUGAAGUCGGAGUCUUUGAAACCUGAGAAUAAAUCUGGUAUAAGAUGCUUCAUAUAACUAAAAGACAGAUGUCCCAAUCGACGAUGCCACAACCAGAUUUGCUUUUGUUUGCUAUCAAAGGGAUGUGUCACACUGUUAGCCACGCCGGGACUGAAGUCAUCGACAUAAUAUAGCCCCCCUCUCUUAGUACCACGACCAAGAAUCUCCUUAGUGUGAAUAUCCUGAAGCAAACAAAAACUCGGGUAAAUGAGUACACAACAAUUCAAUUGUUCAGUAAGCUGACUAACUGACAACAAUUUAGUGGAUAAAGAUGGAACAAGUAAAGUAUUAGACAGUGUGAGAGAGGAUGAGAGUGCAACAGUGCCAGCCCCUGUCACAGGAUAAGUAACACCAUUGGCAUUUGCAAUACAGGUUCGUCGGGGUUGUGUAGUAUUCAGAAAAUCAUCAGGAUCAAACGUCAUAUGAUCAGUUGCACCAGAAUCAAUUAUCCAGCUCUUGGAAUCAAACUUAUCGGAAGUAUGGAAUCCAUAACCAGUACCAUUACUGGUCAUAUGGCAUUGUCCUCGAUCUGUAAGAGUAGCCCACCAAUCGGGGUAGCCAUGCGAUGUAAAACAAGUCUCACAAGUGUGUCUCGGAUCACCACAAUAUGCGUAAUUUGGUCCAUGUGUCGGGGUCGUUAGUCUAGAAGUCAUAAUCUGUGCAGCGGAAGAAGCAUAGGAUACAGGUUGAGUAGGAAUUUGGAUCGGAAUCUGGGCCUGAGUCGGGGCCGGAGUCGGAGUCGGAGUCGAAGUCGGGAUCGGGGUCUGAAUCAUAGACAAAGUCGAGGUUGGGGUCAUCAUCGGAGUAGGGGUCGGGGUCGUCUUCGGAGUCGGGGUCAGGGUCGUCGUCGUCAUAGUCGGGGUCGGGGUCGUCUUCGGAGUCGGGGUCAGGGUCGUCGUCGUCAUAGUCGGGGUCGGGGUCGGGGUCGUCAAAAAAGGAUCCUGAUUCUGGAUCGGGUUCAGGGUCAAAGUCUGCAUCUGUAGGGGCGGAGCCAUCUGGGCACUCAACUCAACGAUGGUUGGUUGAGAAUGAGAGAAGGAGUCGGUGGUGCUACCUCCAUGAGGGUUGAAAAAAUCAUCAACCCUCAUAGCGGCGGCGGGGUUUUGAAACUAGAGUCAGCAAUUCCAAGAUCGCCGCUCUGAUACCAUGCUAAAAUAUGAAAAACUAUGAGAGAAUAUUUGUUUGUGGGAAUUUUCUGUGUAUUCUUCUCCUUGUAGGAGGUCAUAUUUAUAAUACAACGAAACCUGAAUGGGCAAGUAAAUAAUAAAUUCCUAAAUCUAUUUACAGUAGGAAAUCAGGAAUUAAAGUAAAUCAAUUACAAUUAUAAUAGGAAUUCUUGGUGUGUAAGGAAAGUAAGUCAAUAUCCACAAGUCACGCCAACAAUCCCAUCAUCUUUAUGGAACUUGACGGCUCUUGAAUCGUUGGAUCUCUCCCGAAACCAGCUCUCAGGAAGGAUCCCCGGUAAUUUGGCACAACUCACUUUCCUUGAAUAUUUCAAUGUAUCCUAUAACCAUCUUUGGGGUCCUAUACCACUUGGCCAACAAUUUGGUACAUUCCUAGAAGAUUCAUUCCAAGGAAACUCAGGUCUGUGUGGAAAGCCUUUGUCAAAGAAAUGUGAUAGCUCAAUAUCGCUACCACCAUCAAUCUUUGAAGAAGAUGAAGAUUCCGGGUUUCAAAUUGCACUAGAUUGGUAUGUGGUUCUGCCAGGAGUUGUUAGUGGUCUAAUAGUUGGAGUGGUUGCUGGGAACUUUUGGACAAGCAAGAAUCAUGAAUGGUUUUUUGAGAAAUUUAGCAGGAAGAGGCAGCCAAGAGGCACACGGGGAAGGAGAGGACACAGAAACUAAGUACUUAAUUUAAAUCCAUGUUUAUCUUGCAGCUGCUGCUGUUGUUGUUUAGAAUUCUUGUAUGGGGUCUGGUGCAUUCUGUUUUAUUACAAUAAGGGUGGUGGUGUAAUUUGCUUGUAUUAAUUUGUGGUGCUGUAAGUUGCUUGUAUUAAUUUGUACAACAAUGUUUGUAAUAUGUUUCUGUACGAACUACAUUUUCUGUUUCCUGUUUGCUUAGUUUCUUUGAUUUCCUGUAUAUUUGGAUGCUUAAUGCUUACUCCGCAGCCAGUAUAUGUUGCUACUAUCAACUUCUAGUAAUUAAUUUGCCAACUCUCUUGAGGUUCUUCUCUGUCCUUCUCUGCCUUCUCUGUUCUUCUCUUGAUUCUUAUUAAGAAAGACACAUGAUUUUAAAAUGUUGAACCCAAAAUUUUACUUGCAUUGCUGCCUUGAUUUACUUGUUUACCACCAGAAGAUUUUUGGCUGUAUCUUGUAAUCACUUUGUAAGAUGAAUUAGGAAAAUUCCUUCCAAAAAUACGCCAUGAAAACUUUUGAAUGACCAACAAACCCUUAUAUAUCCCAUGGCAAGAACAAGGCCACAGAAAACCUACAAGCAUUUGUGGCUAAAUUUCCCAAACAGGUGAAGCCAUAGAUUCCACAGUGGUUCACUUGUAGCUAAGAGAGCAGUUAGGCUAGUAUGUCAACUCUGGCUGUAAUUUCGUUGUUUGUUUUCCAAGUCUUUUUCUGUUUACCUUUUCUCUGCUGCUUGUUUGUUUGGAUCACAUUGUUUCCAAGUUCUCAACACUAUCCCUACGUGAUUGUUCAAAGAGUCUCUCAGUGAAUGCUUAGUUUAUUCUUCUUGACUUUCCUAACCCCCAAAAGAAUAUCAUAUUAAAAAGCAAAAAAUAAAAUGUAAGAGAGAGAGAGAGAGAGAGAGAGAGAGAGAGAGAGAGAGAGCAACUUUUCAAGAAAACCCAGAACAUGAUAAACUCUUUUGGGCCAUAGAUCUGAGUGCCAAUGUGCUGAUUUGAAUCAGAUGGUAGGAGGAAAUUCUAUGUAAUAAUAAUAUACAUGUUGACCUAUUUAUGUGGCACAUACUUUACAACAACAUAAUACAACAAAUGACAGUCUUCAGGGAAGUGAGUGAAAUUGUGAAAAAUUUCAUGUGCUGUUGACAGGUUUGAUGUGCUUGUAGUUUUGCAAUUAUCAAAUUCUUUGCACUGCAAGCAAAGAAUAGAAAACAGUGCUUUCUCAUUCAAAUGCGUCCAACAAACAAGUCCAAGACAAUACAAAACAACUCCCCAUGACACUCGGCUCUAAAUGCAUGCAGGGGUGUGGGGUAGAUACAGCCAUCCAUCCUUGUGUCUUUAUAAAAUCUAAUGUCAAAUCUCUCUCUGUAUUUUAUUGAUAUUGUUUUGUUAUAUGCUUUCUGUCUAAAAGGACUUGGGGGUUUCCUUUCUGAGCCAAAUUCCAACCCCAUGAAGACAAACAGAUGGUUGCUGCCUCAUCAUCAUCUAAAAAGUCUUCUAUUGCUGUGGCUGGUAUCCAAUGCCAGUGCCACAUUUAUUUUCUUGAAGAGGAAACUGGGGAAACACAGCCUCCUAUGUGAUAUGUGACUUUUUGGUGUUCCUUGGAAGAAGAAGAAGAGGCAGAAAGAUGAAACUCAUAUUCUGAAUCUGAUGCAGCAUAUGGUUUCUUUUACCUUUUCAAUUGAAAUCCACAAUUAAUUAAGCAAAUUAUUAGCUGAAAAAUGAACCUAUUAGAGUUGAACAUAGUGAAAGUGGAUUGUUUUGAUGACAACCGUGAAAAAAAACGCUAACGUCAAUCGUGUGUGAGUACAUGACAGAUGGGUUGCCAAAUUCUAAAGAGGUCCUCCUCCUUUUAAAAUUGAAAUAUGAACACACACCCUACAGCUACAGGACCCCACUACUCUAUCUACUAGGUCCACCCCUAAGCUUAAUAGUAACCAUAGACUUGCAGACCAAUAUCGAGGCACGGCUCAAUUCUGUAGAUUGGCCAAACUUAUAAGUUAUUUCCCAACGGCCUUAAAACCAAAGUCUUGAAGAAUUCACUGCUACACUACACACACAAUAACAAAUAUAAAAACAACAAAAACAACAAACAACAAAUCUACUUGACCCCAAAAAACAAUAUUUAAAAGCAGGAAAAGGGAAAAAAGCAAAACAUUCAGCAUUGGUUCCAGUUAUUUGUGCCUUGGAACUUUUCCUUUGGCCCCUUCUCUCUUCCUUCGAUACCCACCACACAAUCACAUCACACGCACUUCUACGUGCCCCUUCCAUUCCAUCCCUCUCCAACUCUAAACUCUCACCAAAACUUCAUUUUUCUUUUUGUUUAAUUAGUAAAACUCUCUUAUUUUUUGUUACAUAUAAUAAAAAUCAAAUGUUAACCACAUAUAAACUUGUUUCGGAAUGACAAAUUAGAAGUGCGAAUAACGUUUUCUUUAUAAAAAUCAUCGAUCAAUUAAUUAAGUAAAAGUAAAGAAUUAGUUGGUGCGAUUUACAGUAUCCACUCGUAUACUGAAACUAUCAGCUAAUAAUCAGAUAAUCAGAUACUGUAAAUUGGUAUCUAAUGCCAACUUGCUUAUCCUAAGGUUCUUAACCAAAAAUCAAAAGAAAACACUCUCUCUCUCUCUCUCUCUCUCUCUCUCUCUCUCUCAUGCACAAGUCAAAACCCCUUAACGGCUAAACCCCCCCACUUUAUAACUACAAAACACUCUCAUCUCACAUUUUCAUGCACAAGUCCAUAUAAAUAUAUAUAUAUACACCCAUGAGUCUCUCUCCACCAUCUUUACUCUCUCCCCCUCCCCUCCUCUCUCCCUCUCUCUAGUGCAAGUGUUUUGAGCUAUAGUUAGCAGUCAUACCUCAGUCACUCCAUCAAAAUGCAUCAUCAGAAGACACCAUCUUCAGAAGACAAAGAGAAAAGGCCCAAGUUCUUCAUCAACGACCACAUUGACAUCCUCGUCGAGAUCCUCAAACGCCUCGACGGGCCCUCCCUCGGCGUCGCCGCCUGCGUCUGCCGCCUCUGGUCCACCCUCGCCCGCAACGACUCCCUCUGGGAACACCUCUGCUUCCGCCACGUGUCCUCCCCUCCCCCCUCCUCCGUCCGCCCCGUCGUCGUCGCCCUCGGCGGCUACAAGCGCCUCUACAGGGUCUGCGUCCGCCCCGUCCUGAGUCGACUCAGCGACUCGGACCUGGUCAGGCGUGUCUGGACUCGAGACGAGGUCCAGCUCUCGCUCUCCUUGUUCUGCGUCGACUACUACGAGCGAAGCGGCAGGCUCGGCGGCGGUGGCGGUGGCGGGGAUGCGUCCGCAUCGUCCCUCAUGUUCCUCUGCAACACCGUGAACGUCUGAUUCGUUGACUUUUUCGCUGUUUUGACUGUAGUGGGUCCUGAUGAGGGUUGAUAGUACUGGUAUUACUUUAGUGAUUUAGUAUACAUAUCAAUUUUUAUUUAGAAAAAAAAUAAAUAUUUUAUUUUAUAUUUUAUUUAUUAUUAUUGGGUAUUUAAAUAAUUGUCACUUGAUUUAUUUUGGAGGUGGGAAAAAGUGUGAGAUGGUAGUUACCUAAUUCCUAUGCUUAAUUAUUAUAGUAAAAUUGUUGUAAUUUUCUUCUUAGGAAUUGGUAUAUUUUGUUUAUUUAUUAAUUUAAUUUUCAAAUACAUUUGGAAGUCAGAAUCUUUGGCUUUAGGCUAAGUAGGCCUUGACAAUGAAGGUGGGUAGUGCCAAAGCUGAGUGGAUUCUCUUUUCCUUUUGUUUCUAUAUACAAAGAGAUUCCAAUACAAGCCCAUUUCUCUUUUUUCAAUUAAAAAAUAUAUAAAAUGGUUAAGACCAAUCAUUCGUGCACCCGACGUCCUCUGUUUAAAUCUCCCUUCUUCAAAAUCGUUUGUAAAAAAAAUACUCAUAGAUAUAUGAAAACGAUUGCUUUUUCAUGUUUUUUUUUUUUUUUUUUUUUUUUUUUGUGUUCCACUAGUAGCCUGCUUAUUUUGAAUCCAGUUGAUCAGUCCUUUUUUUAUGCUAAUUUAUUAAAUAUUAAAAACAGGUCAAUAUCUAUAGCCCAGUAUAAGCAAAGCCAGUUGGGCAUACAAUAGAAGAUUUUUAAAAAAAAAUAGAAAAAAUUAAAUAUAAUAUAUAUAUAUAUAUAUAUAUAUAAAAACCCAGUUGGGCAAUGGCACUGGAAACUUGAAAAGUGUUCCAAGCCCUUGACAAGUUUGACCUAAUAAAAAAGAACAACCUGGUGAGAAAAACAUAAUGUAGGCCAGUUAGCAAUUGGGCAAUGGUAGCUGUUGAGUUGAAUUAGGGUUAGCCACAAACUGUUUGAUUGGGACUGAACCAAACCAACACCAAGCAGCCUAAUCUAAUCUCACUGGGUGGUCCAACAAAUAGCUGAUCAUUGACUCAUUAUGUCACAUAUUACAUUUACACCCUCCCCCCAACUCCAAUUCCCAACCAGACUCAGAUUUUGGUCACCACAUCUUCAACCAGUUUUCUUUCCCAUCCAUCAUUUUCAAAUCCCAAGAUGACAUUCCACAUUUAUCUUCCCCUAGUCCAUGGGCCAACGCUAAUAACUAUCUUGUUUAAAGUAAGUUACACGUCAAUGAUCAACGACUGUCAAUUAUUCACGAAUAAAAUUCAAAUAAAAUAUAUAAUAGGUUUUUAAUAAUUAGUAUGCUUACUGAGCUAUAUCUUAAUGAAAAACAUGGAAAUAAUAAUUGAAGAGCUAUCUCCUCUUUUUGCUCUUUUUCUCUUUUUUUUUUUUUUAAAUAGAAGAAACAAUAAUAUUGUAAGAUUUUGGGUAUAUCUGUCCUAAAAAGAUCUCAACUUGGGACAUGCCAGACAAGACUUCUGGGCCAAAAAGAAGAAGAAUAUGUCAAUUGGGAAAAAGAAAAAGGGUACCAGACAAACUGUGGUGUAGUCCUAUCCAUCCAAUUAUCACAUGAUCUACACAUAGGUUUUGUUGCAGGAUCUGUAACACUAUUGUGGAAGUACAAUCAGUUCAUGCGCCUGAACUUUUCUGCUUCAUAUUGAUUCAUUUUCAGAAGCUCAUUAUUGAAUUUUUUUUAUUUUUUUUUUUUAAAAACUAAAGAAAGGUGAAUGGUUGAAGAAUAUGACCAAGGGAUCAAAAAUCUCUACACCACAAGGAAAGAGCAAGUGAAAAUUUGUUAUUUUAGAGGAAUUCCAAAUUUUACCAACAUGUAAUGUGAGGGAGUAAAGUUAUAUGCCACUAUCCACAUUAGGCUAAGCAAAUUAGGAAUGCUUACAUGUCCAAAUAGAAAAAUAAAGAAGAAAUCAUGUGUUGUUUUGUUAAUGUUCUAAUGAGCUACUUGAUUUAUUCACUAGCAUGAUUUUGGGAGUGUUAUGAAUGCUAAAACUAAGAAAUGGAAUGUGACUAGGCAUUUCUUCAAUGUACCAAAAAUUAAAAUACAAUAUAUUAGAGUUAUUUUAAAUAAUAAAAAAUCUUAGAUUUUGGUCACUAAACAAUGAUGUAGUAAGUGUUAAUUUUACUUGAUAUUGUACGAAUGAGGUUGAAGGUUAAUGCAUAUUUGAAUAAAUGAAACACUAACAUAUCAAAUUUUUUGCUUUAAGGUUUGAAAGAUAAUUAUGUUAGAACGUCAAAAAACAAACAAAAGAAUUACAAAACAAGUCAUGGGUCGAGAGAGGCCCAAUAAUGCUAAAAAAGAGAAUAUCUCAAAUAGCUGCAUAGAAAAUAUAAACAAUUAAUAAAAGGAACGAUCUAGAACUAGACUUAGCCUCGAACCUAUAUAUCAAACCUAAAAAGAGAAAAGCCCCAAACCGAACACUUGAUUUACAUCACCGACUACAGACCACGGAAACCAUCACGCAGGGAAAUGGAGACUAGAUAUGAUGGAAGUUCAUUGAUCCCCACAUUUCCACACAUGACCUUUGUUUGGCUAGUGAUGCAACAUAGUCGGCGAGACCAUUCAGUUCUUUAAGGACCCAAAUUCACUUGAUAUGAGAAAAAACAGAUAUAGGUAUGAGGAUCUCGGAAGUUGAUAUGGUAAAUCUUCUCAAAGACGCCAUUCAACUAUUGAGGGUCCCAAAAUCCCCCUUGAUCUGAUAGGAAACCGAUCUAGGUAUGAGGAUAUCGAAAGUUGAUAGGGUAAAUCUUCUCAAAGAUGCCAUUCGACUAUCGAGGGGGCCAAAUUCCUCUUUGAUCCGAGAGGAAACAGAUCUAGGUAUGAAGAUCUCGAAAAAGGAUAUGGUAAAUCUUUUCAAGAAUACCAUUCGACUCGUGGAGCUCAAAAUUUCACCGGAUUCGAGAGAAAACAGAUCUGGAUAUCCAAAUCUUGAAAAAGGAUCAGGUAAAUCUUCUCAGAGACACCAUUUAAUUAUCGUAGAGCUCAAAUUUCACCAAAUCCGAGAGAAAACAUAUUUGAGUACGACAAAUUUUUUUUAAAGGUAAAUUUUCUAGUUGCAUUUUCAAAAUUUUCCCAUUAAUAUUUGUAAUAAGAUAUUUUGAAAUGAUUUACAUGAUGGCAUCUUGAAAAUUUGUCCAUGUGCGAGGGAAAGACCAACAAAAGUUGAUGGAUCUUCAACUUGAAUCAAGAGUAUGAAGAUCCAUGAAUGCUUUCUUCAGCCUCGGUCAUAUCAGUUAAGAUUCCAAACUCCGAGAUUUGUUUUAUUUACUCAUAAAAUAAUAAACAAUUUGUGGCUCAUUAAUUAAUUCAUUCAAAAAUUUAUUAUUUGUGCAACUAAUUUUCAUACAUGAUUAUCUCUAAUCAUCAUGUAAAACCAUUUAUUAGCGAGUAAAUGAAUAAAUAAUCAAAUGCAGCCAUUACCAAAUCUCAGCCAAUAAACUAAUUAAACUUAUUAAAUUUAACAAUUAGGUUAAUCUCCAAAGUCCACUUGUGCCCACUACCAAACACUCCCCUAAUGGAAACGGAAAAGAAGUUACUCGAUGCCCAUAACGCACGGCAGCGCAAAAUAGCACCCUCCACCAUUAAAUACUAUUAACGCACUGUUUACUCUCACUGAAAUUAAAAAAAAUUCAACGAUUUUAUUACCUAAAAUAAAUCCUGUCCCAUUUCCGACACCGAUAUCGACGGAAUCGCCAAAUCCUCGCCGUCGUUCGCCGCUAUCUUACAUCCCGACCCGAAUCCGCAUGCCCGGUGACCAGAUUUCGCAGCUCAAGCCCUAAAGGAAGAAACUUUACUGUUUGGUAGCUCCUCCACUUUGGGCUAUAAAAUAUGAGUUUCUCUCAGUGUUUGUGCUUUAUGUACAGUGAGAUUUGCAAUUAGCUCAGCUUGAUUUUGCUCGAGCUCCCAAGCACACGUGGCGAUCUGGGUCUUCUUCACCUUCAUUCAGCUCAAGUUUCAGUGAGUGCCUUUUUUUAAAGAAAAAACUCUAUUUUGUGUGCUAAUCGGUGCUGUGGACUUCAAUUUUGUACUCAAUUUUUAAUCUUGGAGUUCAGUAUGGUGGCUUUGGAUUUCGAUCUCCGUGCAUUUGUUUAAAGCUGUGAAAUUUAGUGGAAUUUUGGGCUUGAUUUGGAAAAUUGAGCUGAUUUUCAUGCAUGUUAGUGGUUUGAAGAAAUAGAAUUUUUAUUUUGGCAGCUGAAGCUGUUUGGCUGCCGAGAAAACUGAUGAAAAUUAAAACUUAAUUUUUUGCAUUUAUGCUGCACGAGUCCUAAUUUUUUUUUAGUAAAGAAGGUCAAAUCUUGAUAAUUAUUGUUGGCUGUUUACGGUAAUUCGGUUAAUUUUAAAUCGGUUCGCAUUAAUUCCUGUUUGAGAUUUUGAACUUCGAAUUUCUUUUUGGUUUGAUAUAUGAUUUGUGCAUUUCAUUUUUUUAAAUAUGAUUCUGCAUUCAUUGCUAUUAAUAAGUCUUAAUUAGUUAAAUUUGUAUUAGCCAGUCGCAGUUCUAAUGAGAAAAAAAUUGAAGCUUGAUACUUAUCAUGAUUCUUACUUUGUCUUUGCAGAAAUGAAAAUGUGGUUACAUAUGAGAAUUGGGCUAUUUCCGAGUUUGUGCACAUUAGGUUGGUCAUAGAUUUUGUUUGAAGAUCUUUGGUUUUAAAGUUAUCUAUAUUCUUACAUGGAAUUUAACAUAGAGGAGGCUCUUAUAGCAAAAGAGAUCGCUGAGAAGCGAUUUGCUGAGAGAGACUAUGCUGGUGCUAAGCAUUAUGCACUAAAGGCUAAAUCACUGUACCCUGGACUGGAGGGCAUAUCUCAAAUGCUGGCCACAUUUGAUGUUUAUGUUGCUUCCGAGGCAAGAUUUUAUGGUGAAAUAGAUCAUUAUUCAAUUCUUGGACUGAAACCUUCUGCAAAUAAAGAUGCAGUGAAGAAGCAAUAUAGAAAGAUGGCUGUGUUACUCCAUCCUGAUAAGAACAAAAGUGUGGGAGCUGAUGGGGCUUUCAAACUUGUUUCCGAAGCAUGGACUUUAUUGUCUGACACUACCAAGAGAAGCUUUUAUGAUCUUCAGAGAAACAAACAAUCGACAACCACAGUUAAUCAGCCUAAUUUAUCUUCAGUUCAUGCUGGUGGGGUUCCGGGUUUCAACAAUUGUUCCAAUUCGUCGGCAUCUCAUGGUAGACUUGACACUUUCUGGACUGUCUGCACUUCUUGCAAGGUUCAGUAUGAGUAUCUCCGGAAAUAUGUGAACAAACGACUUUCAUGUAAAAAUUGCCGAGGCAUUUUCAUUGCUGUGGAAAGUGGGGCAGCCCCAGCAAAUGGUUCUUUUCCUUAUCCUCCUCCUUGGUCAUAUGUGCCUAGUAAUGGGUAUGGGAAUCAUGGAUUUGAUGGGGCUACGUAUGUUCCAAGCAAUGGUACCUUUUUCCCAGGAAACGGUGUCUCAGGUUUUCAUUCUGGACACGGGUAUGAAUAUAUUCCAAAUAUGUCGUUUCAGUGGAGCUCAUAUCCGGGAACCUCUACUGGUGUUGCGGGUCCUCACGGAUCAUCGGGUAUAUCCCCUGAUGCUGUUUAUCAGGCAAAUGGAAAUGUUAAUAAAGCUGGAGUGAAGGUUAAAUCAAGAGCGAAUGGAAAACGUUCCACUACAACUGCUGUGGCUAAUAUGAAUUCGAAUAUGCCUCCUAGAUCUAAUGAGCUGCCUGAAUUUAAGAACGAUGGACUGGAUAAGAAAAGGAAAGUUACUGUGGGAGCAAAUUUUAGAAAUGGGCAUGACGAAAGAGUAUCAAAAUCUGCUUCAGAAGCAAAAUUAGCAAAUGGAAAUGGGACUCUAGGAAAUGAUCAGAAAAUUCCUAGUUCAGGAGAACUUCUUGCUAGACGUUGUUCAGUGGCACCAGCAUUUGAUGCUAAAAAGCUGUUGAUUGAGAAGGCAAGAACAGAGAUUUUGAAGAAAUUAAAUGAGAUCAAUUUGGCUUCAGAAGCGGCUGCUGCUAUAAAGAACACAAAAAGACAGGUUGAAGUGCGUCAAUCCGAAGUAACUCAAGGACAUCAAUUACGGACAAAGGAUGCUGAGCCUCUCUCCAUAACUGUCCCUGAUCCCGACUUCCAUGACUUUGACAAAGAUAGGUCGGAGGAAUGUUUCAAGCCAAAGCAAAUAUGGGCUUUAUAUGACGAAGAAGAUGGUAUGCCUCGCUUGUACUGUCUGAUACGUGAAGUGGUCUCAGUCAAACCGUUCAAGAUACUCAUCACUUACUUGAACUCUAAAACUGACAGUGAAUUUGGGUCAGUGAACUGGCUGGAUUGUGGGUUUACCAAAUCCUGUGGAAAUUUCAGGGCAAGGAAUCUUGAUGUAGUUGAGCAAGUUAAUAUUUUCUCUCAUGUUUUGAGCCGGGAGAAAGCAGGUAGAGGAGGAUGUGUUCGGAUAUACCCGAAACGUGGAGACAUUUGGGCUAUGUAUCGCAACUGGUCGAGAGAUUGGGACAGAUCAACUCCAGAUGAAGUGAGGCACCAGUAUGUAAUGGUGGAGGUUCUUGAUGAUUACUCCGAAGAGCUUGGUGUUUGCGUGUUGCCCCUUGUCAAACUGGAUGGAUUCAAGACAGUAUAUCAAAGUAAUACAGACAGCAGUGCUGUUCAAUUGAUUCCGAGAAGAGAGAUGCUACGCUUUUCGCACCAGGUGCCGUCAUGGUUACUCAAGGGUGAAGAAAGUAACCUGCCUGGUAAGUGUUGGGAUCUGGAUCCUGCUGCAACUCCUGACGAGCUGCUUCAUGCUUCUGUGGAAGCCAGGGCUUAAGCAUAACAUACUAAAAAGCAGAGAAGGAUAGGCAUGGGAAGCAAGAUUUGCUUGGGAGUUCAUUUUAGCAUUGUUUAGGCAAUUGUAGGUUUUAACUGUACAAAUAUGUCACACCUGGCUAGAGGCCAACGUAACGUAAACCCCGUAUGAUUCUAGGGGGAGCUUAUGUUUACCCAGUAAAACUUGUGACGAAAAUUUCAAUUCCAGUGACUGCUUGUUUACAUGAUUACCUCAGACUCUGACUUGUCCAAAAUAGUUGUAACACCUAUUCAGGACAGAUUGGGAAAUCAACAGUUAUUGCAUUGGUGCAAAUUUUUUCCUUUAGCCUGAAUUCUUGCCAACAUAUUGCAUCGCACAAUACGUACGCAUAUUGUCUCUGUUUAUAUUCUGUGUUAUAUUUUGCUUGUCUCUGUUUGGGCAUGAACACGGUUUCAAAUAUGGAAAAGAUUGUGUUUUUUAGGUACAAGUGAUUGGAGGGGGGAGUUUGCACAAAUAUUCAUUGAGUAGAUGGGAAUUUCAAACCUAAGUCCACAUGAAUGGAGGUGGAAUGGCUCAACCAACUCCACAAGACCAAGCCCCAAGCCCCAAAUAAAAAAAUUAAAAAGAAGAAGACAUAAUUUGUUUAAACGGUGUCGUUUCAGUCCAUAAACUCUAACAAGUCAAUCCUUUUCCACAACCACUGCCGAUCCCUAGAACACCUGAAAGUGAGAGACACUGAAGGAGAAGCAGGCAAGAUAAAGAAACGAAAAUGGAUCCUCUACUGUGGCAUAAAAUAGCUGGGCUCUCUGGUAUUACCUUUUUCCUCUCUCAUACUUAAAUAUUUAUUGUCUUUCUGUUUCUGACAAACCCCAAAUAUGAUUUUGAUUGAAAAACAGGAAUGGCAGCUCUGGGGUUGGGCACAUAUGGUGCCCAUGGCUUCAAACCCGAAAACCCAACUUACAAAGAUGUACAUCAUAUAUUUUACUAUAUGCCCAUUUGAUUUUAGCUCAUAUUGUCCAUGGUUGUAUCCUCAUUCUUGAGUUUCUGACAUUUAAUUACGUUGCAAAUAAUGGGUAGGUUUGGCAAACGGCGUCUCUCUACCAUUUGGUUCACACAGCCGCUCUGGUUGCUGCCCCUAUCACGAAGCACCCCAACAUUGUGAGUUCAAAGUUCAAACCUUUUAUCAUUUUACUAUGAAUUGAAUUCAUACCAUAAUCUAAAGGGUCCGACCCUUCACAUUUUUGGAGUUGCAAAACUGAACAUUAUUUGGUUUUGAAAGGGGAUAUGUGAUGUUUGUUCAACUUCGUAUGUUGUGAUGUUGGUUAAUUAGGUACUGGUCUGCAAAUUCAUAUAUGAGCAUAUAUGAUAAUUUCGUCUUUGUUUUCCAGUUUGGAGGCCUUUUGACUACUGGAAUACUUGCAUUCUCAGGGACGUAAGUGCCAUUCCAUUCUUCUGCGCUUCAUUUUUCAUCUAAUUAAACAGCUUCAAUUCGAUUAUAAAACACUACGUUUUUGCAUAAUAGAUUCAUUCAAAAUUUCAGUUUCUUGCACAAUGAAGUUCCUUGAAUCUCAAUUUUAGAGGUUUUCCAUAUUGGUUAAAAGCACUCACCUUGUUACUUGUUAGGAUGCAAAGGAAGUCACAAGACUUGCCUAUGGUUUAAUUCAUUGGUCUUUUUCUAGAAAAGUAUUACUACCAAUGUAGUAAGAUCUACUUAUUUACUUUCCAGAGAGCUACGUUUGUAUGAUUAUGCUAGAGUUAGGAAUCAUCCUAGUCUGUUAGUAUGGUAAAAUCCUCUACACUGAGUAAUGAGGAUUCUAGACUGAUAAAUGUUGUAAUUUGUUAACUGGAAGAGUAACAUUAUAUAAAUGAAUUUUACAUUUCUGGUCUGCCAAUAUUUUGCUUCUGGACUCCAUAAAUUGAUCUCCUGGUACUUAUGGCUUAGCAAACUGCACAAUGAAGUGUAAUGCCUUGAGUACAGAGUCCAUGCGUCAUUCCAACGGACUUUUUCCAGUUGUUUGCUUUGUUGAAACAAUAUUCAUGGAAGUGUCCGUACUGUAUUCAUAUUAUCAGAAGUGAACGCUGAUUGAAAUACUUUUUUGCAGGUGUUAUACUGUGGCAUUACUUGAGGAUAGAAAGUAUUCUACGUUGGCUCCUUUCGGUGGCUUUGCUUUUAUCGCUGCUUGGGCUAGCUUGCUCUUCUAAGAUUUCCAACUUCUCAGGAUCCCUGCCCAAUUUGUGUUGUUGAGUUCACUAUUUAUGAUCAUAUACCCUUUCAACUGGGCAGGUAUAUCCCAAUGUGGAGUCUCCUUGAAUUUCAAAGUUGUCUUCCCCUUUGCCAUGCCAAUUAUAUAUGGUGUAUAUCAAUCUACUGAUUAUGCUACUUUAAUGUUAUUUGGUGCUGUUUGCAUGGGAGCUUCUACAAUGAGGAGUUUAGAGUGAGGAGCUCAUUUGAGGGGUUCAAUCCCACCAUCAAAUCACUUAAAAUGUUUAAGUCCAUUGGUUUCCUCACAUUUGUUGAUGCUUGAAUUGAACUCCUCAGAUAAACUCCUCACUCUAAACUCCUCAUUAUAGCAUUUCUGCUGUUUGCAGAUACUUGUAGAAUUCUUUCCCAUAUAAAUGAGAUUACAGGUUUGCAGAUAUAAUGUUUAUCCUUGUAGCAUGUUUAUUUUAUCUGACACUGACAAAGCCCAUUUCUGAUAAAGUGAAUAAUGAAUGCUGAAGAUUAUUGGCCCUUGGAUUGGCAUGUAUGUAAGGUUUUGAGGCCACGAAACACCCACUUGCAAACGUUCUUUUCAUUCUGCUGUGUGGUUUUUAGCUAGUUGCUUGGUUUUCCAACUGGACCAACUCCAUCUGGUAUCUCUGUCGGUGCAAAAGAAUGAUUUGUCCCGUAGCUUGGCAAGUUUUUAUAAAUAGAAGUGAAUUUGUUGAUUAAAAGGUUAAAAUAUAUUUUUCUUUUUGGUUUUUGCCAAUUAAAAUACAUACUGGUGAACUUGUAAGGUUCAAACGUAUGUCCACUGGGCACUGGCGCAGUGACAAGCUUGGGAAGAACAACAAAGUACAUACGAGAAACAGAGCAGAAUCCACAGUACAGUGGAGAUGAAGUGCCGUGACUGCUUUCAUGUUCAGUAAAAAUUCUCUAUUUUAUCAGUCUGGUUCUGAUCCCUAAUUGCAAUGCCUCUGUUUCCCCCUAAGCAGGCAAAAUCAUGUGACCAAACCAAACAAUCAGUGCCAGCCUAAAAACCUAUUUUGGCUUUAGCUGCAUCAUAAUCAUACUGGACCUCCUUUGAAAAUUAAAUGUGCCAGGUUGAAAAAUAGUCUAAUUUGCAGAAAAAGGAAUUCGAAUUUGAGUGUAAGAAAGCGGAUUCAUUGUUCUGACGAACAGACCUAGUCCUAAGUAUGCUACUUGACGUAAAGUUGAUCUGCAACGACAUUUUUUUUUUUUUUUAAUUUUUAAUUUUUAAUUUUUUUUUUUCUUUCCGGUUACUAACAACCUCACAUCUUUGACAACCUUGAAAGUUUAUGUUUCACUUGGGAUUUUGAGGAAUUUUUGGAUUUUAGGGAAAGCCCUUUGGCUUAACGCUUACGAAGCUGAGCUGUAUAAUACCACCUUUAGGGAAAAUAUCAACAUCUUUUGGUGCCCUAUCGUAACAGUCAAGGGUCACAAGGGUCCUACAGAUCUUAAACAAUAUCAGAAUGAGGCCCCGGUUAUGUCUUCAAGCCAGAAGGAAAGCAAAAAAAAGGUCAGGUCCACCCUUGUCAUUGCAUUGCAUUCAUCAAGCACCAACAUCCAGGCCCCUCCUAUCACAACCCCUCGCUUUUAGGACAUGAAAUUUAUAAAUUAUAAUCUCUCGUUAAGAAAAAACUUUUAAUAAUCAUAUUGGCCUCCAAUGAGCUCCUUUGCUUUCUAACAACUGCAUCGAUAAGAUGUUUCUUUUGCUGAAAAAGUUGCACAAAUUGAAGGAAAACAAAAUGAUCAAGAACCACCAAAGCAUAAAAUACCAUGAUAUAAUUAUGCAGCUUUUGAUUCCCCUAUUUGUGGGUAGAAUGAAUUAUGAGUAGUCAACGAGGUCUAACCCAAUAGAAAAAGGCUUUGAUUUGCAUACCAGUGGUCUUAAGUUUGAACCCCCAUAACACUUUGAUAGUGCAUGUGUGAGAAAUCUCCAUCCCCUUGUAGUUUAGACUAUUCGUUUGUAUUCCAAAAAUAAUAAUUAUGAAUAGAAGGGUGGUGGACCGAUAUGGCCCAACCUUAUGUACAAUGAUCUUCAAAUAUAAUCAUGGGAACAAAAUGAACAAUUUUUCUAAUCAUACAAAUAACAAAAGAGAUGUAUAAAUAAAGCUCAUCAUCCAUAUAGUGCAAGGGCUUUAAUAUGUACUAAGGUAAACAGAAACUUUGUAUAAAUUAUUGGAAUUUGUUUCUCAGUGUUGCAGAGAUCUCUACACCUUUUCUUCUUUACUCUGCACACUGCAUAUUUUUACCGCUACUUACCCUCUUCUUCAACUAAAGCAAACUAUAUCUCAGUCACUUCUAAAAACCCACAAGCCCUCUAGGGCCUCUUACUUGCUGCAUCCUCUGUGAUUACAUUCUUUUUUUAAAAAAAGUAAAUUUAAAGGGCUUAAAAACCUGUCACAUAUUAGCUUUUGUGUCUUUUCUUCUUUGCAAUCUCCUCCACCCAGUGUAACAUGGGGAAGAACAGUAUCUCUUCUACUGUUUCUCUCUUCUUCAGUUGGUAUGAACUCUACUUAGCUGACAGACCAAUGAAGUUGAGGUAAAAUAAAAUGAAAAUAGAAGAAUAUGAAGGUCCUGUUGUAUCGAAACCACGAAUUAGUCUUAUUCUAGGAAUCCGGUGCUCUACCUCUCUAUAAUUACGGUUUGUUUGAAUCCCUACAUAACUGUUGAUAUGCCACUCACUAUAGGAGACGCAAAUGGGCUCUCUGGAAGGUUAAUUCCUUGGCUGCUGCAUGGUAUAAGAAACCAAGCAUCAAAGAAAUGGGAAGGUUAAGAAAAUAACCCAGAUGAAAAAAAUUGGUAAAAGUACUAUGACUUCAAUCUGAACAAGCAUUUGUGGUAUACCUAUCCUGGUCAUUGUAAUUACUGUUUCUGUGCCUGAUUUUGCCCUCACUGGUGGAACCAUUAUUCAAAACAUCCAGCAAAUAAGUAAAUUCCUUUGCAGAUGGGACUUCUGCUUGCUCUGCAUGGGCUACAGUGACAUCAGGGAAAAACAUUAGCUAGGAAAUCGUUGAAAGGAAACAAGAAAAAAGCUACGCAAAAGAAACCGAAAAGUUGCAUUGUAUACCUUCUGGAUGUUUGAACUCAUCCAUAGGGUAGCCAUAAUAGAAAUGAUGGGACAAGGGCUUAGCUGCUAAGUGCAUCUCCGAAAGACGCCUUCUUUCAAGUUCGAGUGCUUGCUCAUUUUCCUCCAUGAACUGCUUCCUUAAAAAUCUUGCAUUCUCACAAACUCUGGGCACUGUAAAUCAGAGAAAUAAAUGUGAAUUAGGUAAAGGUGAUUUUACGACCCAAAAAGGCUAAAAUAGAUCAUUACUGCAUUUAUCUGAAAUUUGCUUACUAGAGUGAAACUCUGAAUCCGCAUCAAUGAAAUGUGAAUUGUAGCACAUAGCAUGCUGCAUUUUCUCUGAAAACUUCCUGGAUGGAUAGCUUAAACUUCAGAAAUUUAAAUACUAGUUGAAAAUCAUAGAGGAGAUGGAAUGGAAAACAUAAUGUUCUUCUCAGAUAAUAAAUAAGAGAAUUUUCAGUUUUAUUGAUAUCAAAGGUUCUUCUCAGAUGUUUUCAGAAACAUUUCCAAAAGAUUCAUAAGCAGGAAACUAGGAAAGGGAUAUCCACCCUACUCUCUACAAAUACGACUUUCUUCAUACCAUAAUGUCAUAACAUGCAGUCAUGUCAGUUCUAGAAGGAGAUUAAGGGAAAACACAAGGAAAAACAAUCCUCUAAAGCAGACUAAUAUUAAAUGGAAGCAAGAAUCAACGUUCAACAACCGACAAUAAGUAUUCUAGGAUGUUGACAAAGGUAUGAACAUCAUACUAAUUAAUUCUAGUGGACAGCAUUACUCCAUUUAGAGAACAAAUUUUAUGUUAUAUGUGCUUUUAGUUAAUAUUAUAAGGUAAAGGCCUUUCCUCAUUUGAACUGCCAACGACAAUAAGGGUGCUAUGAUGGUAGGAAAAAAAAAUAGUGGGAAAUAUCAGACAAUAACUAUUUGCUUAUGAACCAGAUAGUAUUAAAAAGAAAAGGGUCGAGAAAGAAAAAUACUGCUCAAAUCUAAGCACAAUAAAGAUGAUAAGGUUACUUCAACUUUGAACAAAUAGAAAAGUUUUACCUGUCAACAAGCCUAGACUUUUCCCUGUAAGGCUUCACCAGAACACGGGCCCCACAUACAAAAUGGGGAUUCCCUUUUGACAAAAUAUGCCUGACCGUCUCUGCAUAAACAAAGGUGACAAACCCAAACAUCCUCUUCUGUUGACAUGGGAUGCGUACAUCUUGAACCGGCCCAUAUUUGCUACAAAAUAAUGAUCAAAAAAUCAAAAUUGUGUAGACCAAGAGUCAAAGUAUAAGCAAAGUGUAAGCAAAUUCAAAUAAGAGAUAAAUGACUCCAAUAACAGUUCCUUAUGAAAAGAAAAAAGAAAUGCCUUAAACAUCCUUACUUGAAGUAGUUGGAAACAUCUUGCUCCGUGAAAUUACUCUCAGCUGGAAAAGUAAGAUAAAUCUGUCGAGAACCAGCAAUAAUUCCACCAGGUUCAGUUUUCUCACCAGCAUACUCUAAGUAUUUUGGGAUAUCUUCUGCCAAUAUGACUGAGUGCUGUCCAUGAGGCCUGUAUAACAACUCAAGUCAAGCGCUUCUAGCAAGCAACAUAUGAUGCAUAAAAACCUUUAGCAAUUAACAAAGAGUUACCUGUCAAGGAGUCGAAUACUGUUCUUCAAUCGAGCAAGAAGCUUUGUAAGGCUAUAGCCAGCCUUACCAUGUCUCUGGCUCUCUGUAAGGUAUCCCUCAGCCUGUAAAGUCCUCCCAUAUUUCUCAUAAUACAUCAUUGGCAAUGAGGCAAUUGAUAUUGGGAACCCUCUUCUUGAUUUCAAAAGCUCAAUUAUUUCAAUCUCCAGCUUUUCAAGGGAGCCAGGAGAGACAACAUGAUCAUCAUUUGAAAGCUCAUUCAAAUUCGGGUGAGAAAAGCUCUCUGCCAUGGGAUGGCCAUGGAAGUACCUGCAGUUGCUCCCAUGCUUACAGAACCCCUUAUUGAAGUAAUGGCAAACCUUAAGAGGAAACUCAGGCAAACUUGGAGACCUUCGACUAGUUCUCACACUCAAUGCAGGUUCAUGAUAGCAGUAAUUGCUUGAAAAGUCGGGCAAAAACUGCAUCUGAUUUUGGAGGCGAUAAUCUUCAAUAGCUGAAUCAGAGUACCCUGGUGGAACAAAUUCUACAUUUUGCAGUGGUUGCUGAUCACCAGGCAGUUGGGGAUCCCUAAAUGGAUUCACUGCUCCGAGAGGUGUGGGAGAUGAAAUUGGUCGAGUUAAAUUAGGAGUGUAUGGAGUGAAUUGUAAAGGCGGGUCUGAAACAGGAACUUGGUUCACCUGAGAAGGUGAGAUUGGAGCAGACACUGCCAGUUUGCAUAACCCAAGCUCAGUUUUUGCUUUGUUAAUCAAAGACUGGAUCAAAUUAUCAGGGCUGAACGCCAGUCGAAUCAUGUCACGCUCACCAUGGUCUUGCAACAGAAGAUACCCUAUAAUCUUAGACACAUUUUCAGGCUCUAUUUUCUGGAUCCUAUUGUACACUACUUUUGUGGACUCAGAAAAAUCCAUCUCAGAUUGCAGCCCUGCAGAAGACAAGUACAUUCAAAGGUACACAUUAUUAUAAAAGGUAGGAAUAGCAAUGCAAAUUAACACUUAUAGAAAGUUAGUUGUUAAUCCAACUAUGUUCCAGAAAACAUUAAUAUGGUGGAAGAUAUUAAUUUCUUUCUCAACAACCAGAAAAUUAUGUGGAUCUAGUGAUAAACAAACCCAUGAGUAAAUUCAUAUAAUCUUCAAGCAGCAAUGCUAUUUCUGGUAUAUAAACAAAGCCUAUUUAAAAGACUACCAAAUAAAUGAAAACAAAAUUGGGGGGAGAACACCAAAAAGGAAACCUUGUUGGUUCAUGCAUAAUCAAUUUCUGUAUCUGCUCCUCCUACUGAAACAAGUUGCAGGCAAAAUUUAAAGUUGAAAUUUUCAAACAAAAGUGGCAGAUGGAUAUAACCAAACAAAAGCAGCAAAAUCAUUACCACAAAAACAGAAGCAUCAACGCCAUAAGGAAAAGGGAUUCAGCAGAAAAAGAGACAUUUAUUUCUCUAAUUAGCAGCAUCAUAUUAACCUACUUUAAUAAAAAUUUUAAAUUUUAAAUAAAUAAAUAAAAGCAAAAGGAGGAGAAGGCGUUAACUUUUGGGGGAAAAACAAAAAACAUAAAACAGUGCUUCUGAAUUAUUUUCCGAUUUGAAGGACAAGUGAAACAUGGAAGGCAUCUUCUUCCAUAGGAAACAGUAAGAAGAACAUACUGUCAAUACACAGUCACAUAAAAUAUGUUCAAAUGCUUGCCAGCCAGAAGGGAACCAAAACAUUUUAAUUUUGUCCUUAUAAGAAAAAAGAAAAAAGCCUUUUCAUUUCUUAAAUACAAGAAACGAUUACAGAACUCAAGGGAAAACCAACAUCUUUUGAAAAACACAACCAUUUACCCACAACAUUUUCCUGAACAAACACUAGUCCAGGAUCAAGAAAUUAGGAAUAAAAUGAAGAAAAGAGCAAAAAGAACAGAGAGAGAGAGAGAGACAGAGAGAAAGAGAGAGAACUAGUUCUCAGAAGUUGAAGCAAGAGAGACAAAAACACAGGAUUUAAGUUGCUAGCUAUUUUUUUUAUUUCUUUUAUCACAGAUAUGGAACAUCUCUAGAAAUACCCAAGUCAAAAGACCAAAACUUUGGCCAUAAUUGAGCAUCAAAAUGAAGCAAAAACAACAUGAAAUGGCAGCAUGGAACCAUUAAUGAGAAAAGAUCUGACAUACCCACCAAAUCUUUUAAGAGCCUCAAUAUGAAACAAAGUCAAAGGAACCAAUCCAAGGCCCAAAGCUACUCCACAACCAUGAUUGAUUGCUCACUCUCGUCCUCCCUCUGCCUCUCUCUCCUCCCUCUUUCUGUGUUCUUCGCUAUUUUUAUCUUCUUCUCCUAUUAUAUUCCAAUUCUCUGAACCAGAAAGGACACAUUCUUAACGAAAAGCAAAAUGACAGAAAGGAUAGAGCUUUAGGGGGAGGGCGCCUUGUCUUUAGUUCAAAUCAACACACACUUACAAAUAUAUACAAACCACCCUCUCAUCUUCCUCUCCUAAAAAAUCACAUGAAAAAUUACAAAUUCUUUUUUUUCCUUUUCAAUUGAAACUGAAUUGUUAUUAUUUUUAAAUUAAAAUAAUUAAUAACAUUAAAAAGCACACCACUCUGUCUCUCUCUACACUCUCUCUCACUGCUUGUUGUCACUCUUAUCCUAAUGUGUCCCGGUUUCUCUGUUUUGCUGACUUGUAUAAAUUAAAUAUUAUUAUAUUCAUUUCAAAAAUUACAGGGUGUAGUCUUACUUGUCGUUACAGAAAUUUGCGGGAAUUUAUGGAAAAUUAGCCUGGAUUUUCGAAACAGCCUCCAACUAAAAUUCCCAAUUUCUCCUCCACCUAUUUUGAAAUGGUCCUUCCCUUCCAGUUAUCUUCUUUUUUUGUUUUCUUAACAAAUUUAUUUAUUUUUUAUAAUAAAAAUAUAUGAGAAUACAUAUAUUUCGGAAAUACCUAUGUGUCCUGUGUGGGUUCAGCCUGUCUUGUUGUCUUGUCUAUACAGUAGGUGGCUGACGUGCAGUGGUCGAUGGGCCCACACGGGCAGGUUGAGCGGUUUGGAUUUCAUCUUCACGUUGGGGUUUGGGGUGCGAAAAUAUAAUCUGCCAUCUGCAUGCUCGACACGUGGCAGGUUGCAGCGAGGUACAGUUUGUUUUCCUUUUUUUUUUUGUGGAUAAAAAUAACUGUGGUGCACUUUAGGUUAUUAAAGUUAACGUGGGACCUACGUCGUCAUCAUCCGUACCCACCAAUCCUAGUUGGCGGUCUGUGGGUCCCCGAUUUAAAGGGCUCAGUUCACUACUCCGUGAUUGGUGGUUGCAUUUUUCCCUUUUCUUUUUCUUUAAAAAAUACAAAUAAUAAUGAAUUCGUAGUUGUACUUUGUAUUAGUAGAUGAUUAGCUUCGUAUUUUAAUGAGCACAAAACACAAUUUGUAUUUUUUUAUUUCACGUUGGUUUUUAAAAAAAAUAAAAGAAAAAACAUGUGCACCACUUAGGAGGUGUAAUAUACUAGAAUAUAUUGAUGAAAAUUAGGAAAAAAUAAAAAAAUAAGUUCGGUAAUAAAAUAAAGGGUAGGGGUAAUUUAGGGACAAAAUAUUUUGUUGAUCGCUUCGUAGUGACCUAUUCAAAAGGAAAAUACACGUGAACAAAUUUAACAAAUGUGAUACUGUGAAUCUAAUCUAGAUUCACAAAUUGAGAAAUGCUUGGGAGGUUAUUUUUCUCCGGUAGAAGAGGAGCUUUCUGUCGAUUAAGUCACCUAAUUGAGUUUUUAGUAAUCUGGUUAUUCUAUUUCAAAAUACUAUUUAUAUUUUAGAACAUUCCACUAUAUGAUGUCAUAAUUACUGACGAUAUGUGAAUCGAGAGAGCAGAAACACAGUCAGUUGAUCAAAACAAUGUGUCAAAUUCACUUCUCUAUAACUUAGAGUAGUUUAAAAUAUUAUAGCCGCUUGACUAUAAUAAUAAUAAAGAUUAAGAAUAAGAUUUUAAUUUAUGGAAGGGAAGAUGAUGAGUACAUUUGUGACCAAGUACUAUGAUUGAGGAAUGUGAUAUAGACACCCUUGUCAUUAUCAACCAACAUAAAUAAAUGAAACGAAGCUGACGUCCCUCUGGCUUUAUUCGGCACUUGUUCUAAUCCAAAUCCAAUAAAUCCCAAUUAAAUAAUUUUUAGAUCAUGGGCAUCUUGAUUAUUUAAAGUCUACAACGUACUUAUUAGCCUUAAUGUUACAAUUACAUAAAUAAUUAUACCAACACGACAACACCAUAAUCCACCUACUUAUAAUACUUUUUGGUUUUAUGUGAGGCACGUAUUUUAUCACCCAAGUUAUAAAUUCAAACAUAUUUGAAUCGUAAAAUAAGUCUACGAUUGCCAACGGGGUUUAGGCUAGUGAAAAAAGACUUUGACAUGCAAAUUAGUGGUUUCAUGUUUAAACCCUGAUAGUACGUUGAUAGUGUGUAUGUGAAAACCUCUCUCUCCUUAUAGUUUAGACUAUCGCUUUUAUUAAAAAGAAAAACAAGUCUAUGAUUUAUUUAUUAUUUUCACCUGGUAUUCUAUAAAAGUUAGGGAGAAAUUUUGUACAAAAAUUAAAAAGCAAAAAGAGAAAGGGAAAGACGCAAAAAUUAUAGUUUCUUCACAUGCGUUCAACUAAUCAUCUCUAGCUUCUUCUUUUUUCCAGGCAACAUGUGGUUCACAAAUACAACACAGGGGGGGCAAAAAGGGUGUUGAAAGUUAUGCAGGGAAAAAGGAAAAAUUUGGCCCACUUUUUCAUCAGAUCACAAACAAAAACAACUAUCAUCUAUCUGUAUCUUCCACUCAACUUGAUCAACCCUAGCUAGAACUUUACUGUGUUCCAUAUAUGUGGCGGCUGAGCUUGAUGGUUUUGGCUUGUUAGCCAUGGCAUGGCCCCAUUGGUAACAUCAAGCAAUUGAGUGGCAGCCCUGGAGAUUUAGAGGGCAACCUUAUCAGGAUGCUGCAAGGUUUGAACACACAUAAAAAUCCAUUUUUACAAUUGAUGUUACCAUCUGAUCUGGAUAUGGUUUUGCCAUCUUAUCUGGAUAUGAUUUUGUUGUAGCAUAUUUGGUUUGUGGUAGUGUAAGGUGUGACAACUUUGAACAAGAUAGAAAACGAAACAUGUUCGUGAUUUGUAAAACAGAACACUCUUGUUGUUUGUGAAAAAAGAGAAAAUGAAAAAAUCAACCCGAAUUAUCAUGUUCGGAUAUGGUACGUGUGAUUUUGUUGUAAAAUGUUUAGUUGUCGAGAAAACACAACGAGAACACGAGUUGAAAUAUAACGAGUUUUAAGUUGUGAAUAAGAAGAAGGUACAUCAAUAACUUUUAACCAACUCUAUGCAUGGCUCUAACAAAUUGUUGACCUAGUGUCGGGCUUCUUGGUCAAAUGCAAGCAAUCACAUGAGUCUACUAAUAGGGCAAGGCCCACACCAUGUGCAUGUGAUGCUGGGUCAAUAAAACCCAAUCAUAUCCCAUGCAGGGCUUCAAUCAUUUUCUAAACUCUUUUUAGGACAAUUUCAUGCACUUUAUUUUAUUUUAUUUCUGUUUUUUAACCUUAAGAAAAAUUGUAAUAAGAAAAAUUGUACAUGCUAAACUUAUGUUUCAAUAGAAGAAGAAAAAAACAGAUGGAGAGAGGAAAAUUGAACUCGGAGCGUGAUGUAAGAUACAUCUUUAAAUUCUCGCAUCACAAAUGAAAUUUAGGGUCUGUUUAAGAGUGCUUCUGGAAUGGCUAAAAACGCUUUCUGAUAAUUAAAAGCGCUUUUAACAACGUUUGGCAAAAAAAUUUAGAAGCGCUUAUGGGUCAUAGAAAUACUUUUCCACGAAGCACUUUAAUUUUUUAAGAAAAUUCAAGAUUUUUAUAAUAAAAACGCUUUUAUUAGAAGCACUGAGCAGAAGCACUUUUUAAAAAAACAAUCUCAAACAAACCCUUAAUAUCGUUCAUAAGAUAUGAAAUUGCGACUUUCUCCAACAAACUGAAGACUUAAUUUUUUUUGCCCCUUACUACAUGUGUGAAAAUAGAGUAGAAGAUUGGGCCUUCAAAGAUAUGUAUCGCAUGAAAGCCCAAUAACUGAGAUUGCAAAAGAUCAACUGAUCAAGUGACAAAUUGUAAAUUCAUUUUUACCCUAGAUAAAAACAAACUUCGACCGUAAAAACGAAGAGAAAAACGAAACUGUUUUAAGUUCCAGAAGUUUCCUAAAAAAGGUAGCUUAUUGAAGGAUCUCUGCAUUUUCCUGCUUUUUUUAUUUUAAAAUCUCAACCAUUCAAGUAAUCCAACAGCUUAAAGUAGUCCACAUCAGCAAAGAAUCAGAACUUCGCUCCUCGACUGCCAUGAAACGACAUCGUUUAUAGGUUUCUGGCUUAUUCCGGAUCCGGAAUACCGUUUUGGCUGUAAUCAUUCUUCUGCAACUGCCGUGGAACCCGACCCGAUUAUCAGAGAAAAGGAGGAAGACGAUUUUCAGAAAGAGAGAAAGGAAAUGGCUUUCUGGGGUUUUGACGCCAAGUAGUUGGCUUUGGCCGUCGAUCUCAGCCCUUGAAAAUUGAAAUCAGAGCCGCCCGAUCUGCGAGGUUAUCAAUUACUGGUAAAGAAGAGAGUUCGCAAUGUACCAGUGGAGGAAAUUCGAGUUCUUUGAGAAGAAAUUGGCGGGAAAGUGCUCGAUCCCCGAGGAAGUCAGCGGAAGGAUCGAGUGUUGCUCGAGCGGCAGAGGGAAGGUGGUGAUCGGUUGCGACGACGGCACCGUGAGCUUCCUCGACCGCGGCCUCAACUUCAGUUAUGGCUUUCAAGCUCACUCCUCCUCCGUACUCUUCCUUCAGCAGCUCAAGGUGAGCCUCCAUUUACAACAUUUUAUCUUGAUUUAGUGAUUUUGUAUUUGGUUCUCCGGAAAGUUUGGAAAACAGAAAAAGAAGGAUUUGGGAAAUUUUGGGACUUUGGAACUUUGAUUUCUGGAUGUUAGGUUUAGUUUCAUUUUUUCAGUAAUUGUUUAGGAGAUGACACGUUUGUUGAUUUUCUCCUGUUAUUAUUAAAUCAGCAACGCAACUAUUUGGUGACAAUCGGAGAAGAUGAACAAAUUACUCCGCAGCAAUCGGCAAUGUGCCUUAAGGUUUUCGACCUGGAUAGAAUGCAGUCGGAGGGCACGAGCUCGAGCUCAACGAGCCCUGAUUGCAUUGGGAUCUUGAGGAUAUUCACCAACCAAUUUCCUGAAGCAAAGGUAGUGCAUGUGCCCAAUUAUUGGAAUUUGUGAAACAUUGAAUUCGAUUGAAACAAUAGGGUUUUGAGUCUAGUUUUGGCUUAUUACUGCAGAUUACGUCGUUUCUAGUACUAGAGGAAGCACCUCCAAUACUGCUUAUAGCUAUUGGCUUAGAUAAUGGUUGCAUUUACUGCAUUAAAGGGGAUAUUGCGCGAGAACGUAUCACCAGGUUCAAGCUUGAGGUUGAUAACCUCUCUGACAAGAGCCAGUCCUCGGUGACGGGACUGGGGUUCAGAGUGGAUGGUCAGGCCCUUCAGUUGUUUGCCGUGACUCCAUCUUCUGUGAGCUUGUUCAUCUUGCAGAAUAAAACUUCAAGGGGGCAAACCCUAGAUCAGAUUGGAAGUAAUGCCAACAGUGUUGCCAUGAGUGAUCGCUCGGUAUGCAAUCCAGCCUCAUCUUCGUUGGUGUAUUUUCAUGCAUAUCUUAGCAUUUUAUUUAUGUAUAUAUUUUGAUCAGGAGUUGAUAAUUGGUCGACCUGAGGCUGUGUAUUUUUAUGAAGUUGAUGGGCGAGGCCCUUGUUGGGCUUUUGAAGGACAAAAGAAAUUUUUGGGGUGGUUUCGUGGAUACCUUCUGUGUGUUAUUGCAGAUCAAAGAAAUGGCAACGAUACUUUCAACAUUUAUGACCUGAAGAACCGUCUAAUUGCCCACAGCCUAGUGGUUAAAGAGGUUUCUCACAUGCUUUGUGAAUGGGGUAACAUAAUACUUAUAAUGGCUGACAAGUCAGCUUUGUGCAUCGGGGAGAAGGAUAUGGAGAGCAAGUUAGAUAUGCUCUUUAAGAAGAAUCUUUAUACUGUUGCCAUCAACCUUGUUCAGAGUCAGCAAGCGGAUGCUGCCGCAACUGCAGAAGUGCUAAGAAAGUAUGGGGAUCAUCUGUAUAGCAAGCAAGAUUAUGAUGAGGCAAUGGCUCAGUACAUCCAUACCAUUGGUCACCUUGAGCCUUCUUAUGUGAUACAGAAGUUUCUAGAUGCACAAAGAAUCUACAACCUUACAAAUUACUUGGAAAAAUUGCAUGAGAAGGGGCUUGCUUCUAAAGAUCAUACCACUCUUCUACUGAAUUGCUACACCAAAUUGAAAGAUGUUGACAAGCUGAAUGUGUUUAUUAAAAGCGAGGAUGGUGUUGGAGAACAUAAGUUUGAUGUGGAGACUGCAAUAAGAGUCUGCCGUGCGACCAACUACCAUGAGCAUGCAAUGUAUGUUGCUAAAAAGGCAGGGAAGCACGAAUGGUACUUAAAGAUCUUACUUGAAGACCUUGGCCGAUAUGAGGAAGCCUUGCAAUAUAUUUCAAGCCUUGAACCAAGCCAAGCUGGAGUGACAGUGAAAGAGUAUGGUAAGAUUCUCGUAGAGCACAAGCCUGUGGAGACAAUUGAGAUACUUAUGAGGCUGUGCACUGAAGAUGGAGAAUCAGGCAAGAGAGGAGCCUCUAAUGUUGCAUACUUAAAUAUGUUGCCAUCUCCUGUUGAUUUUCUUAACAUCUUCAUCCAUCAUUUGCCGUCGCUUAUGGAUUUUCUUGAAAAGUAUACCAACAAGGUGAAGGACUCUCCUGCUCAAGUAGAAAUCCAUAACACACUCUUGGAGUUGUACUUGUCCAAUGACUUGAGCUUCUCAUCAAUAUCACAAGCUAGCAAUGGUGAAGAUCUAAAUCUCAGGGCUAGAUCAGGUGCAACAGCAACAUCAAGAUCAGGGUCCAAUGGGAAAUUUAUUGCUGAUGGCAAAGAUUCAAAUAAGGAAAAGGACCGUGUGGAAAAGCAAGAGAAAGGGCUACGACUGCUUAAGAGUGCAUGGCCAUCUGAGCUGGAACAUCCACUUUAUGAUGUUGAUCUUGCCAUAAUCCUUUGUGAAAUGAAUGAAUUUAAGGAAGGCCUUCUCUAUCUAUAUGAAAAAAUGAAACUCUAUAAAGAGGUGAUUGCUUGCUACAUGCAAGUUCAUGAUCAUGAGGGUUUGAUUGCAUGCUGCAAACGACUAGGGGAUUCAGGUAAGGGUGGGGACCCAAGUCUGUGGGCAGAUCUGCUAAAAUAUUUUGGUGAACUUGGAGAAGAUUGCUCCAAGGAAGUGAAGGAAGUUUUGACAUAUAUAGAAAGGGAUGACAUCUUGCCUCCUAUUAUUGUUCUUCAAACACUGUCCAGAAAUCCAUGUCUCACACUCUCUGUCAUUAAGGAUUACAUUGCUCGAAAGCUUGAACAAGAAUCAAAGUUGAUCGAAGAGGACCGUCGAGCUAUUGACAAGUAUCAGGUUAGUGCUUAUUUUUUGCAGCUGUCAUUGUUAACUUGUUUAUUAUACCUCUUCUUUCAUUUCACUGGCCUCCAGUAAAAGUUGGUUAACAUUCUUUGUUCCUUCUUGAAGUCUUCCUUGGAAACUUUUGUAAUGACAUGAUUGUGAUCUUGUCAAAGUAGAAUGUAUCAAAUAAGUUUGCAUGACUAUCUAGUUAGGUUUAAAAUGGCAUGAACAAUAAGGAAUAAAAAAAAAAAAAAAAAAAAAACUGAAGUGUUUCAAAUAGCUAUGAGAUAAGUGCAUCACGGAAAAAAUAAAAUCUAGGGAUCAUCUUCAGGGUUCUUGGAUAGGGUUACUUUGAACUGACUUCUAUUUUUUGUUUUGUUUUUGUUAGACAUUGAACUGAAAAUCUACAUUUUGGACAAUUCAACAUUUUCUUGACCAGUGAAAGUGUUUCUUUGAAAGAAAUUGGCAUAUUAUUUAGCAAGUGAGAAAAUAAUCCAAAUAACUUUAACAAACACUUCAGUCUAAACAAGGGAAAUGAUCAGGCCUGUUUGGCAUGUCAUAGUUCUUUUAUCUAUAUUACAUGAGUAGGUGAAGCUGAGUCUUUCUCAUGAAAGAUAUCUCCAGCUAAAGUAAUCAAUACGGGACAGGCAUGAUGGUACUCUUCCUGAUUUCUGAUGAGAAUAUACAUUUGUGUGUGUGUGUAUUGGACCAAAAAUAAAUCAUCUGCAAAAAAAAAAAAACAAAAAAACAAAAAAACACUUAACACCAUUUUAGGUUUCAAUUCAAACUAUUGUGUGGUUGUUUCGUGUGUGCAUGUGUGAGAGAUUAUCUAAUGAACCCUUUAAUUCUUCAGGAAACCACAUCGGCAAUGAGAAAAGAAAUUCAGGAUCUUAGGACAAAUGCUAGAAUUUUUCAGCUCAGCAAGUGCACUGCAUGUACUUUCACUCUUGAUCUCCCAGCUGUGCAUUUUAUGUGUAUCCACUCAUUCCAUCAGCGAUGCCUCGGCGAUAAUGAGAAAGAAUGUCCUGUAUGUGCUCCGGAAUACAAAUCUGUGCUAGAAACGAAAAGAAGUUUAGAGCAGAACUCCAAAGAUCAGGAUCGGUUCUUCCAGCAAGUUAAAAGUUCGAAGGAUGGUUUUUCUGUGAUCGCUGAUUAUUUUGGGAAGGGGGUCAUUAGCAAAACCAGUAGUGGACCCACAGGUGGUUCUUGAUCAGCAGCAGUUCUUUCAGCUGUGGCGUAUGAGGUUUGUUAACUGUGUUCAGAAUACUCAACAGCGCAAACCAUGCCCUUGUGGGCUUGGAAUUUUGGAGAUAUCGAAGGUUGAGCAACUUUGGAUUUCCUUCCUUUAGUGGCAUUGGAUGACUGGGCUUCUUCUUAUUGUUUUGUUUCCCGAAAUUUGGAGGAGUGAAAUCUUUUGUAUUUUUUUUUUUUGGCAGAUCAAAAUGGUAUAUCCUGAAACAGUUUUGCGGAUCUGCAUUAAUUCGAAAAAUAAACUGAAAUUUGUGAGUAAAAGGCAUUGUUAUAUAACUUAAUGUUCCCAUUUCUCACUUUCUAGCAGCUUUGGAAAACACCCUUAUCAUGUAUCAGCUGGCCACAUCACAACUACUGAGUUGUUUAGAUUUUCCUUAACUCGUUUUUUUUACUAAUUACUCGUCCUUCAAUAAAAAUUCUAUCGCCCUUCUCUCCACACAAAAAAAAAAAUAAAAAAAAAAUCAAUUUUUCUACCUCACUAACCAAAAUUAGCAUCGGGGAAAAAUUACCGAAUUAUCAGCCUUUAAUUUCAACUCGAAUUAAAUUCUAGUUAUUAUUUCAAUUUGCCAAACUGUAAAGCUACAUAGUUGAUGGAACUGUGGAAUGUGAUGUUUACUAUUCAGGUGACCUAGGAUGUUACAGUUGUUGACAACUUGUAAUCAUUAUAUAUCCGUAGCAUACGCAUCCAUUCUAUCCAUUUGUUUGACUGGCCCAGAUUGGAAGGUACACGGUAGCUUAUGGAAUCAGUUGGUAGUUAAAUUCUUCCAAAGGGGAGAAUCCUAGGCCCCUAACAAUAAUUUUCAAGCUUAACCUACUCCUUUGAAUGUGGCCCUUGUCUAUAUAUUAUCUGAGAAUAAAUAUUUUGGUACCCUCAGUCGGUCAUAAGUUAAAUCUGAAUGUUUAUGUUUUAUGAGCUUUACAUGCAUAAAAUAAGAGUUAAUUCAAUUGUUCGUACAUGCAUUGUGAACUUCAUAUGCAUCAAUAAUUAGAAAUUUUCCACGUCGACAACUCGUAAUAAAGAAGUCUUUAUUGCUUGAACAAAUAAUGAUUCUAGUGUAAAUAAUUAGUGAGAAGUGCUUUUUGAUUGAUGAUAUGCAUGAAAAUAUAUCACAUUGGUACUUUUCAUUGUUUGAGAAGUCACUACGAUAAGUCCCAUCUGUAUAAUCUGUUGAAAAGGUCAUAUUUUUUAUCAUGUUCGAUGAUGGCUCAUGUUUUGCAGUUGUCCUAUCAAUAGUAGUCUGUGGUAGACCAUUGCUGUCGGCGCGUACCCAACCUACCAUGUUGGUUCAAGCAAGGUUUGUGCAAUUUAUUAGCAAUUCUCCACCACCCCACAGUGCUUGGGACAAUCGCCAUGAGAGCGUGCUAGACUCUCAACCGUUAAUGCAUUGGAAUGGAAGUCAUCCGUGUUGAAUUGGCGAUGAUAAAAUAAAUAUCUAACUUGGAUGUAAACAAGCACAAGAAAACCCUUUUCGACCGAAAAAAAAACACUCUGAACCCUAGACAUCCCACCCAUGCUCACCCUUUUCAGCUCGAUGGUAUAACACCACCCAAAAAGGCCAAGUCCGGAUUCAGGCCCUCGCCUCAGCAAAUAUUAAACAAUGGUAUUAUAAUGCUAGUCCACAUCCAACUGAGCACUACACCAAAUCUCUCGACAUCCCCUCUUUGGUUAUGCAGAGACAGCCGAAUCAAAUCAUGUUAUCUUCGUCUUCCCUGUCUCUCAUCUAACCCUACAUUUAUUAAUGGCAACUUAUAAUGGGGGUUCCAACAACUGCUUAAACAAUUAUAAGCAGCUUCCCCGACACCUAAAUGCAGAGGCCUGUGACAACAUCAACUCAAGGAUGCUCCUUUAGUUACAUUCCGUGAACCUUGAUUACCACCAACUUCCAAGAUCUAAAAAGAGGUAAUUUGACUACUUGAGUUUGAAGAUAAAUUGACUUUAUCUAUAAACUUCCAAUCGAAUACAGACAUUAUACAAAUAAUGUGUUAAUUAUAAACACUCAGAGAAGUAGAAGCCAAAUUGUCAAUUUCUACAUUUCCAGAAUUUUGUGAUCAUCAAACCAGUGAAACUGACCCAAACACUAACAAUCGAACUCAAAGAUCAAAAUCAUUACUUUAAGGGGAAACAGUAACUUUAUAAACAUGGGCUGGAUGAUCUGCAACAAGAACUUGAUUGCCUCAUCAUGGUUCUCAAAGUAAACAAACAUAUAAAGAUCAAAAGACCAGCGAUAGAUACAUUAAAGGCUAUAUAAAAACAGAGUUCUCCAAAGAAGAACGAACAUGUAAUUUGACAGACUCGAGAGAAAAAAAAGAAAGGAAAAAAGUACUUUCCUACUCUGUUCUCUAGGCAAAAAAAAGAAAAAGAAAUAAAGAAAAUAUAUGUAGGUACAUAUAAGAUCAUCCUUUAUGGUUCCAGCUUCAAGGAAACAACCCGUGAUUGUCUGUUACGCUUUGCCACCUUGACAAAUACUACUGAGAGGCAAGAUGGAGCCCACCAUGGCCUGCGGACCUUUUGCUCCCCUUUCAGGCAAGCCACUGGACAUAAACUUGGUUUUAGCACACACACAGAUGGUAUCUAAAUGCAAUUCAAAUUUCAGAGGAAAAAGGCAUAUAUAUGUAGCUCAAGGGAAAUAUGAUUCCAGAAAGGUUUAAAUUCUCAGCUUGCUAGGAUAGAUAAUGAGAUCAAGAGAGAGUUUCACAAUGCUAUUGAAUGAGGCAUAAGAACGGUUUCUUAGUGUCAGCGUGCUAUGCUAUCAGUAGACAUUUGAGUGCAUGAAAUGAAUGGAUCAUGCAUGGCCAGUCUAUCUCACCAAUCCAUAUACUCUACAAAAACUCUCUUUUCUGUUUUACUUUUGGAAUAAUUAUAUUUUCCAAUAAUCAAAUGUCAUAUGUACCUGUGCAUAGAAAAUGCAACAGUAAGAUAAUCACAACCCUUAUUCAAAUCUAUUUAUCCAAUAACUCCAGAGACUAAAUGAAAUUUUUGAUAUAAGAACGAACACAAAGACAUUUUUUUCACAGCAUGAUAAAGACUGCUAGGAAAAUUUCUAGGCUACAGACCUUUAAUUCGCCUUAGUUCCUUACACAGCGUGAUAAAGUCUCCCCAUUUCAUGUGGCACCGUCUUAUAAACCGAAGAAUCUGCUCAGUAGUAAACAUUGACAUGCCUUCCAGGUAUUCUCCAUUGACUCCAUUUUCCUUAAAAGUUUGCCGGUAACUGCCGAGGUUUAUCUCUUCCAACCACAAACCGACAUCCUGUACGAAAGGGGAAAAUAAACAUGAGAAUACAUGUGGGUGAGCCAUGUAUCUUUAUAUUCGUUUUAUUAUAUAUGGCCAAAAAAUAUGUACAUGAGGCCUUCAUCAGGGCACAUGAUAAACUCAGGCUAUUAUUAAGUCACUGUUAUAAUAUAACAGUCCCUCCAACCCAAAAAUAAAAAUAAAAAAAACAAUAUUCACCCAAAUUUUUGUUCAGGACAACCUUAAACUUAGGGCAAUUUAAACUCUUUCUUUUGAGAUUAUCCGACUAGAGUUCAUCCAUAUCAAACGGCAUUACUUCACAUGGCAAAGAAAUGUUUUUGUCUGUAACUUGGCUGUGUUUAAUUUUAAUAUCAAUAAUCCCCUUUAGUCACAAAAUAUCUGUUCCCAGAGGUAAUCCUAAGAUUCCUAAGACCAAUAGUAAUGUGUUUGUCUCUUUAUUUUCACUGUAACGUACUUACUCAUAGCUACUAAUAGUUAGGUGGAGGCAUCUUUAGCACAACUUCAGAGUCAAAGACCACAUUCAAGCUUUAGCUCAUAGUUUUGUUCACUUGUGAAGUUGUUAAAAAAAAAAUUAUAAUCCAUUCAUCAUUCUAUGGACAGGGAAACAAUUUCCACACCCCAAGAUGAGGAGGGUCCUGACCAAGGGAAUAGCAACAGAUAAUACGGUAUUGCACUAACAACAAACGAUUGUUCUGUAUCAUAUUAGAAUCGUUUUAUAAAGUGACAAAGAGUCAAACGCCUGACACCUCAAGAACCAUAACUCAAAGAAAGAAGAUUGUGUCGAAUAAUAGUUGGAGGAGGAUGAAUUGAUGAGUGAAGGCAAUUAUUUCCUGUAGUAACAACAUGAGAUGGAUUCAAAUGAAACUGAUGAAUUUCCCAGCUUGCCAAGUAUGAAAGAUAAUUAGCAGAUUACAUGAAAAGUCUCCUCUAUUUCGAUUCAUUAAGUUGGUCUAUUUCACAAUAAUCAAAACUAAAACCUACCACUUGAUAACUGUUCCCCCAGUAACAACCCCAUCAAAAAGAAAAUACAUCACAAGAUGUUAAAAAAAACCCCAAAAUUUCAAAAAGUUAAUACAUACAAACACACAUAUAUACAAAGCCUAACUCAAAGAGAAACAGAUGUAUGAGCUAGCAAUAAAUUAACAAAAAAAAUGAAGUCAAAAUCAGAUGUCCCAAACAACAAUUCUCCAGUAACAACGCACAAGAUCUACUUGAUUGAAUGAGAAAUAUCCAAAAACAAGGACAGAAAAAGAGAAAAAGAGACUGAAAAUUGGUUACCUCAACAGUCCAAAUGAAGAAAUCAAGAGGCUCUGGUGGGUGUUCUUUGCUCAUCUCCCUCAUCAUAACGCCUUUUCAAGACCUUCAAAUCAUUCACAACCCAAACACACUCUCAGUCACAGAGACGACACAAAGAGUAAAGAGCUUAAAAAUAAAAUUUCACAAAAAAUAAAAUAAAUAAAUAACAGCUUGGUCUAAGACUAGUGGCAGUUACUGCGAUCCGAAUUUUCUUCGUUUUUUUUUCUUUUUCUUUUGUUCGUUGUAUUUUCUGGGAGACCAAACAGAAAGUUAGAGAAAGCUGGAUUGGGACUUACCGUGCGGAAGGUGAGUGACAAUUUUGAGGGUAUAAAUUCUCUACAUUUGUUUCAGAGCUUAAAGAGAGAGAAAGUAAGAAGAAGUCUGAAACUGAUGACUCAUUUGCUUUCUUGCCCACUCUUUUUUUCUGUCUCUUAAUGGAGUUGAUGGGCCUCCAUUUUUCUCCUUUAUUUUCCCUUUUAAUUUCUCUUAAUUAUCAUUGCUAAAUUUCAUAUAAUAACACUAAAUUACAUUUUUAUCCAUAUAAAUAUUGUAUCGGAUUGCAAAGCGAUACUGGGGAGAAGGAACCCAACACACAUCUCAUAUGCAAAAGUUAAUACUAUUAAUCGCUUUAGCUACGUGUCCUUCACAAUCCAUUUAAAUUUUUACUAGUAUCUCAAUUGUGAAGAACAUAUAUUCGUGAACGUAAAUCGAAAUACUAGUAAGACUAAAUUCAUUUGAAUUCUAAACCAUAAAAGGUUAUAAUUGUAAACGUCAAAGUGAAAUGAGAUCAAAACAAUUGGAAAUAAAACCCUAAUUUAGCCAAGGAGAAAUUCUCAUUAGUACCCCUUAAGGUAACUUAUAAAUUUGGUUGGUAAAUAAUUUAAUAUUUUAUUUUGGUUCAAUGCAUGUCAAAUCAUAGAGUAAUUGGUUAUUAAUAAUACACCUUAUGACGUUUACUAUAAUAACUUUGUCUUAAUUAUUUUGGGACCAUUAUGAAAUUAUUACUAAACCAGCUUCAAUUAAGGUGCAUGUUUGGGCCCACGUGGGCCGGCCUGAGUUCGAUUGAACUGGAAGACUACGAAGGCGACAAGUUGGACCGACCAAAUCGAAACCAUGCAGACGGUCAAUGAAUCUUAUGGUCAUCAGAUCGUACGGUCGUGACGGGAGUUUCUUUGAAGCUACAGUGAACAGCUACAUGUGCAACACGUGUCCAUACCGUCGCUUACGUUGCGCUAUCAUUGUCCCUGGACCACAUACCAAAUAAUAACCCUAAAUCAGUAAUUAGAAUUACAUCACUUCCUUCUUUUAGGUGUUUAUUAUAUUGUCACUUGUUGUCUCUCCUUUUGAUCUUGCACCCACUUUUUACUGACUUUUUAUUACAAAUGUACGUAUGCACCCCAAAGAUUACAAAAAUAACUUUUCUUACCUCUUUUGUAUUUUUUUGAUGUAAAUUACUGUAAUAUAAGGGAAAAUUUGAAUUCGGGUAUAAGGAGACGAGCACUCUCCUGACAAAAGUAGUCAAUGUUGUUUUACUUAUAACUCAUUAUUUCUAUAGUUAGUUAAGAUUUUGUAUUAAUAUAAACCUUAGUGUUAUUACAAGAUAUAGUUAUCAAUAUGGAUUGGGUAUGUGUAUCAAUGUGGACCGACAAUGGGGCCAAUUCAAGAGGUGGGUUAAACAAGACCUUCUUAAUAUGCUCCUAUGGACCUAAUCCAUACUAUAUAUAUAGCAAGGGCAUGACUCAUGAGGGAAGACAAAAGGGACCCAACUUAAAAAGAGCCCAAUUUUAUAGUGACAUAACAUAUAUUGAAAUGCAGUCUCGAUCUUUUGGACUACAAGAGUUCAAGAGAUUGUGGUCACCCACCGUUGGAUAUUAAUCCAACGGUUGAAAAAAGUUUUUUAAAAGGAGUGCAAGAGUGAGUGAACCAUUGAAUUUACAUCCAAUGGUGAGUGACCACAAAUCUCUUGGACCACUGUAGUCCAAGAGAUCAGGACUGUAUGGAAAUGUAUGAAUGAUUUUUUUUAUUUUAUUAUAAUUUUAAUACAAGCGAUAUUUUAAAUUACAAGAAUGAAGGAAGUUCUUCACACAUGUUACCAAUUCCAACUUGAGACCGUGAUUUGCAAAUCAAUAUAUUUUUUCACUCAACUAAACUCCGUUGACGUGGACAUUUUUUUUGUAGUGUUGUGCUGUGUAAUGGUUAAUCUUACAUUGUUAGAUUUAUAUAUUGUUAAAACAUGCUUUGAUCUAAUGGCUUAAAUUUGUGUAAAGGUGUUGGGCCCACCACCAUUAGUAUUGCUACACACGUCCUAAAGUCGUGAGGUCGCCCACACCGGAUCACCCCGUCGUCAAAUUUCCUCUCUCACUCGAGAGCCAGGACAAUUCAAGCGCUCGCAUUUUCCGUUUUUUCAGCUCCGUGUAUCCCUAAACCCAAAACCCCCAAAUUUUCCCUCCCUUUUUUCUCUGCGAGCAAAAGCCAAACAAAUGUUCUCACCAGGAACUAAGCGAUCCAAUGUGAACCCUCGUCGGGACCCAGGAUCUCCGGCCACUCCUCUCGUCGAGAACCGGCGAUCUGUUUCCGAUAACCCGGUCCCGAACCGGCCCAGUACCGGAACUCCGGCUCCCUGGGCUCCUCGCUUAUCUGUUCUCGCCAGGUACUCGUCUAAUUUAUCAUGCAUUCGUUCUUUGAAUUGCUGAAAUGAGUUCGUCGGUUCUGCAUGUGAGCUUAAUUGUUGGUUUUAAUUGGAUAUGGUAAUUGGAGAGUUGGGUUGGUGAAUGUAAGGGCUGAUUUUCAAUCGUUUGUGUUGUUUUGUGUUUGGUUAGAGUUUUACCAGCGAACCAAAGUGAGAAAGGGGAUGAAAUUAAGCCUGUAUAUGUUGGAGAGUUUCCCCAAGUUGUUCGUGAUGAACAGGCCAGUAUGGUCCAGAAGCAUGUUCAUGGUUAGUAGGGUUUACUCCAUGAGCUUGGUUGUUGAAUGAAAUGACUAACUGUAGAAUGGUAUCCGAUGUUUUCUCUUCUUUUUUUUUCGUCUUGCAGGUGAUACAUAUGUAUCUGGUGGAAUGGAGAGGGGAACAUCUUUGGCAUGGAUUAUAUGCGGAAACAGACUCUUCGUGUGGAGUUAUCUGUCUCCUGCAGCAUCGAUCAAUUGCAUUGUUCUUGAAAUCCCUGCAAAAGUUUUUGAAGGUGGGGAUGUGGGCAGAAGUGGUGGGAACUGUUGGUUGCUUUGUGUUGUCAAUUGGGAUAGCACGUCUACAAGAACAAAGAAAGUUGUUAAACACUGUAGCUCUGCUGGUAUUGUAUUGUGUAACAAAAAAACUCGAGCUGCGGUGUACUGGCCUGACAUUUAUGCUGAAGGCAGAACUGCCCCCGUUGUUAGUGUUGCAUCUUCUGAUGAAUUGGAGGCAAAUUCUUCGCCUAUUGAUAGGAAGACCACCCCAAAGCGACAGCAACUAAAUAUGCGGCACAGGAGUAGUUUGACUGGGUUUUGUACAUUUAACUCUUUGAUUGCUUCUGCAGUCCCUGAUUCCCAGAAUAUGUGUGUUGCGCUUGCCUGUAGUUCAGAUGGCGAGCUAUGGCAGUUUCAUUGCAGCCCAUCUGGUGUUAGCCGUAAGAAAGUAUAUAGGGACAAUCAGACUCUUUCCUCCCAAGGGGGUGACAAUGGUCAAAACCUAGGGAGCAAGGGUUAUCCAAGGUCACUGACCUGGUGUGUUCCAAGUCUUCCUAUGCAGGAAUCUAACAGGCUGUUUGUUCUUCUGACAGAUCAUCAUAUUCAAUGUUUUAAUGUUGAACUUUGUGAUGAAUUUGUUGUGUCAAAACUCUGGUCUCAUGAGAUUAUUGGCUCAGAUGGGGAUCUGGGCAUUAAGAAAGAUUUGGCUGGGCAGAAGCAAAUCUGGCCUCUCGAUAUGCAGGUGGACUAUCAUGGUAAAGUGACUACCAUUCUGGUUGCUACCUUCUGCGUGGACCGGGGUAGUGGUUCAAGCUACACACAGUAUUCUCUUUUGACUAUGCAAUAUAAAUCUGGAAUGAGUGUGGAGCCUACCCAUGAAAGAGUUUUAGAGAAAAAAGCACCUGUGCAAGUGAUAAUCCCAAAAGCAAGAGUAGAAAAUGAAGACUUCUUAUUCUCCAUGAGACUGCGGGUAGGGGGAAAGCCUUCAGGAUCAGCAAUCAUCCUUUCUGGUGAUGGAACAGCAACAGUAUCUCAUUAUUUUAGAAACUCUACAAGGCUCUAUAAAUUUGACCUACCUUAUGAUGCUGGAAAGGUUCUAGAUGCUUCAAUUCUUCCGUCUACAGAUGAUGGUGAAGAAGGGGCAUGGGUUGUACUCACUGAGAAGGCAGGAAUAUGGGCAAUACCUGAGAAGGCUGUUAUACUUGGUGGGGUUGAACCUCCUGAACGAAGUUUGUCACGUAAAGGUAGCUCAAAUGAAGGAUCUGCACAAGAAGAGAGAAAAAACCUUACAUUUGCAGGCAAUUUUGCUCCUAGAAGGGCUAGUUCUGAAGCAUGGGAUGCUGGAGAUAGACAAAGGGCUAUGACUGUAAGUGCGCGUCAAACUGCCCAAGAUGAAGAAUCAGAAACUUUACUGAGCCAGCUUUUCCAUGAUUAUCUUUUAUCUGGGCAAGUUGGUGCCUCGUUUGAAAAGUUAAAAAAUUCAGGGGCAUUUGAUAGGGACAGAGAGACAAAUGUUUUUGCGCGAAUGAGCAGAUCAAUUGUUGACACUUUAGCUAAACACUGGACAACAACUAGAGGAGCCGAGAUUCUGGCAAUGGCUGUAGUAUCCUCCCAACUCAUGGAUAAGCAACAGAAACAUACAAAAUUUCUCCAGUUUCUUGCUUUAUCCAAAAGUCAUGAGGAGCUGUGUUCGAGACAGAGUAUGCCCUCAUGCCUAUUAUAUUUGCAAUGUUUUAUCAUUUGAUGUCAAAUCCUUUCCAAUUGACAUGGCAUAUGUUGAAACUUGAAAGUUCAUGCAUGCAACAGUGUAGGUAUAGCAUGCAUUUACUUCCACGCGUGCUUAUCUAACCCACUGCACUCAAUCAAUUUCUUUUAGGUUGUCAGAUAUUAACACAUAAAGUUAUAAUUCGUUACCGGAGUUUAAUUUAUCAAAAAUAUGAUUUUCAGGGAAUUUUUUCUUUUUGGUGCUGUGCUCAUUUGAUAAUUUUGUCAUCAGAGUAUCUAUUGGAUGCACGGAGUAUAUUAAUUAGUGUCUAGAUGACAAUAUUUCCUAAGGUGUCCUAUCAUGGGGGUAGAAGGCCUUUUGAGGAGUAUAUUGAUUUGAGGUUCAGUGGGGUGCUGUUGACCAACUAAAUUAUGGUUUUUUGUUUCCUUUUUGGCAGGAAAUUCUUUGCAAAUUAUCUUGGAGCAUGGUGAAAAGCUUGCUGGAAUGAUUCAACUAAGGGAAUUGCAGAACAUUAUUAGCCAAAACCGCUCUAGUGGACUUAACUCCUCCCAUUCUAGUCCAGAAAAUCAAAUAUCAGGUGCUCUCUGGGAUCUCAUUCAAUUAGUUGGUGAGAGAGCCCGCCAGAAUACUGUUCUUCUGAUGGAUAGGGAUAAUGCUGAAGUCUUUUACAGUAAAGUUUCUGAUCUUGAACAAGUGUUCUCUUGCUUAGACAAACAGCUAGAGUAUGUAAUAAAUGCAGAGCAGCCAUUUGGGAUUCAGGUCCAGAGAGCUUGUGAACUGUCAAAUGCAUGUGUUACUAUAGUUCGUACAGCCAUGCAAUACAGAAGUGAGCAUCACUUGUGGUAUCCGCCACCUGAGCGCUUAACACCUUGGUAUUGUCUAGCUGUGGUGCGCAAUGGGAUGUGGCACCUCGCUUCCUUCAUGCUGCAGCUGUUAAAGGAGGCAUCUCAACUUGAUGUGUCUGCAAAAUCAGAUUUAUAUACUCAUCUAGAAGUGCUGGCUGAAGUUCUGCUUGAGGCAUAUGCUGGUGCUGUCACAGCUAAAAUUGAACUAGGAGAUGAACACAAAGGCUUAUUAGAUGAGUAUUGGAAUAGGAGGGAUGCACUCCUAGACUCGCUUUAUCAACAAAUCAAAGAGUUUGUGGAAGUUGGGCAUCAGGUAUUCUUUGUUUAUUACUAUUAUUGUUUAAAUUUUAUUUUAGCUCAACGGUAUCUCUUUGUGAUUGUGAUCCUGGUGCUGGAUAAGUAUGCAUCUUUGAAUUUAUUGUCUUAGCAGAAUUUAAAUGAAGGAACUGAUGAUCUAAAUGAAGAAAUUCUUGCGAAGCUUUCGUCAUGUUUGCUGCCCAUGGCAAAACGGCAUGAAUGCUACAGUACUUUAUGGAAAAUAUGCUGUGACCUGAAUGAUUCUGGACUACUAAGAAAUCUGAUGGUAUGACAGUUAUAAUUUCUUCGGCUUGUUACUUGUUUAUUUUCAUUUGUUUUCUGAAACUUAUGGAAUGGUUUCUCUGUUGGAAAGGUUGUUCUGUGCUAGUGUGUAGUAUUAGUCCGUUGGAAUUCAUUUAACCAUUGAAGCAUAGUAACCUGCGUUGGUUGUUUCUUGAAGCUCUUCCUCUUAAUGGUGCCACAGUUCUGAACGUUUACUUUGAAGCUGUUCUCUUCUAAUUAGAAUAAUUCUUCUGCAACUUUUUUCAUCAUUUCAAUGUUUAGUCCUACUUAGAAGUUUGUUAUUUUUAAGGAUUUCAUUAUUAUGUUUCUGUUUAAACUUAAAAACAUAGGUUUUCUCUUGAUCAUUUGCUUCGAAGAUAUUGUUUGAUGUGAUUUCUGUUUUCUCUUGUUUUCUUGUCUUAUUAGAUGUCUCCUUCGUUUUCUGAAAAUGAUUUGUUAUAUAGCAUGACAGCAGGGGACCUAAUGGAGGGUUCAGUUACUUUGUGUUCAAACAACUUUAUCUAAGGAGACAACUUUCCAAACUGCUUAGGCUUGGGGAAGAGUUUCCUGAAGAGUUAUCCAUAUUUUUAAAGUAUCAUCAAGAUCUUCUGUGGCUUCAUGAAGUGUUCCUUCAUCAAUUUUCUUCAGCUUCGGAAACUCUUCAUGAAUUAGCUCUUUCUCAAAAAGAAAGCUCAAUUUCAGAAGCUGAAGAGGGGACUGGUCCUGAGAAUCUGACUAUGUUACCGAAACUGGCAGACAGAAAGCGUUUUUUGAAUCUCUCAAAAAUAGCCGCAAUAGCAGGUAUGUUUUAUCCUUUGACUUUCCUUAAUAGUUUCUUCAUAUAAUUCCCCUCUUCUUGAGCGUUUUCUUGUUUUCUUUACACUGCAUACUCCAUAUGUUUUCUUAUUCUUUUAACUGUUAUUUAAAGAAAGUUUUAUUUUUAUUGCAAAAUCAAGUUGAUAUAGUAAUUUGUGCAAACCAUUAAGUCAAGCCACUUGAGGACUUCCCAUUUAAUGAGAAAUUGGUAAAUGCCUCUCUAGUAUAGCAAUCAAGGGUUGCUAGUUGUGAGAUAUAUUUUGGUUUCUGUGUUGUCUUGAUUUUUAUGAGUGGUUUUGUCAUCUAAAAGACCAAGUCAAACUUCCGCAUGUUACGAAUUGCUACAUGGUUCACUGCUUUGGGGUGUUGGAAAUGCUAAUAUUUUUUUGGCAUGGGAAGAUAAGAACAUUACUUGGUAAUUUUAUUUGUUUUAUUUUAGCUUGAGCUAUACUGGUUAUUUAAGUGUUAUAUAGUUGUUUGCUUCAUUGGCAGGUAAGGAUGUUGAUUCUGAGACCAAAGUGAAGCGCAUUGAGGCUGAUUUAAGGAUUCUAAAGUUGCAGGUCUGUUGUGUUUUAAAACAAAUUUAAUUGCCAUUUUUGUUUUUAGUUGAAGGGUCUUCCCGAUUAUUUUUCCUUUUUAAGAGCUUUCGUUAUUUGGGUAUCAGAAUUGGCAAAUCAGUCUUGUAUUAUCAUGCCUUCAUUAAAAAGAAAAAAGAGAGAAAGGAUUCUGCUUUUUAUGAUUGGGUAUGGGUUAACAGGAACAAUUCAUGUGCCAUGUCUCUUGCCCCUUCCUCCCUUCCACCCUUCAUAUUCCACGGUUGGCGGCAGUUCCAUGAAAAUUUUCUUCCAGUCAUUGCACUUGCAUGAUUAGAGCCCAAAUUCUCAAUGGUGAUGGUGCAUUUUUAGUCAUUUGUAUUAAAUUGCAUGAGCAAUUAAAUCAAGCUUAGCAGCUUGAGAAGGUUGUGCCUUGUUCUCUUCAUAUGUCCUAAUUGAACAAGGCAUAUAUAACAGAAUUUUCCACCCCUCCCACUCUAAUUAUUAAGGUGGAAAGUAAUUUAUUUUAUUUUCAAGGAUAGGACUUUUGGAAAUCAGUAGUGAUCAAGCAAAGCCUUGAAUUAUGACUUAUUUUUUAACUCUUGAAUAUGAUGAAUCUCUUUCAACUAUGUACAUUCACUGUCAGUCUUCACCUGAUACAUCAUCUGUUGUUGCAGGAAGAAAUAAUAAACCUCCUUCCUGAUGAUGAAACAAAGCAAAGCCUUGACACAAAGCUACUUCAUCCAGAAGAUCUUAUCAAGCUGUGCCUUGAAGGUGAAAAAGGUGCAGAGCUGUCACUGCGAGCUUUCGAUGUAUUUGCAUGGACCAGCUCCUCCUUCCGUAAGACCCGUGCAAACCUUUUAGAGGAGUGCUGGAGAAAUGCUGCUGAUCAAGAUGAUUGGAGCAAACUCUAUCAGGCAUCGGUAUCUGAAGGGUGGAGUGAUGAGGAAACCUUGCAGAACUUGAAAGACACCGUGCUUUUCCAGGCAUCAAAUAGAUGUUAUGGACCAGAAGCUGAAACUUUUGGAGAAGGGUUCGACAAAGUGUUGUCACUGAGACAAGAAAUCGCGGAGCCUCCAAUCAUAAAGGAUUCAGUUUCUUCUGUGGAAGCAGUACUCAUGCAGCAUAAGGAUUAUUCAGAGGCAGGGAAGCUGAUGCUGACCGCGAUCAUGUUGGGUAGUUUACAGGACGAUAACAUAGAACAAGAAGGUCCUGUGCCAAUGGAAUGAGAGUCAGAUUAGUAUGAAUCAUGGUGAUGAGUUCCUGGAUGUGUCAUUGUUUUUUUUUUGUUGAUACACUGAGAUUCGUAGUGUACUAGUCGACAAGUUACAGCUAAAUUUUCUCUUUUCCUUUUUCUUUUUCUUUUCCCUUGUGAAAUUCUCCAACCAAGUUUAUACGAACAUUUGUCAGUCUACUCCGAUGCUUUACUGGUUGUCAGUUGUAAGAAUUUUCUAAGAAGGCGGCAAGUUUUCUUUUUAUAUAUAUAUAUGAACAAGGGAAUUGAACCUGGGAUUGGAAUCCGCAGUAAUUCAUGCAAGCAGUUGCAUUAUCGGCAAUUUCUGUCAAAUUUAAGAAUGCCUUUAGUUUUGCCUUUAGUUUUAAGGGAAAACAAAGCGUGACAAAAUCAGACCAAAAUUGAAGAAAUAAGAAGAAAAAAAGAGUGCAGUUUCGGCGUUUCUUUCUUUGCCGCGUUGCCUUCCAUUACCUCGAAAAUACAUCUAAAUUUCAAGAAAAAUAGAUUUAUUUUGAGGCGGAAAAAUGCAUGAUGAAUUUACCGGGAAAUACUACUGGUUUUGUUGAUGAAUUUCGUUGAAGUAGAAUGCUUUUCUUCUUCCUCUUCUUCCAUUGCCAACUACUUUUGCAUUCUAUUAAAGCCUCUUAUUUUUGGUCAAAAACUACUGCGGCAGGCAAGCCAAUGUGAAGAAGAAGAGGGUCCCCUGCCAAUGGAGCGACAGUCGGGGUUAGUAUUGAAUCAUGAUGUUGAGCUCUUGAAUCGAAUCUCUUUUUUGCUACUUCUAUAAUUAAUAAAAUAUUCAAAAAUGUAGAAAUGAGUUUAGCCAAGUUGGCUAGUGGAUGUGCUUCCCACUCUGCACUGACUUCGAAUUCCCCCACUCUUAGGUUUAUAUCAGUUCAAAGUAGAUUAUCGCUUGUAUAUAUUUUUUUAAAAAAAUAAAUUUUUUUUUUUCAAAAGUAAUUGAUCAUUUGUUUUCCUUUUUUGUUCUUCCCAUAUAAAAUUGCUCUAAAAGGAAAUAUUUGUAAGUUUACUCGUUAUCAUUUACUGAGCGAUUAUAUAUUUUGAAGUGGAUAUUUUAGGUUAUUCUUACAUAAAAAUUUUCUAGAUUCAUAAUUGUUUGGUUAUCCUAAAUGUGAAGAAAAAUGUUGUUCGAUAAAUAAAAUUGAAAAGAAGAUGCGGGUAAUCAAAUAACUAAAUAAUUUUCGAUUCUGCUCAUUUUUUAUAUGUUAAGUAAUUCUUGAAAGAGAACUUAAAAAUUGAAUGGUUUCGAUGCUCGAUUUACAGCCCAUAAAUAGGGUUUCCUUGUUUUCAUUUCCCUUGAAAGUGUUCAGCUCUACCUAUGGUUACUGUGUCAUACCAAUUUCCAAACUGUUGUUAUUUAUAUUAAUUUCUUUUAUACAAUAUCCAAAGUCUUGCCUCUAAUACAAAAUCUUUUUCCGUAGGGUUGGUGCUGAAUAUCUUGGUUUGGAAUUUUUAAAGAGGAUUAUUGAACAAGACGACCCCAAAACGAAAUGAACAACACUAAUCUAUUUGUUAGUGGUUACUUAGACUAAUUAAGUAAAAUAAUGAAUAUUCGUUAAUAUACUAGACAAGACAAGCAAGUCAAGUACUUUGCACUACAGACCAAAGCAAAGACUCGUGUAGCUUUUGUUAUGUUUGGAGACUUUUUACAUUAUCUCUAUUAUUUUUUUUAUUCCGACCACAUGACGUGCUACUAUGCAUGAAUAAAUAUCAUUUGAGAACAAGCAAGCCUCAUUGACUUCUUACACCAAAUACUAAAUACAUUUCUUGCUCGUUUGUGAUUUCUUGUUUAGGAAGGACUUUUGUUUAUUAGCGCUUUUAUUAUAAAAUAUUAAAAAUUUUAUAAGAAAUUUCAGUGCUUUCUAGAAAAUCAUUUUGAAGUGAUUCAUGAAGAAGCUCAUAGCAAAUGCUUCUCCAUAAAGUGCUUUUAUGACCCAUAAGUGCUUUUAUUUAUUUUUAAUUUUAUCAAACGUUGUUGUUGUCACCAAAAAUGUGUCGUUUUAAAUUUAUAAAUACUUGCAAGCACACGAAUCGGAUAUAGUAUAGAUGUGUAAGAACCAGGUCGUACCCAUAAAGAUUGAGUGAAAAAUAUAGAAAACUAAUUAAACCCAAGUUAAUUUUAUUGCCAACCUAGUUGAAUCAAAUGGUGAUUUGUUCGUUGAUAAAGAAAAUUAAAUAAAGCAAAAAAAAAUGGAAAUUAAAAUAGAGAUUAAAUUAAUGAGAAAAGUAACUAAGGUAUUAGAAUCCACACCACUAUUUCAUAAAACUCUAAUUAUUUACCUGUUAAUUUCCACGCUGAGUAGCAAUCUAGAAGUCAACCUAUUACUUUCUCAAGAUAUAUCAUUUAGGCCCUUUAAUGAAUCUUUUUGUAAAUUCCCCUUCCCUUCAUUAGUACAAAUUCUAAGCAUCGCAUGUAAACAAAAUUUUUUUAACUACGAAGGAUCAAAGUUUCCUAAGCAUCCUAGGUGAAAAAGGUUAUUUGAAUGACAAGAGAUCAAAGAAAUUUGGAUACUAAAAAUACAAAACCAAGGAUGUAUUAAUAAAUCAACCCAAAUUCUUAACUACCACAAAUACACGAUAGAAGUGGUGAAAAGAAAGUUAAUCUACUAAUCAUGUGAAGUGGAAAUUAUAAACAUUGAAUAAUUUACUUCGGAAACUAGAAGAUAAAAACUAGAACUUCAUUUUAUAAUGAUGUUUCAUUAUUAACAAAAUUUAACUAGACAUAAAUAAAAUAACAAAAUAAUUACAAGAUAAAAACUAAAGUGGAAAUGAAAAAGGGAAAAUUGCAUCAUUAACCCUUUGGAUCCUUGCCUGUCGGCUCCCCAAGGUUCUCUCCAAUUCUAUCGCAUUUUCUCUCCUCUUUCUUUCUCUUUCUCUCUUUCCUUCUCUUUGCCGUGUAUCUCUUGGUACCUCACAUCUUUGCUCCAAGCUUUUAAUUAUAAUCAAAGUUUAGGAGCUUAAAUGAUAGAAUAAUCAAGAGAGAAUAAGAAUUCUGGUCUUAUCUAUGCACAUUACAAUAGAACACAAAGUGGCAAUAAUGUCAACUACACUUUUAUUUUAUUUUCUCUCUUUUGAGUGCCAAUUUUCCACAAUCCCGCGUGGCAAACGCGUAUAGAGACGAAGCCACACCACCACUCCCUCCCUCCCAGAAAAAAAUUUCACUACAAAACAAUACAAACAAAGAGAAAGAGGCUUACAUUACAUAAUGUCAUAAAACAAAAUAUGAAAAUAAAAAGAAGCUCCCUGUUGUACAUCAAAUUUAAUUUAUAAUCUCUAGGGAAAUUAAUUUUCUGGGUAAUUUACAAUGUGUAGUUUCCAGGUCGCUUCCUUUAUGGGGGCAAAAUUGUAAAAUGCAACAUAUCUCACGUCUAUAAAAAACCCCCAAUCAUCACUCAACUAAUCACACCUCAACCUCAUUUCCUCAUCCUAUUUCUAUCAUUAACUGCAGUGUCUUUCUUGACAUUAUUCAAUAAAUCCCAUGUUUGUUUUUUCUCUGCUACGCAUUAAUCUGGGGGAAAAGGCUAAUUUAAGUACUCUCCAAAGCCAGCACUCACCAAUUCCCUUUUCCGUGAAUCAAAUGAGGCCUAAUAUUUCAUUUUAGUCGCACAAAUUUCUUUGUGAGCUUUUUUGAAGCACUUUCCAAACCCAGCACUCAACAACUCCUUGAGCCUUCCUCAUUUAGUCAUAUACGUACGGUGAGUCCAAUAUUCCAUGCCAAAUCUUUUUUGAUCUUUUUUUUGAACAUUUUUUUUUGUCUGACCAUUUGUCUAAUUUUGUAGUUGCACCAAGAAACAUGUUCCUAGAGCCAAAAACAGAUGAUCAAGCUUCCGAAGGUGUGGGCAGCAGCACUAGCUUGCUCAUUCAAACCAUCAACACUUCUGGCCAAUACGUGCGGCGCAAGAGAUGGCUUAGAUAUAUUGCUCUAGGCGUUUUCAUCUCCUCACGCAGUAAGAAAACCAGAUUGCCCCAUGAAGCCCCUACCUAUGAACCUUUAGAAGCACCGGCACCACCGGCCCCUGCCUUUCAGCAUGCGAUUGACAUCCCUCUUCAGGACCGGUUUCUGAACAAGGUUGGUCGCAUUGUGAGAGAGAAGAACUUGAAUGCACUGCGAGGACUUGGUGGUGUUGCUGGCAUUUUGCCCCUUCUCAGUUCUCACUUUGAGGUAGCAAGCAAAUAAGUAGGAAAAACAAAAACAAAAAAAACAAAAAAAAACUUAAUAAUCUUAUACACUUGAUAAGGAAUGAUUGAGAAUGAUUGAACUUAACUUUGUUAAGUUAAUCAUAUUCGUUCUUUAUAUGACAGGAUGAUGGUGUUGAUGGUGGUCAAAAUCCACAAGGAUGGAACACGACCAAGUCCCCAGUUGAUGCAAAAAGCUUCUCCAACUUCUUGUUGAAGGCUUGCAAUCAAUAUACAGUUUUUUUCCUCUUACUCUCAGCAGGGUUUUCGUUUGCCAUUGAAUUCAUGAAGCAAGGAGUCAAACAAGGGUGGCACGACGGUGUUGCCAUACUCUUUGCGGUGUUCUUACUUGUUGCUUUCCCUUCAGUGGGGAACUACCUCCAUGAGAGAAAGCUGGUGAGGAAGCACCUGCUGGACAGGAGCAGACUGAUGGUGAAUGUUGAAAGGAGUAACAGAGAACCUACAUCAGUUAACAUAUCUAGUGUUGUGGUGGGCGAUAUAGUUCAUUUGAAGGAAGGAGACCGCGUCCCUGCCGAUGGUUUGUUCAUAGAUCAUGGUGAGGACUUGAUGUUGGAUGAGGUAUUGAACCCCAAAAUUGAUUGUCAACAAAACCCGUUUGUGUUGUCUGGUUCAAAGGUUAUUAAGGGGCAUGGUCGCAUGGUUGUGACAUGUAUUGGUGCCAAAACAGUUUUUGCUGAGAUGCACAGCUUGGGGACUAAUCAUAAUCCAAACGAAAAGACGCUGUUACAAGAUUUGUUGGACAAGCCAUUUGAUUGUAUGGAUUAUCUUGCGGUUUGUGUCUCUCUACUGAUUGCUCUCGUGGUGCUAAUACGGCUAUUAUUCUUCAGGAAGCAUGACAAUUACAAUGACAGGCCAGAACUGAAAGGGGAAGGUUCAAUGAACUUGGUAAUGAGGAUCUUUGAGAAAAUUUUCUUGAAACCUCAAGGACGGUUUUCCACUUUAGCAGGUGUUCUUGCAACCGCGGUGAUAGGGAUACAACAUGGAAUGCCUUUUGCGAUUACAGUUGCCCUUUGUCAAUAGAAGGAGAAGGUGGUCCAAAAUCAGGCAAAGCCUCAGAAUCUAUCAGCUUGUGUCACCAUGGGACUAAUAACAGUCAUCUGCAUAGAAACAACUGGUGAGCUAAUGUGUAGUCCGGGGGAGGUUAAGGAAUUUUGGAUGGGUGGAAAGGAUUUAUGCAGUGAUGAAGUGGACUCUGAAGCUGACCAAGUUGUUCUUGAAACACUGCAUCAGGGGAUUUCUGCUACCUCAUCCCCAACAAAAGAUUUGCUCAUUUCUUGGCUGAAGACCAGAUGGGGUGCUAACAUGGAGUUAUUGAAUGAAACAGGUAAUACCAUUGAGCAGAGACAAUUGAGCUCUGAUGAGAAAUGCAGUGGGAUUUUAGUGGAGAAAAUUGUGAACGAUGAACAAAUUCUGCAGUUGCACUGCAAUGGGGAUGCAUCAACAAUAUUACAUAAGUGUUCACAUUACAAUGAUAACAGAGGGGAAAGUAAAACUAUGAAAAACCAGAACAGAAGAUUUAAGCAGGUGAUUAAUAAAAUGGAGGAGAAUGGUCUUAGGCCCAUUGCAUUUGCUUACAAGAAAACAGAAGUCCAUGAAGUUACAGAAGAUGGGUUGAUUUUGUUGGCAAUCGUGGGCGUUAGACGCCCAUAUCAAGAAGAGCUUAAAUUGGCAGUCGAAGCUCUUAAAAGGGUUGGAGUAAGCAUCAAACUGGUGUCAGAGGAUGAGCUCUCAACAGUGAGAGCCAGGGCUUCACAACUUGGAAUCUCCCCCGGUUCAAAUGACAUGGAAAUUGAAGGAGAAGUUUUCCGAAGACUGAAUUCCAUGGAAAGGCAGGAUAAGAUGGAUAUGAUCUCUUUGAUGGGAAGGUCCCUCCCUAAGGACAAGUUUCUCAUGGUGGAUCGCUUAAGGAAAAAAGGUCACAUAGUUGCAUUCUAUGGAGGGUUGACCAUAAGCGACACUCCGACCUUAAAAGAAGCUGAUGUAGGAGUCAUAGAUGAUAUCCGGAGCACAGAAAUGGCUAGAGAGAAUGCUGAUCUUAUAGUUAGAAAUGUCUGUUUACUAGCCCCUAUUUGGAAGUCUGGUGCAUGUGCUUACCACAACAUUCAGCAAUUCUCUCAACUUCAGCUCACUGCUUGCAUAUCCGGGCUACUGAUAACCUUAGUGGCAACAAUGCAUUCCGGAGAGUCCCCGUUAUCCGCAGUUCACUUGAUUUGGGUGAACUUGAUUAUGUGCCUUCUUGGUGGCCUCAUGAUGGUGAUGGAGUUACGAGGCCCAGAACUACUCACUCAAAGACCUGCAAAGAGGACUGAGUCACUUAUAACACCAGUCAUUUGGAGAAACAUAGCAAUUCAAGUUUCAUCUCAGGCUUCUGUCUUGCUGAUCUUACAUUUCAUGGGAAAUGCAGUACCAAGCAUGGAUCAAGGCAUCCGGAAUACGAUGAUUUUCAAUACUUUCACCUUGUGCCAGGUCCUUAAUCUGUUGAGUGCCAUGCACUUGGUGAAGAAGGAAAUGCUACUAGUUGUCCUCCACAACUAUUGGUUUCUGAUGGCUUUGGGGGCUGUUUUGAUCAUGCAGGUGAUGAUUGUUGAGUUUGGAAAAGGGCUAGUUAGUGGUGCGAGGUUGAAUGCACUGCAAUGGUUGAUCUGUUUCCUUCUUGCUGCUCUUUCAUGGGGAUUUGAUUGGACCUUUAAAUUGCUUUCAGAUAGCAUCGAAAGAACAACUUCGGCAUUGAUGGUGAAUUCACAUGUGGGGUUCUCAAAUAGGAGGCGCAGAUUAUACAUUUCUAUUUGGUUGUUCCUGAUCUUCUCCGUAUCGUUGUUUUGUUUUCACCCAGUUUCUCAGCUCGCUAGCACAUAUAUCAGUUAAAUUGGAAGUCUCCCAUGGAAGUCUUAACAAAGUUAAUAAACCAUGUAGUCAUCUUGUGGUCUGUCUGUGUUCCUACUUGUUCUGCACAAUGCCAUCUCUAAAAUGUGAAUAAGUUAUUCUCCUGCCUUUUUACCAUGAGCCUUCGCGACAAUAGACCAGAAUGCUAAUAGAUAUUACAUUGUAGUUGAUCAUAGACAAUGUAGGUGAGCUUAUGUUAUUUACUCUUCGGGACAUUCUCCAAUAAGUAUUUAAAUUAAGGAUUAGUUACAUACUUCUAAUCUCGACUGUUGGAUUGCAUCUAAGAGAAUACGAACACAUUAAAUGAAUGCAAGCCAACAGCUAAGAUUAGAAGUAUGUAACCAAUCCUUAAAAUACUUUUUGGAGAAUCUCCCUUUCUGCCCUGCUAUGGUUUGCUGUUGUUUUGUCAAUACUGCGGCAAAUUAACCUUUUCACAGCAGCCAAGGAACAGUUCUAAUUUUAGAGGUUGGCGUUUUUUACCUCAAGCCUACAAAAACACCCAAGGAAAGUUUAUGCUUUCAUGAUUUCAUCAAUGGGGGCCUAUUAAAUAUUUGUCUUCUGGUUGGAGCUGGCAUGAACUUCUACAGUACAACUAAUCUUGUGGCCUGCGUUCACCAACCACAAAAAUUGCACCAAUUUGCCAGCCACGUGGCUAAGAGAUAACCUCUCUCUCACUAGAACAAUCAGUUUGGAAAUCUAAAUCCAAUUGAGAACCAAUAGAAUGUUGCUGAUGUGUAGAUAUCCUAAUCCACAACAUCUUCACAUUCCCGUUAUAACAUCCCAGCGCUCUAGUUGUCCAAGGCAUCUCAUUAGGCCUCACAACACCACCCCACUUCGAACAGGAGAGCAUAGUCAUGGCAACCUCUGCAAUCCAACAAUCAGCAUUUGCUGGCCAGACUGCUUUGAAGCAGUCAAAUGAGCUCAUCCGAAAGAUUGGCGGCCUUGGUGGCGGCCGCAUCACCAUGAGGCGCACCGUCAAAAGCACCCCCCAAAGCAUAUGGUAAGUACCUUGGCUCUAGCCUGUGAGAAUAAGAUAUUUUUUUCCAAGCAACUCUACUAAAACUUCCAUGUGUAUAGAUAUGGUCACUGAUACAUAUUACGCUAUUGGAGUAAAUUAAAGUAUCUAGUAGUAUUGAGAGUCAUGGAUUCGACGUAAACUUCUAAUCAAAAUGAUGUUUAGAUUACAAUGACAGAAUCUCUAACAAUCUAUUCUACCUCAAUGCAUAAAGUUACAGUGUUACAAGACCAACAUGCUCAACAUAGCAUUAGGAAGUUUACACCAUACCCAUACCUUUUAAAGCCAAGGCCUUGAGCUUAUUAUGCUAACCCUCUUCACUGUAAUUAACAAAACAGGUAUGGCCCAGACCGCCCAAAAUACUUGGGACCAUUCUCUGAGCAAACUCCAUCAUACUUGACUGGUGAAUUCCCUGGUGACUACGGAUGGGACACUGCUGGACUAUCCGCAGACCCUGAGACAUUUGCCAAAAACCGUGAGCUUGAGGUGAUCCACAGCCGAUGGGCCAUGCUUGGUGCACUGGGAUGUGUCUUCCCAGAAAUCCUGUCAAAGAAUGGUGUCAAGUUCGGCGAGGCUGUUUGGUUCAAGGCUGGAUCUCAAAUCUUCUCCGAGGGUGGCCUUGACUAUCUUGGCAACCCAAACCUUGUCCAUGCCCAGAGCAUCUUGGCAAUCUGGGCUGUCCAGGUUGUGCUCAUGGGAUUUGUCGAAGGAUACAGGGUUGGUGGAGGACCACUUGGUGAAGGACUGGAUCCACUUUACCCUGGAGGGGCCUUUGACCCACUUGGACUGGCUGAUGAUCCUGAGGCGUUUGCUGAACUGAAGGUGAAAGAGCUUAAGAAUGGGCGGCUGGCAAUGACUUCAAUGUUUGGAUUCUUUGUUCAGGCUAUUGUAACUGGAAAGGGCCCAGUUGAGAACCUAUAUGACCAUGUUGCUGAUCCAGUUGCCAACAAUGCAUGGGCUUAUGCCACCAACUUUGUCCCUGGAAAAUGAAGAAACCUAAAUGCAUGGCUGUUCAUAUGUAACAUUACCCGAACUUCUUGCCUUUGUUGAGGUUCUGUUGUUGUGGACUCCAUUAGUUCUGAUGUAAUCUUACUAGAAACUGCUUGUAUUGAAAUCACUUAUCCAGUAAAACCGCCCAGCUCCUUUGUGCUUGAACUCCUUAUUUGUCUAGAUGUGUUGAACAUUCAAAAGUUCCAGUCAACAAAUGCAUGCUUUGCUACAAUAUAGUAAAUCUAAACCAGAGAAUAAAUAUAUAACAACCAAAAUACAAGGGAAAAUAAAAAUUAAAACCAAAUCAUAUGAUUAUCAGAUUCAUCUUAGGUUUCUUCAUCUAUUCCUCCCCAUUAGGCAAAUUAAGUUUAACCAGCGCAUACAGAGAAUGUGGGAAAGAUUUCUGCAAACUUUUACCCACUGAACACUGGCUAUCAUCUCUAAUUUUAAUAUCAGCAUAAUGAAGACUGCCUAAGCUAUUAGUAUUACGGACACAUAGUAUAUGGAUUUGGCCAAUGCAGGGUGAAAGGAAUGAUGGGAAGAGCUAUCAUCUCUUACUAUAAUCUCAGUAUAAUGAAGAUUGCCCAAAUAGCUAAGGGCAGCCACAAUCCUGUUGCAAGAAAGGCUGUUUUGGGCUCUGGGCAAGCCAUACUGGUAUCGUGUCGAUAUAGAUGUCAACAUGUUUGUCAUAUGGAUGGUGAUAUGUUAUUUAUAUGGAUGUUGAUAUGUUGUCAGUGUGGAUGUCGAUAUGUUGUUGAGUAUCCCACUCCAGCUACAGUGGAGUGGGAUAUAUGUAUAUAAUAUUACACAAUAAGUGCCCACAAAGAGAAUGUACAAAACAAAGAGAAUCAGAGCACAAAGAGAAUGUAUGAAACAACAAAUUUGGAAAAUUUUCAGCAAACAAACUUUUGCCAACUGAAACUUUUCACAUGAUGGGAGGAGCUAUUAUCUUUCAGUAUAAUGAACAAUUCUUGUAGGGGUAACCAGUAUACAACGAAGAUUGCCUCUAAUACUAAGGGCACCUAGUGUACGAGCCUUCUGCCAAUGCAGGGUGAAAGAAGCGAUGGGAAUGACUAUUAUAUCUCACUGUCACUAUAAAUUCAGACUCUCUGUAUAAGAUAGCCUAUCUUGCACUAGUCUCUGGCCAAUUCAGCAUCUAGGGAGAGCAAGACCUAUGCAGUCAUAUCCCUGUAACAAGGGGGGCUGUUUUUGCUGGGGACAAUCAUUACAUCAAGAAACACCUUCAAGAAUGUCUAUACUGCUAAAUCUCAAAAGGAACACAAAGAAAUGCAUAAAAUCAGAAGAAAUGAUACCAGUGGCCAAUUUUAAGAGUGGAAGAAUAGAGGUAGAGGCAUUCUGAUGCUUAUUGCUUCGAGCAGAUCAACACAAGCGUCAAUGCAGCAGACAAACAAGUCAGUCACCAAAAAUCUUUGCAAGAACAUGACCCAUUUCUGAAAUGAUGGAAACGACUAUUAUCUCUCACAAUAAUCUCACGAUCAUAGAUACUGGAUAGGAGUUUAGUGACAGAGUGGCAAUCGUUACAGACACGAAGAUUCUUUAUAAUGCGAAUAGGACUCCCAGAUUCCAAAUUAAUAAGACCAUAUGCAAUAGCCAAUCUCUCGCUAUGGUUUUCCAAUUCAGCUUCCUUCUCUUUUUCCUCUUCAAGACACAACAGAACUUGACUUGUGUCAGGAACAUGUCCUUCGGAUUUCAGUUUCUCUCUCAUCUCAGUCAACUUAGAAUAUAUGUCUUUUGUCCGAGGAUGUGAUUUGUCACCGACAAUAAACCCAUGAAGCACACCUCUGUGCUCUAUGGAACUGCAUCCUGGGUCCUUUUUUACUCCUCUCUUUCUCAUAAUUUCUCUUACCUGUGAAACUUUCUCCCACUUAUCAGCCGCAGCAUACAUGUUAGAAAGAAGAACAUAGCAUCCAACAGUGUCUGGAGACACGUCAAUCAAAUGGCGAGCUGCAUAAUCACCAACUUCAACAUUUCCCUGGUUCCGAGCACCACUAAGCAAACUCAUCCAAAUUACUUUGUUUGGUUUCAUGGGCAUACCUUCAAUGACAUUCUUUGCCUCGUCCAGACAACCAGCGCGGCAUAAAAUGUCUACAAAACAACCAUAGUGUUCAAUUGUGGGUUCAAUUUCAUAAUCAUUUAUCAUCAGAUUGAAAUAGUAACGACCAAGAUCAACCAAUCCUGCAUGACUACAUGCAUUCAAGACUCCGAUAAAAGUUAUACUAUGAGGGCGCAUUCCAUUUUUGCGCAUCUCAAGGAAUAGCUCAAGAACCUGGUCGGCCAUACCAUGCAUUCCUAAACCAACAAUUAUAGCAGUCCAAUGCCCCAAUUUCUUCCUGUCUAUAGCUCGAAAUACAGCCAGAGCACUCUCUAUGCUCCCACACUUGGAAUACAAUUCUAUCAAUGAUGUACCAAGCACACCAUCUAAAUCAAAUCCAUGUUUUACCAUGAAAGAAUGUAUCCAUCUCCCCUUACUUAGAGUGGCUAAUCCUGAAACGGCAGAAAGAGCACUGACUAAUGUAGCAUGACUAGGCAUAAUAUCUUCUUCCAAAAUUUCCUGAAACAACUCCAAUGCUUCCAUAAACUGUCCAUUAAAUUCAUAACCUGCAAUCAUCGAAUUCCAAGUAAUUAUAUCUCUUGUUGGCAUCAGACCAAACAAUUGACGUGCCAUCUCAAAAUCUCCGGAUUUCAUGUAACCAUUAAUCAUGGCAUUCCAAGAAACCAAAUUUCUAUUUGGCAUCCUAUCAAAUAUCUCCCUAGCCAUCUCUACCUUCCCGCAUUUUGAUAACCCGUCAACUAAAACAGUCCACGAAAAAGAAUCUCUCUCCUGCAUUUGAUCAAACAAUUCCAUUGCAACUUCUACUUCUCCACAUCUCGCAUACCCAUCAAUCAAAGAAUUCCAAGUAACCAAAUCUCUAUCAAGCAUUUGAUCAAACACUUUCCUAGCCAAACCAAUCUCACCACACUUUGAGUAUAAACUAACCAAACUACUCUGCACAAACUUAUCCAAACCAAGCCCAAUUUUCAACACCAACCCAUGAAUCUGUUUCCCUUCCCCAAUCGCAUUUAACCGAGCACAACCCUUUAUCACACACGGUACAGUAAAAUUAUCCGGAACAAGUUCAUGAAGCAAUUCAUAGAACAAAACAAUAGCAUCAUGGGAACGUUGGUUCCCAACAUAGCAUUUGAUGAGAACGUUCCAGGAAACCAAGGUGGGUUCUUCAAUUUGAUCGAAGACGGAGCGAGCAGAGUCAAGAUUGUUGAUUUUGGGGUCUGCGUAGAGAGAUAAGAAACGGGAAGCAAUUGCUGGGUGGCUGAAAGUUCCGGUUUUGAGGGAUAUGGCGUGGUGUUGCUCUGCUUCUCGUUGGGUUUUACAGGUUUGGAGAAGCGAAAAGGGGAGGCUUUGAGGAGAGAGCAAUGGUUGAUGGAGAGAGUGAGAAGGCGUGAGUUGAAGCAUUGCUAUGGCUUUGGUGGAUCAGAUGAUUGACUGAAGGGCUCUGUGUGUGGCUUAUUAUAAAGGGAAAUAGCUCAAAAUAUCACCAAUUUUAUAAUUUUAUGUCAAAAUACCACCCCUUCUCAAAAAUUUUAAAACUAUGACCUAUAAAUACAUUUUUAUUGUAAAUUGAUUGCACCCAUAUCACAUUUUCAGAAAACCUGAGGGGAACUACGGGUUUAGAAUGACUUCGCCUCCGCCUCUUUUCUCGUUCGAUCGUCUACGGCCUCCGCUUCCUCUCUCCUUCGUUCUUCUACGCCCCUGCCUCCGCCUCUGCUUUUUCGAUUGUCUGCCUUCCUCCUCCUCCUCUGCUUUUUCGAUUGUCUACCUUCCUCCUCCUCCUCCUACUUGGCUCUUCUCCUUAGCUAUCAGCUAUUUCAUACCCAGAAGUGUUGGAUCCUGAGCAAGCAGUGAAAGGGCUAUCUGGUAAUCUAAUGACUAAUACUAUUAGUUGGAUAUGCUGUAUGUUUUCUCUUCAAAAUUCUAGAUUUAGUAGGGUUGGCAUACACUAUCAUGACCUGAUAUAUUUUCAGUCUGUUUUAAUUACUGGCUAUUAGGGUGUGGUUUGAAACUUUGACUGAUGGGGUGGGGGAGCUUGGACGGAGUUUUCUUAUUUUUGUGAAAUGGGUUUUGGAGGAUUAGGGAUUUUAGGGGAGUGUGUGAGUUCGCUGUUUUGGUGGAAGAUAUAUGCAGAAGGGUUAUGAUGAUGAUGGGGGUGGGUUUUUGUGUUUUGUUAAUUCUUUUGUUUGUCGGAAGAAGAAUGAGAUAUUUUUCCAACUCUUAUGAGUGAGUUGGGUUCAAAAGCAAUUAUUGUUGGUUUUAUAUUUUGAUUUAUUUGCAACUGUCUUUAUAGAAUUUAAUUUUUAAUAGUAAUAUAUGUAUUCUUCAUGAAUGGUUUUGCUCUGUUCAGGUGCGUCUGUCUACAUGGGUUUGUGCUUGAAGCAUAAUGCAAGUUUUGUUAAUAAAUUCUCUGUUUUAUGCUGUGCAGGUGUGAAUUGGAAUAAAUAAAAAAAAUUUGCUGGGUUUUUGAGACUUGUGAUGUUAUUCAUCAGUAUUCAUGCCUGGUUUCUUCUUGCAAUAAUUUUGUUGAUUGUGAGCUUUUCCCUCUAGCGCUUGUUGCUGAUACUGAUUGUGAAGGUGAAUUGGUUGUGCUUUAUGAUGUUUGAACCUCAUUUCUGUUUCUUCUCUUUCAUGCCAAUAGGUUGUAGGAAACUCCGCUCUCAAACAUAGGCAAUGAACAAUUGAGUUGACAUGCUGCUGGGAGAAUUGUUUGCAAUGCAGAGAAGACUUGUCUCUUACUUUUGUGAUGAUGAACUGGGUGAGAUUCUUUAAGAGUGAUGUGUCAUAUUUGAAUUUUUGAAUAUCAUAUUUUAGUUUUGUUUUUAAGUUUUGAACCUUGUUCUAUUUCAGCAUCCUAUAGACCUGUGUUAACUUAUAUCUACAUGUGAUAUGGAUAUAACUUAUGCUUUCAAAUUAAUUUGACUUGUGUUAUAUCUUGUUUCGUACCUUUGUUUCGAAAAUUUCUUUGUAAAGACCAAAAAGAAUAGUGUGUUUUUUUUUUUGGGUGGUAUUUUUGUUAAUGAUAAUUAUAGUAUUGAUUACUGGGUAGAGAAUGAGCUACAUUUUGUGCUUCAUGAAGUAAAAUGGCUGAGCAACUCAAAUUUGGUUUACACAACCAAGGCAAAAGGAAAAUACUAAUUUUGGAGCUUAUAUAUAGUGGUUAUAUAAGUUGCAGUUUUCGUUACUUGUAAAUCAUGAUUUCCUUAGCGUAUUUAAUUGCAUUGUGUUUCUCGUUUUGGGUAGAACAGAGUUUUCAAUGAUAGGAUUUAUUUGGAAAAAAGGAAUUCUGGUAGUUAUGCUGUGUUCUCUAUUUUUGCAUGAAAGUUGAAAGUAAGAUGUCCCCUUUAUAUGUGUGACAGCUUCAGGAUUAUGGCCUUCGUAUACUGAAGGGAAAUUGCUAUUUGAUCCUGUUAUAUCUUUUAUGGGACAAACAAAUGAGGGAAGUAGUGUUGAUUCAUCACAGAAAGCUGAGUCUUCAGAGCAUCCGCCAAAGGUUGACAAAUCAUCAGGGGAAUCUGAAUCUCCACAAAAACUCUCUACUGUUGAGGCAAAGGAAGGGGUCAAAAUAGAAACUUUACAACACUCUUCAACUGAACAGAUGGCUGAUAAGGAGGAAACUGAAGUUGUCAAGGAAGAAACAGAUGAUAAGCAUGCUGCGACGGUGGAGGAAACAAAGACAGUGAUAGCAGAGCCUGAAAAAUCUGAAUCUGAAUCAUCUUCACUGCCAGUUGAGCCCUUUGAACCCACUGUUAAGAAUGAUGGCCCAUCAGAAUCUGUGGGUUCUCAAGAUGACAACAAGAUUUCAGUAGUGGGACCCUCAGUAAAUCCAGAAACAAUGCAGGGUAAGUCAAGAGCUGUUGAGGUAGAUCAAGUUGAGGAGGGUCAUACUGUUCUCCGCGUGAGGCACAUGAUGUUGAUGUGGAUGAACAAAAGACACAGGUAGAGCAGAAGGAUGGACAUAUGACUCAGGCUGGAGAGAUUGUUGAAACAGUUGCUAUGGUUGAAGCUGAGACUCCAACUGAUAGCCAGCCUGGAGGUUUUCCUCUUUGCUAAUUUAGAAUCAUGUGCAGUUAUGAUUUUAGAUCUGUAGAUAACCUGUUGUUGCUGAUAUUGCUACACGGGAGGAGAACAGAACAACUUGGAAAAUGUGCAAGAAGGGAGAGCUAACUCAUACAACGAAGAACAAAUUGAUGAAGUUAAGAUCAAAUUAGUAGAAUUUGUGAGCUCUCCAUUAUUUAUAAUUAUAGGUAGGAAGUAUGUAUGUAAUAGAGCAAAGAUUGGUUGACUAUGUAAUAACAAUUGAAUUGUCAAGUUUUAUGAAAGAAAUAAUUUUUGCUUCUUGGGAUAGUAUUGUUAGGGUUCGGUGGCGAUUUAUUUUCCAUGUCUAAAUUGUAGUCUGUAAUGGAUGUGUGUGUAUUGUAUGUAGAUUGACUUAAUAUUGCUGUCCUAUUGCAUGUGUAUUGUACUAAUAUUGCCUGUGUAUUGUAUACAUAUUGUAUGCAUAUUGCCAUCGUAUUGCAUGUAUAUUGUAAUGCUAUUGCUAUCGUAUUGCCAUUAUAUUGCCCUAAUAUUGCCUCUCUAGUGUAUGUAUAUUGACUACGGCUCAUCAAUGGGUUUACGGUUUGGGCCAUAUUGCAUUUAAAAAUAAGACGAGGAGGAGAAAGAAACAACAUGCCUUUCAAAAACAGGCAGUCAGGUGCAUCAUAAUUGCAUCGUAAGACAUUGUAAGAAAUUAUUUUAAAAAAUAAUAACAACUAAAAAAUAAUUUACAAAAAAAGGAAGGUAUGAAUAAAGAGACAGAGAGCGAAUAAGGGGAGAAAGAGGCAGAACGAAGCUAGAGAGAGACAGAGAGAGAGCUGCGCUACAGAAAGAGAGCAAAGAGAGAGUUGCACUAGAGAGAGAGAGAGAGAGAGAGAGAGAGAGAGAGAGAGCCAAGAGAGAGAUAGAGAGCUGCGAUAGACAGAUACCAAAGAGAGAGAGAGAUGUGCUAGAGAGAGAGAGCCGAGUGAGCUAAGAGAGACAAAAUUUCUGAACAUGUGAAAAAUCAGCAAUAAGUGGACAAUAAUUAUAUUUUUAUAGGUGAUAUUGUAAUACUAUUGCUAUCGUAUUGUGGUUAUAUUGCUUUCAUAUUGCCUCUAUAGUGUACAUGUAUUGGCCUAAUAUUGCUAUCAUAUCGUAUGUCAAUGGCCAUUUGGUCUAAUAACAGAGUCUCCACUUCGUUGAAAAGUAAUCCUGAAUUCGAAUCUCAUGGACACGACAAUUGUUAUCCAUCCUUAUAUUAGCAUGAAUUGAUGUUGACCUUUGAAAUGAUAGUUGGAGUUGCACAUCGAUUCAUAUUCAAAAGGAAAGUAAUUCUCUCCCUCAAUGAAUCUUCGUUCAAAAGAAGGCAGCUAUCAAAUAUUGGUACAAAAAUGCAAGGUCCACAGUAAAUUAAUUGGACACAAACCACAUAUUACAAAACUAGGAUGAUUUUUGGCAUGCUUGAAAAGACAAGGGCCAAAUACAACAGAAAAGAAAAUCCAUUCAAGCUUCACACUAAACAUGGCUCAAGCACUCGACCAUGGUUUCAAUCCAAAACCUACCCAACAAGGGCAUACCACGUGUCCAUCAUAACAUAAUAGUGGCAUUUACAAAGCAUGAACUGCAAUAUGUUUCUUUUUCUCCUAAACAAAAUUGUUACUAAAAUGGAACAAAAGAUCCCUAACAUAGAGCAAUACAUGCAAAGAUAGUCAAUUGUCAUACACACAAAAUUAGUCCUCAUCCAUCCCUGCAUGCUGAUCUCUCUCACUAGGGCCACCUGCUGGUUUUGCCAUUAUAAUCUGCAAGAUAGUCAAAGCACUGUCAACAACCUUUUUUUAAUGAAGGUAUUAAACAUUAAAUAGGCUGCAAUCAGAUGGAUUCAUCAUUUCUCACAGAUUUUUAGCUAGCCAGAAAACCCCCAACAUAUAGAUUUUCUAUUUACUAUCCCUCCAUCCAGACCAUUGGUCAGAUGCGGUAAUGGUAUUUUUCAUAGUACCAUCUGUCAAAGUAUAUAUGACAGUUACUGACAUCAUGGAUGCACACAAAUGUUGUUUAUCUAACUCUACUGCAACUAGAGUUGUCACAAUCUUCCUCUUUCUCUUUCGAUCCAUGUCUACCCUGCCAUUAACAAUAUUGGCAAGAACAAAAUCAUAAUCUGUGACUUUCUUUUUUAUACUCAAACAUAAACUGAUUAUCAGAAAUUGCAGAACAUAGAAUUAUGGUGACAGAGAAGCACCACAUACCUGUUGGGUUGUUGUUGCUGCUGCUUAGACCCACUUUCAGCAGCUCCCUUUUGGUUCAAUAGCAAGUUUCAAUUUCAACUCAACUCUUAUGUCAAAAUUGCUUGCUACAACCUGCAAGAUAAGCAUAAUCAGCAGGAUUAAUACAAAGCAUUGUUGGCCAUGGCAUUGAAAGUUCUAAUACCAAUGAUGAGAACAGAGAGAAAUUAAAAAAAACAUUCUUUCUUAUACUCAAACAAAAACUGAUUAUUAGAUUAUAUGCAAAUUUAAUGUCAAUUCUCCAGACCACUUAAUGGCAUAAUUACUCGCUUGAAAUAGGAGAGAGAAAUACUAGAUAUGGAAUCACCUACUCCGCCAAUCAAUCUAAUUCUUGAUCUUCAUGAAUCGGAUCAAUUCAAAUACCCACGUCUUAAUAAAUACAUAGGAUGUACAGAAGACUAGCAAUACUGAUUUCAAUGCCAUGGCCUUUUUCCCUAUUUCCUUAACAGAGUUAAUAUGGGUUAAUAUUACAUGCACCCAUACAUCAUCAUAUUGGAUAUCAUGCUCUGUAACACCAGCUUGCAUCAUAUUCAACACAUUCCAAUUUGUCCAUACAUCAUUCAUGAUAAAAACACACUAUUCUUUUUGGUCUUUACAAAGAAAUUUUCGAAACAAAGGUACGAAACAAGAUAUAACACAAGUCAAAUUAAUUUGAAAGCAUAAGUUAUAUCCAUAUCACAUGUAGAUAUAAGUUAACACAGGUCUAUAGGAUGCUGAAAUAGAACAAAGUUCAAAACUUAAAAACAAAACUAAAAUAUGAUAUUCAAAAAUUCAAAUAUGACACAUCACUCUUAAAGAAUCUCACCCAGUUCAUCAUCACAAAAGUAAGAGACAAGUCUUCUCUGCAUUGCAAACAAUUCUCCCAGCAGCAUGUCAACUCAAUUGUUCAUUGCCUAUGUUUGAGAGCGGAGUUUCCUACAACCUAUUGGCAUGAAAGAGAAGAAACAGAAAUGAGGUUCAAACAUCAUAAAGCACAACCAAUUCACCUUCACAAUCAGUAUCAGCAACAAGCGCUAGAGGGAAAAGCUCACAAUCAACAAAAUUAUUGCAAGAAGAAACCAGGCAUGAAUACUGAUGAAUAACAUCACAAGUCUCAAAAACCCAGCAAAUUUUUUUUAUUUAUUCCAAUUCACACCUGCACAGCAUAAAACAGAGAAUUUAUUAACAAAACUUGCAUUAUGCUUCAAGCACAAACCCAUGUAGACAGACGCACCUGAACAGAGCAAAACCAUUCAUGAAGAAUACAUAUAUUACUAUUAAAAAUUAAAUUCUAUAAAGACAGUUGCAAAUAAAUCAAAAUAUAAAACCAACAAUAAUUGCUUUUGAACCCAACUCACUCAUAAGAGUUGGAAAAUAUCUCAUUCUUCUUCCGACAAACAAAAGAAUUAACAAAACACAAAAACCCACCCCCAUCANNNNNNNNNNNNNNNNNNNNNNNNNNNNNNNNNNNNNNNNNNNNNNNNNNNNNNNNNNNNNNNNNNNNNNNNNNNNNNNNNNNNNNNNNNNNNNNNNNNNNNNNNNNNNNNNNNNNNNNNNNNNNNNNNNNNNNNNNNNNNNNNNNNNNNNNNNNNNNNNNNNNNNNNNNNNNNNNNNNNNNNNNNNNNNNNNNNNNNNNNNNNNNNNNNNNNNNNNNNNNNNNNNNNNNNNNNNNNNNNNNNNNNNNNNNNNNNNNNNNNNNNNNNNNNNNNNNNNNNNNNNNNNNNNNNNNNNNNNNNNNNNNNNNNNNNNNNNNNNNNNNNNNNNNNNNNNNNNNNNNNNNNNNNNNNNNNNNNNNNNNNNNNNNNNNNNNNNNNNNNNNNNNNNNNNNNNNNNNNNNNNNNNNNNNNNNNNNNNNNNNNNNNNNNNNNNNNNNNNNNNNNNNNNNNNNNNNNNNNNNNNNNNNNNNNNNNNNNNNNNNNNNNNNNNNNNNNNNNNNNNNNNNNNNNNNNNNNNNNNNNNNNNNNNNNNNNNNNNNNNNNNNNNNNNNNNNNNNNNNNNNNNNNNNNNNNNNNNNNNNNNNNNNNNNNNNNNNNNNNNNNNNNNNNNNNNNNNNNNNNNNNNNNNNNNNNNNNNNNNNNNNNNNNNNNNNNNNNNNNNNNNNNNNNNNNNNNNNNNNNNNNNNNNNNNNNNNNNNNNNNNNNNNNNNNNNNNNNNNNNNNNNNNNNNNNNNNNNNNNNNNNNNNNNNNNNNNNNNNNNNNNNNNNNNNNNNNNNNNNNNNNNNNNNNNNNNNNNNNNNNNNNNNNNNNNNNNNNNNNNNNNNNNNNNNNNNNNNNNNNNNNNNNNNNNNNNNNNNNNNNNNNNNNNNNNNNNNNNNNNNNNNNNNNNNNNNNNNNNNNNNNNNNNNNNNNNNNNNNNNNNNNNNNNNNNNNNNNNNNNNNNNNNNNNNNNNNNNNNNNNNNNNNNNNNNNNNNNNNNNNNNNNNNNNNNNNNNNNNNNNNNNNNNNNNNNNNNNNNNNNNNNNNNNNNNNNNNNNNNNNNNNNNNNNNNNNNNNNNNNNNNNNNNNNNNNNNNNNNNNNNNNNNNNNNNNNNNNNNNNNNNNNNNNNNNNNNNNNNNNNNNNNNNNNNNNNNNNNNNNNNNNNNNNNNNNNNNNNNNNNNNNNNNNNNNNNNNNNNNNNNNNNNNNNNNNNNNNNNNNNNNNNNNNNNNNNNNNNCGUUCAGCAGCAACUCGGCGAGUCGACUCACCAUCCUCCCCAACUACCAACCAAGCCCCUCAUUCCAAAGGGCUCUGAAAACCUAAGAAAAAUCCAAACUUUACCAUCUUCGAAAACCCCUCAUGACCUCUCCAUAGCUCGACAUGUUAAAGCCCCUCAAAACCCCACCUCUCCUUCACCUACAAACCCUCCAUUCGCUAUUGGGUUCCCACCAUUUUAUCGAAUUCGCAUCAAGAACCAAGCUUUUCUCCCAACUCUCUCAUCCACCCUUCAAUCCUGCCCCAAACUUGGUGUUCCAAAUCCGUGACAUUCUGUGCGACCCUCAAUGGGAAAAGAGCUCAGAGCUCAGCUGGCUGAGCCCUAAGAUUAGAACCGAUCAUGUGUCAAAGAUUAUUGAGACCCACAAGAACACAGACUCGGCGUUAAGAUUCUUCUACUGGGUUUCUAAGAGACCUUCUUACCAGCAUGAUAUGAGCUGCUUCUCAUCAAUGCUGAAUAGGCUUGUGAACGAACGGCUUUUUGCGCCUGCAGACCGUGUGAGGAUUUUGAUGAUUAAAGCUUCUAGGAAGGAGGAAGAGCUUAAACGGGUAACUGAAUAUUUGAAUGAGAUGAGCCGACUUGGUUUUGAGUUUACAUUGUAUAGUUUUAAUACGCUUUUGAUUCAAUUGGGUAAGUUUGAGAUGGUUAGUAUAGCUCAAAAUGUUUAUACCCAGGUGCUAAGUAGUGGGAUUAAACCGAGUUUGUUGACAUUUAAUACAAUGCUCAAUAUAUUGUGUAAGAAGGGCAAGGUUCAGGAAGCAGAGUUGAUUUUGAGCAAGAUUUUUCAGUUUGAUAUGCUCCCGGAUGUUUUUACUUAUACAUCAUUGAUUCUUGGGCAUUGUAGAAAUCGUAACUUAGAUUUGGCAUUUGAGGUUUACGAUCAGAUGGUGAAGGCAGGUUGUGACCCGAAUUCAGUUACGUAUUCAACUCUUAUCAAUGGGUUAUGCAAUGAGGGGAGGGUGGAUGAGGCACUGGAUAUGCUUGAUGAAAUGGUAGAAAAAGGGAUUGAACCCACAUCAUAUACUUACACUGUCCCAAUUGCUUCACUAUGUGAGGCCGAUCGGCUGGUGGAAGCAAUUGGGCUUUUCAGAAGAAUGAGAAGCAGGGGUUGCCAUCCUACCGUUCAUACUUAUACAGCUUUGAUCAGUGGGUUGUCUCAGACGGGGAAACUCGAUGUUGCUAUUGGACUCUAUCACAAGCUUUUGAAGGAUGGUUUGGUCCCAAACACGGUUACCUUCAAUACAUUGAUAAAUGGAUUAAGUGAGACAGGAAGAUAUGACCUGGCUACGAAGAUUUUUUAUUGGGUGGAGAGACAUGGGACCUUGGCAAAUACCCAAACUCACAAUGAAAUCAUCAAAGUUUUCUGUUUGAUGGGUAACAUUAAUAACGCAAUGGCUCUUGUAAGCAAAAUGCUUAAAGUGGGACCAUCUCUAAAUGUGAUUACAUAUAACACACUCAUCAAUGGAUACCUCAGUGGAGGUCAGUUAAACAAUGCUAUGAGGUUGUUGGAUUUUAUGAAAGGGAGUGGAUGUGAACCAGAUGAAUGGACUUAUACUGAACUUAUUUCUGGGUUUUGCAAGGCAGGUAAGUCUGACUUUGCAUCUACUCUUUUCCGUGAGAUGGUAGAACAAAGAAUUAGUCCCAGUCAGGUUACCUACGCUGCUUUGAUUGCUGGAUACUGUAUGGAGGGGAAAGUAGAUACUGCAUUGUCAUUAUUUGAGCAGAUGGAGGAGAAGGGUUGCUGUCCAAGUAUUGAAACCUACAAUGCCAUUAUAAAUGGUUUGUCCAAAGAUAAUCAGUUUGUUAAAGCUGAGAAACUAUGUAAAAAGAUGGAAAAGCAAGGACUGGUUCCAAAUGUCAUUACCUACACGUCUCUAAUUUGCGGCCUCUGUAAAAGUGGCAGGACUGACCUUGCAUUCAAAAUCUUCCAUGAAAUGGAAGAACAAGGUUGCUUGCCGAACUUGUAUACAUAUAGCUCACUCAUGUUUGGGUUAUGUCAAGAGGGCAAGGCUGACAAUGCUGAGACGUUGCUUGAUGAAAUGGAAAGGAAAGGAUUGGCUCCUGAUGUGGUAACAUUUACCACACUCAUUGAUGGUUUUGUUAUGCUUGGUAGGCUAGAUCAUGCAUUCUUGCUUCUUAGGCGAAUGGUUGAUGUGGGCUGCAGGCCCAACUACCGAACAUAUGCCGUGUUGGUCAAAGGGUUGCAAAAGGAAAGUCAGUUGCUGACGGAGAAGGUUGUGGGGCUUGUGGCCCAACAUGAAGGAAUGUAUAGUUGCAGCUCUGGUGAAAGCUAUAACUUUUUUGAGGCGUUGUGCAAUCUCUUAGCUAGGAUGUCAGAGAAUGGAUGUGAACCUACUGUUGAUACCUAUGGUACUUUAGUGAGAGGCUUGUGUACAGAAGGCAGAUAUUAUGAGGCAGAUCAGUUGGUUCAGCAUAUGAAAGACAAAGGCCUGUGCCCCAAUAGAAGGAUUUAUCUGUCUCUAUUCUUUGUUCAUUGUACGAAUUUAAAAGUGGAAUCUGCGCUGGAAAUCUUUGGCUUGAUGGAAGAUAAUGGAUUUGAGGUUCACUUGUCAGCUUAUAACGCACUUAUUAGUGCUCUCGGCAGGGUGUGUCGGGCGGAAGAAGCUGAAACUUUAUUCAAAAGCAUGCUAGAAAAACAAUGGAAUACUGAUGAGAUUGUUUGGACUGUGUUAAUCGAUGGAUUACUGAAGGAAGGGCAAUCAGAUCUAUGCAUGAAGCUUCUUCAUGUUAUUGAAUCUCAAAAAUGCAGUAUCAGUUUCCAGACAUAUGAUAUCUUGGCCAGAGAACUUUCUAAAGUAAACAAGGGUAGGGGGAGUUCUCAAAUUGUUAACAGAGCAAGUGAUUUAAAGGGUGUACAUUGAUCAUGGUUUCUUUAUACACACAGAGAAAAAGGAAAUUCGUUAACUGAGUUCCAUUAAUGAACUAAUAAGAAAUUAUACUUUUUUCGCCUGAGGUGUGUAUAUAUUCUUUUGCUGUGACAACUUUGCAGUUUGAUCAUACAAUAAAUGGUAUGUAGAUGGCGCUUUGCCUUCAAACCUUGUUAACAUUCGUUUCUUUCUAUUACUGUCUUUGGUGAUUAUCAGAAUACUUUAGUUCUGUUGGCUUUUGAUUAAUUUGGUCGCAAUAUUUUCCCAAUAGUCACCAAGAAAAUUCGAUCGAUGGUUACUAAGUUUGUUAUCCUAUCUACAUGGAAGUGACAGGUUGUUUUCAGUAGAUAAUUGUCUUCAGUUGGAACUGAAAAUCUGGUGUGCAUGAAGCAGCAACCUAAGGUAGACAUGUAGGUUUGUUUAGACAAAGUAUAAAUGAAUGAUAUUUGCCAUUUAUGUGGGUUGAUGGUUGGUGCAGGACUGUGUGUACUGUUUGGCAAUUGAUUUAGGGGUUAGGAUAAUUUCUGCCUAUGCAGGCUUUUUAAUUACAUGGAUUAUCUUAUGUAGGAAGGCUUCUUAAUACAGAAAUGGUGAUGUGUGUGAUCAUCUAGGCAGGCUUCUUAAUUACAUGGAUAAUCUUCUUUAUGGUGCUCAUUUGGUUGGUUUUCAUUGUUUGACAUGCUUACACCAUAUUUAUUCUGGCUUAGUGUUUAUAAAAUGGAAUUGAGAGCUAGACAUUCUUGGCAUAUAUACUUGCAGGUGACACAGCUUGGACGUCCCCUAGUGGAAAGUUUCCUCUUUCCUCUGAAAAUUUUGACAAGAAGAUGUUAAGAUACACCUUGUUUGAUACCUAUGUUGGUUUAUUUCGCUGUCGUUACCUCAUACAAUUUUGAUUCAUUGUAUUCUUUACACCAAGAGUCAUUUAUAAAAUAUACCUCAGUUUUACAAUAGCAUAUGUUAUGGUUCAUUUAGUAAAUUUUGGUUUUAUGUUUUAGUUUUAGCUUUGAUGGUCAAAAUCAUCCUCUUCUUUUUUUGAUCUCUCUCUCGUCUCUUUUUUCCUUCUCUCUGUUAUUCUUUUCAUAAGAAAAAGAAAUAUAGAAACUAAAAGCAAAAAAUCUAACCAAAUUCCCAUGGGAUGGUCUCUUGAUUCUGUAUCGGCAAGUAUAACUAUUUUACUGUGAAUUAUCAACAAAAAGUAAUCUGCAGUUGCCACUGAUUUAAAUCAACUUAAAUAAUGUCUGUGAUUCAGAAUUCCAGGAUAAAUUAUGCUUUGUAGUUGACGUGAUGAAAUUAAUUUAAUUAGACAUUUUUGGUGUAGGGUUACUCAGGUCCUAAAUCGAGCUUAAUUUCGCACCAGGGCUCUUAGAAAGAACUACUGGCCAAGAUUACCGAACUUAGUCCACUUUUUGUAAUCUGCCUCUGAGUGUUCUAAUGCAAAUGCCAGUAUGUGUGGCCACUUUCCGAAUGUGGUGUUCAAUUUUUUUAAUUUUCCCAAAGGAUGAUAGUACUCUAAAUCUUUGUAGGGUUUUUUAUUGGGGUCGAGAUGAGCUCAGAGUUCGCUUUUUUGUCACUUUCUUUGUGUUUUGCUGAUCUUUGCCUAGUAUUUGCUGGGAUUCCCACUCCUUAAAUGAAGAAGGGUGGAAUGAAUAAAGGCUUGGUUCAUGCAUGAAGACCCUAAUAUUUCCUAUACACAAGUGAUAUUUUAUGGGUAUGAACUAUAUUGUGGAUCAAUCUAGAAAGGUAAAAACGCAUUCAUUAUGGUGUGAGUUCUAGUGUUCUCACCUUUCCUCCAAGUCUAAACCUAUACAAACCCCCGAGUAUGAGAAACCCUUUGAGUGAAAAGUAAAUUAUUAUGUGUAUGCAAGAGAGAAUUUUGUGGUGAAAAUCCCUGGAGGUGAUUUUGGAAGAAACUCUGGCUUCCCGGCAGUCAGUUCUUGUGAGAUUGUUCCUUUGUAAUCCUUGGUAUCUUCUAGUCCUGUCCACAAAAAAAUUCUUGUAAUUCCAUCAUUUUAUAUAGAAAAGAAGAAUUUGUUCCUGUCCUUCUACUAUUCAGUGGACAAAAGGCUCAAAUGCUAAGGAUGUAAUUCCAUUGUUUUUAUGUUUGAUGAUGUUUGCCUGUUUUGGCCAUACAAGGAUGGGAAAGUUUGAUCUUGAGUUUGCUAAUUGUCUUUUGGCAUUGUAUUAGGUGACUCUGGUUCUCAAAUGUAUAAUGGUUCAACCCCAGUUUCCAAUCCUAUCAUGGAACUGAAAAAUAAAUUUCUAAAAUUUUUGAUUGAGCCUGCAGUGUCUGAAAAAUUAUAACCACAUGCCACCAAUCUGAUUAUAUUCGUCCAAUUUGCAGUAGAUUUUCUAUCUCCGAACCUCUCUACUAAAACCCUGCAAUUAACUGAUCAUGCAUAUUGUAAGUAGUAAACUACUCUGAAAAUGAGGUUCUAAGUUGAAAUCUUUCUUCCUCUAAUAAACGAAUAAAAACUUAUAGUUCAUGAAAGGAUGAAAUUAAAAUUAGUUAGUUUAAAGAUGUGGUUGAAGCUAUAGAUAAAUGGAUCAAAAAAAUCAGUUUUUUUUUUUGGGUAAAUAAUAAAUAUACUAAACCGGGGUUGGGGAAAUUCUCAUAUCAAGAAGAAACUAAAGAGAAACCUAUCAGAACCACAUGGUGUGGUGCGGUUGGUAAAGUGUCACCUCCAGUUGACGAGUUACCUAUUGCCUCAUUAGCAUGGGUUCGAAACCCGUUAGAGGUACUUUGUGGUCAGGGAAAGCCGAAUCCCGAGCGGGGAUUAAUCUCAUCCUUUGAAUGCGAGGACAUCUCGUGGUAUUUAUCCAAAAAAAAAACAGAAGGGAAAAAAACCUAUCUGUAACUAAGAGAUGUGAGUUUCCAUGCAUUUCAGUAAAUAUAACAAAAUAGUUUUAAACUUUUGAAGAUUCUAGUUUCAUAAGACAUUGAUAUACUUGUCUAAUCGUAUCAUUUUCUCUCCAAAAAAAUCAAUAAUAAAUAAAUGAUAUUCUCCUACUACUGGUUUUUGGGUUCAAGUGCUUGGUUUUCAAGGAAGAAAACAAAGGGGGGCCAUCCACUACCAGAAAGGUUUAUGCUUUUGUUGAUUGAUUCUUGACAGAAUCUCUGGGUUGCUUGGACCCCCACAUGGCCUCCAUUAUAUGACUUGCUCUUUGUCACGCAUGAGCAAUUAUUGGCUCUUUGGUCAGUGUACCAUUUUGUAGUUAUACUCAAUCAUUUCAUACAAAAACCAUUAUCAUUUCAACUCUGCAAGCAUCUCUCAACUUUGUUAUUUUCUUUUCUUUUCUUGUUGCUGCAAAACCAUUCUGAGUUUUUGUUCUUGGGUUUUAUAAAGAAAUUAAUUUAAAAAUAUAAAUAAAUAAAUAUAUAUAUAUAUAUUUAUAACCCUUGUGAAUUUAUAAUAGUUGAAGCCUGAUUCAACUGGUUUGAUCACUUUCCACCAAAUAAAAAAUAAAAAAUCAAGGCCUUGCUCAGCACCAACGUUGCCCUUUUUCUCUGCUGCCAUAGGUCAACUACCAGUUUCUAACAAAACAACUCCAAAUCUGAGUAUAAAUGCUAAAAGGGCUCUGUUGUAUUCUGCAUAUAUUCUCUGUUUCCUUCCUCAUUUCAUGCAAACCUAUCCUAUCUCGUAGACCCCAAAAACAAGCAACAAUAAGAAUGGUAGGUCUCAGUUUUGGUGUGUAAAUUGACCACAAAACUUAAAGAUGUAAAUGACAAACAGAAAUGUAGCCUCUGGUUUAGUGAGCUUUUAUUAUAUUUCUAAUGCCAGCCCUUCUUCAGCUGCAUAUACAAAGUGCAUGAAAAAUGCAGGGCAAGGAAGGAUGCCUUUGUAUUUUUUUCCAUGUGCAAAGGGUCCCCAUAAAAAACAUCAGUACUUCAAAUAUAUUCCUUCUGAUCUUUGUCUUUUCUAUGCAUCCCCAUCUUCAAUUCAUGAACUUCAUUUUCAAAAGGCCAAGACUUUGAAGGCCAGGUUUCAUAGCAGGUACAAAAAAGAAUCAAUAUUCCCCCAAAGGCCACAUAAAGAUAAAUCAGAGUCAUCGAUGCCAACAGUGUCUUAAAAGACAACAAGACACAAAGCAUGACCUAACAUUUGAUGCUUCCAAACUCCAUUCCAACUGCUACUUCCAUUUUCAUUUUGGACUGUUUUUCUUGCACUCUUGCUUUUUCAAAAAGUGCUUUUGCCUACCCAUCCACCAACCCAGCCUUCUCUAGACUAGCCUUUAAAUCUUUCCCUUUGGAUUUUUGUUGCACAGCAGCCGAUUCUUAUUUAUAUUACAUCAUCCAAAAUAAACUACAAAAACCCAAUUUGCACAUUUUAAUGCCAAACUGAACACAACCCUUGUGCUAUAUAAACACAUCCAAUGCAUUUUGCCCCUUCAGCACCAAUUAUAGCAAAAAACAACAAAAACACCACCAACCCUUCAAGGCUUCAAAGUUCAUCAAACUCUGGUUUUCAAUGGGUAGGGAAAGUUCUGAUCCCACUGUGGUUAGUUCCUCCAUUGCUCUCUUACAAGAGAGGUUCAGACAGUUGCAGAAAGUGAAGGAGAGGAGGGAGGAGCAGCAGCUUCUGAAGAUGUUAUCUGAGACUGAUCAUCAUCAUCAAGGGGUUGGCUCAAUAAGGCAUUUUGAGCCUGCAAAAUUCUCUAUCCAAUCUGAUAUGGCCAGGCCAAGCUCUCCUGCAGAUCACUCACUCUCUCUGGGGCUUAAUUUGCAGACUAGACAAAUUGAUCAUUGUGCCAUGAAGACACAGCCUACCACAAUCUCAUGGCCCAACAAUACAACAGCUGCCUCAGCAUCAAGUGCUUCAAAAUGUUUUGACAAUUCAGACCUUGACACCUCUCUUCAUCUGUAGACAAAUCCUGGGUUCACUUUCUUCGUGGCUUCUCCAUGUUUCCUUUUUUUGUAUGUAAUAUUAGAAGAGUAUGUAACUAAUAUAACUAAUGUUUAUUCAUCUGAAAUAAUGAGAUAAAUAAAAGAAGAAAUGGAGCAGCAAUAUGCUAGCUGCUCUUCUCUUCAAUUUUUUGGCCCUUUUGUUGGUUUUGCUUAACAACAUUAACAAAUCAUGGGGACUAUAGAGAGAUUCAUAAUCAAGAAAAAUGGAUUGGGAGGUGAUGGGUUUCUUUUGUUCUGUUAAAAAAAAUAAUAAAAACAACUUCUGAAGAUUCAUAUCAACAUAUAUAUGUUCUUUUCUUAUAUUGAUUUUGAGUUUGUGAAGACUGAUGGUGAUGAACAAAAAAGUCAGCAAGGCCUGCUAGAUUCCUCAUAAACUUACCAUGCAGAUGUACUCAGUUAGAAAUUCCUAACACCACUGAUUGUUUAUGCUUUCUAUGGAUUACUUUCGGAGCAAAUACUUGGAACCAGAUAUUAUUAUUAGAGUUCUAGCUCUUGCUAGUGUAUUUUUAAUGAACCUUUCCUAUAAUAAGCAAAUUCUCAUAGCAACAUGGUCAGAUCUUUUAGGAAAAUGAAGUGCUAAUAAAUUGAAAUCUCCUGAUAACCAAGUUGUGAAGGUUAAUUUUCAUGUAUAUGUUAAGAAUAGGAAUAGCCUUUGAGAAAGAGAAAUAAAUCAAGGCAUAGUGAAAUUUCUAUUUUGUUAUAUUGGAAGUUAUCAUACUUUAACCUAUUCCAAAAGCCAACGGGCUUUAGCCCAGUAGAAAAUGAAUUUCACUUGUAGACCAGUGGUCUCAGGUUCAAAUCCUUAUGACACCUUAGUAUUGUGCGUGCCAUAUUUGGCUCUCUCCCUACUAUCGCUUGUAUUAAAAAACAUAUUCAAAAAGAAAGCAACUAUUACUGAGUCUAACUAGGCCGAGAACAGUUGUUAUUACUGAGGUGCUCCCUCUUAUUACUGAGAUUUUAGUUGAUGAUGCUUGUAUUUUGGCUAGGCCUAAAAUGUUUGCUAUUUAUUUCUCCACUUCAAUUUUAUCCACUUACACUCCUUUUUUAGUUAUAAAAUGGAGUGUAAGUGGAUAAAAUUGGAGUGGAGAAAUCACCACUCUUAUAUUUUUAAGUAAUAAUCUAAAUUAUACUAAAUUAAUUUAAUUUAUGAGAAUAUAAAUUCGAACUUGGGGAUUCGAUUUUUUUUUUUUUUUAAAAGUGAAAUAAAAAAUUUCAGUCACAAAUGAUUGACCCAAACUGAUCUGCAAUCUGGGCAGGGUAUUUAGCUGAGACUAAAUGAGUUAUUGGGCUCAUAUCAAAAGCGCCUACAAACCUAACCACUCAAAAUACACAAUAAUAGAAAAAUUUUAGUUUCAUCAUUUUAUUGAAGUACCAAAUUGCCCUUAUCGUCUCCAGAACCUUCCCAAACCCCCUCUCCGCGUCUCUCUAUCAGAAACCCCAACUAAAACCCUAACACCUCUCUCCACUCUUUAUCCCUCUGUCACUCACAACUCAUUGCUCUCUCUCCAUCUCUUGGCCUUCGCCAUCCAUCUAUCUAUCUCAAACCAAUAUGCAUAGGCUUCCUCGACGCUCCGUCUCCGCUAUCCUGCGCCACGGCGGCGCACGUCACCGGACCACCGCUGCUCCAAUCUCCUGCGCUUCUACCCACUUGGGUUCGGUGCGUUCUCUAUAACUCUUGGGUUUAGCUUUUUACGCUUUGAGAAAAUGAUUAUAUAUAAAAAAUCAUCUGAAUUUUUAUGUGUAUUUGUGUAGGUGGGAGAAACUGAUGCCAAAGUGAGAUGGCACUCAGCGUUGGCCUCUGGGAAGUUUAACCCUUGCAAACCCACGGCUCAGUUUGCCUCCAACAAUGGACUGUGCUUUGGCAACCGGUUUGAGUCCACUGCUGCAGCCUCUGAUGCAUCGGCCGAGCCUCCCGCUGAGAGAUUCGAGUAUCAAGCUGAAGUAAUGUCAUUUCACCUGUUGGGUAUUUUUUAGAUUGAUUUUGAGGAUCAAUGGUUUUGAGAGUGUUGUUUUCUUCAUGGUUACAGGUCAAUCGCCUCAUGGACCUCAUUGUUAACAGCUUGUACAGUAACAAGGAGGUGUUUCUUAGAGAGCUUAUCAGGUACCUAUUUGGUAUAUCUGAUAUUAUGUAGUAUUGAUUGUCAUUUCUUUCCUAUUGGGUUACCUUGAGAGUCCGAAAAUUGCGAUUGGACAGGUGGAGCCUGAAUUGAUCAUACAUUGGAAUUUGAGUUAACAGUACUAAACACACAUUGGAAUUCAAGAAAUAGUUGUUGUGUUUGAUUUAGGUGGCACUAAGUUAUUUAGCGUAUGAUAUGUUGACAUUAUGAAUUUUUCUGCAGCAAUGCAAGUGAUGCCUUGGACAAGCUCAGGUUUCUCAGUGUUACGGAGCCUGAUCUUUUGAAGGGUGGAGGUGAUCUUGAUAUCCGUAUCCAGACUGAUAAAGACAAUGGGAUCAUACAUAUCAUGUAAGCUUAACUGGUUUUUACAGUAUUUUCUUUCCCUUAAUGAUUCUUCUUCACCAUAUCAAUGGUGUGGUCUUUCCCUUUGUGUGAAGUGAUUCUGGUAUUGGUAUGACUCGGCAAGAACUUGUUGACUGCCUGGGAACAAUUGCACAAAGUGGGACCGCAAAGUUCUCAAAGUUGUUGAAGGUAUAAUAAGUCUUUGAGAUAUUGUAAGUUAUUUGAAUUUGAGAUCCUGCAUUGAGGUAUUUUAUAUGCUUACAAAUUUGGUUUAUCAGGAUAGUAAAGAUGCGGGUGGUGACAACAAUUUGAUUGGUCAGUUUGGUGUUGGCUUUUACUCGGCAUUCCUUGUUGCUGAUCGGGUAAGUUCUUAACCAGAAAACUGUGAGCUCCUACGACUUUUAAUCCGUUGCUUUCUUCUUUCAGUCAAGUGGCUGAAUAUAUAAUAGUGUUGGGGUAGUCCUCCCACUCCCCAAGUUUCUGCCUACCCUUUCCAUUAAGAGUUGAAACUUGUGUAUAGAAAUAUCUGAACUGCUCGAUUGUUAUGCACCUCCUGUGGGUUGUAGGUUGUCGUCUCCACAAAGAGCCCAAAAUCUGACAAACAAUAUGUAUGGCAAGGAGAGGCAAAUGCUAGCUCGUAUACAAUUCAGGAGGAGACUGACCCUGAGAAGCUUAUUCCUAGAGGAACCCGCCUGAGCUUGUAUCUCAAGGUCAGUGUAAAACAUUUUUUAACUUAUGAAUAAAUAAAUAAAACCCUGUAUAAUUUGCCUAUGACUUUGAUCUCCAAGCUAAUUCUUUAUCUGUCUGGCUACUUUCAGCGUGAUGACAAAGGUUUUGCUGUUCCAGAACGGAUACAGAAGCUUGUGAAAAACUAUUCACAGUUUGUUUCUUUUCCUAUAUACACUUGGCAGGAAAAGGGGUACACUAAAGAGGUAAGAGUUUUUUCCCCAUCUUCUCAAUGCUUGUACUUUUGUCAUUGGUUUUGUAUGUUGUAUGUUCAGGGAAAUUAUUGGGGACGAUUUCAUUUCAGGUUGAGGUUGAUGAGGAUCCAGCUGAAUCCAAAAAGGAUGGAGAAAAUGAGAAAACCGAGGUACAAAAGAAAAAAACGAAGACUGUUGUUGAGAAAUACUGGGAUUGGGAGCUCACUAAUGAGACACAACCAAUAUGGGUGAGCCUUAACAGUUUCUUCUUUGUAUGUUUACUCUGCUUUUUAUGGCAGUAACUUUUUUAUGCUCACAUGAUUCCAAUUGAUAUGUACAGCUUCGCAAUCCUAAGGAAGUCACUACGGAGGACUACAAUGAGUUCUACAAGAAAACUUUUAAUGAAUACUUGGAUCCACUAGCAUCUUCGCAUUUCACAACAGAGGUAUUUUAUGACUAUUAAGAUCCUCAACAAAUGCCACUUGUAGUAGAAUUUUGAAGUAAAUGUUGCAUAUUUCUGUAUUAUCACAUGAUGUCUGCUUCUUGAGUUGGAUAAAAGUUGUGUGGAGUUGACAAUAACUAAGUUAACUAUGGGUUUUUUUGUUGUAGAAUUUUUAUAAUUGCAUAUUUGUGGUAUAGUGGCAACUAUCAUGAUGUCUUCUUAAGUUGGGUAACAAAUGGGUGUUAUCUAAAUUUGAAUGACAAUUGAAAAUACAGCAUUAGUGCCUGAAGUUAGGAUGAAAUGUGUAGUUCUGUUUGACAAUGUACUCGUACUUAAUUGCUCAUAUAUUCUGCUUUUAAGUUGAAGAGGUUGGUAUUUGCAGGGUGAAGUAGAAUUCAGGUCUAUUCUGUAUGUUCCAGCGGUUGCUCCUAGGGGGAAGGAUGACAUAGUCAACUCCAAGACAAAAAAUAUAAGCCUCUAUGUGAAAAGGGUGUUCAUUUCAGAUGAUUUUGAUGGAGAACUGGUAAACAAAAUAAAGACAUUUUUACAACAGAGUAAUGCAUGGUUCUCUUAAAUGGAAGCUUAUUGGUUCUAAUUGCUUUUACAUUCCCUUUUGAGUAGUUCCCUCGAUACUUGAGCUUCGUCAAAGGUGUUGUGGACUCAAAUGAUCUUCCACUCAAUGUUUCACGUGAAAUUCUUCAGGAGAGUCGUAUUGUAAGUACAUCUAGCACACUGUCGUUUUAACCUUUAGGUUCCAAUUAGUUUACUUUAAACAAACUGUUGUUUCUGUGAUCUACUUGAAGGUACGGAUUAUGAGGAAGCGCUUGGUUCGGAAGGCCUUUGAUAUGAUCCUGGGAAUAUCCAUGAGUGAGGACAGAGCAGUAUGUUUUUGCUUCUGUUUUCUUAUCAUCCUUUUUUGUUUGUAUGUUUUCAGUCUUGUGGAAUUAUGGUACAAAUUUCAACAUCUUGGCAAUUACUCCUCAGCCAUGUCUUGUUCCUGAGUCCUGUAGCUGUGACUCUGAAUCCUGAUGUUUUCCAACCCCUCUGCUGCUUGGGGUAGCGAAUGAUAUUGCCCCUCUACGUUCUUUAAAGAUAUCCUUUGUUGUUUAUUGCAGGAUUAUGAAAAGUUCUUCGAAAAUUUUGGAAAGCAUUUGAAACUGGGUUGCAUUGAAGAUCGUGAAAAUCAUAAGCGUAUUGCUCCAUUGCUUAGAUUUUUCUCUUCCCAAAGUGAGGAUGUGAUGAUCAGCUUGGAUGAAUAUCUUGAGAACAUGAAACCUGAGCAGAAGGGUAUCUAUUACAUUGCUUCUGAUAGUGUAGAAAGCGCAAGCAAUACACCAUUCCUGGAAAAACUUCUUGAGAAGAAUUUCGAAGUAUGUUUUGCCUCUCAAAUAAUUUGAUAUAUUUGAUUAUGCUGUUUUAUGUAUUUAUGGAUGAUUUUUGUUGUGCUAUUCUUGUAGGUGUUGUACUUAGUUGAUCCAAUUGAUGAGGUUGCCAUCCAGAACCUGGAAUCUUACAAGGAGAAGAAAUUCCUUGAUAUUAGCAAGGAAGAUCUGGAUUUAGGUUAGUUCAUUGGAGCCCUUUGAGUUGAUCCGAUUGACUUGACAUUCUUGCUUCUUUGAUUAUGUUUCCUUUGCUAAGGAAAUCUGAUAUGUAUGAAUGACCUUUCUGCAGGGGAUAAGAAUGAGGAAAAAGAAAAGGAGAUUAAGCAGGAAUAUGGCCAAACAUGUGAUUGGAUUAAGAAACGUUUGGGUGACAAAGUUGCCAGUGUUCAGAUUUCAAACCGUCUUAGCUCGUCACCCUGCGUUCUUGUAUCUGGGAAGUUUGGUUGGUCUGCCAACAUGGAGAGGUAGAGUCCCUCUGUUGCUGAAUACAUAUGUCAAGAAUUCAUAUUACAGAACCUGAUUGUUAUCCUCUAAACUUGUGAUUGGACGUUUCCAGGUUGAUGAAGGCACAAACUGUUGGUGAUACUUCUAGCCUUGAGUUUAUGAGAGGCAGGAGGGUGUUUGAGAUUAAUCCUGAGCACCCAAUCAUUCAAAACUUGAAUGUACGUUUGCACGGAGAAAGCUACUCUCCCCAACUCUCCCAAUCUUAGAAGACUAUGGUUUUAGAAAAUACAGUAACAUUUUAAUCCUGGUUUGCAGGCUGCAAGCAAGAUCAACCCGGAUGAUGAAGAUGCUAUUAGAGCUAUUGAUCUUUUGUAUGAUACAGCUUUGGUGUCUAGUGGUUUUACCGUGAGUAUUCAAGCUUGCUUCACAUCUCUUGUUAAAACUGCUCUUAGGAUUAUAUGAUCUAUAGCAACCAUUCUUCAUUGUAACUUGACCAUUAAGAAAUCCUAGGCCCUGAAAUGAAAAUGCACUUGACCUCGUGGUUUGGUGAAAAUGAGAAUUGCUUUUUUGGAUUUGAAGGUGCCACUAUUUGUUGGUUUGAGACACUAACGCUACAGACAAGUAUCACUCUCUAGGAAUCUGUUGUAGCCCAUGCUAAGGAUGAUGAUUUGCAUGCUUAUUUGAUCAAUGUUUGAUCUUCUUACACAUUCAACUUGUAUGUCUUGUUGAUGCAGCCUGAGAAUCCAGCACAGCUGGGUGGAAAGAUAUAUGAGAUGAUGGGUUUGGCUCUUUCUGGGAAAUGGUCUACACCUGUCGCCGAGGUUCAGCAACCAGGACGCCAACACCACAACCCAGAGACGUUAGAGGCUGAGGUUCAGCAUCCAGGAACCCCACAUCACAACACCAAGAUAUUAGAGGCUGAGGUGGUUGAGCCUGUUGAAGCUGGUACCCAGAAAUGAGGAGCAAGAGGCAUUUUUCCUUUUUGACACUAAAUUCUCUUUCUCAUGCACAAAAUUCAGUGGGUAGGUCUUUUAGUGGUGCAGUUGAUAAAUGUCUGGACAUGAGUGUUAGAUAUAUAUAUAUUUGAGGGAGCUGGUGACCAGAAAUAAGAGCACAAAGCAACUUUCAUUUUUUGGUACCAAAUUUUCUUACAAAAUUUCAGUGGUAGGGCUGGCUGGUGGUGUUCAUAUAUGGAGACGAGUGUUAUGAUAUAUUUGAUGGACGUAGGCUGUUUGGCUGAACUCUAUGGGAUUACUUAAUAAUCUUAUGGUUAUUUUGACUAAUUCCUUUCUCUUUAAUUUGUACUUGUUUUAGUUUGUCUUUUAUUUAACUAAUGUGCAGCAUCGGAUUGAUCUGCUAUAUUCACCCCAAGACUGCAGAUAUUAUUUCCAUAUGACAUCAUUUUAAAUUCCGAGCCUCUUUAUUUAGCAUCAGUGCAUUUAUACGCGUUUAGAAAAAUCUAAACUCUUUAAUUGAUCUAAUGGAAUUUAAUUAUUUCACAUCAGCACAAUUGUAUUAGAUUAAAAAGUCUCCUUUUGCACUGUAUCACUUACUCAUCUAUUCCCCCUUCUCUCCUGUAAUCGCAUCAUAAUUAUCAAAAGCUGGAAUUUGAUCCCCAGAUCAAUUCGACAUGGCUCAUACCAAUAAAUUAUCUUUUUUAAUGUAUUAAUUUUGACUUAAAUAUGAUAUAUGAAUUAGUUCUCAUAAAAAAAAAAAAAAAUGGCUCAGAAUCCUUAAAAAUUGGUUCUCAUAGAUAGUCUGAUUCUAAUUUGUUAAUGGUGCAGUUUGCAAGGAAUAUAAUGUGAAACUAAUAUUUAUUUUCAAAUUUGAUCAAUCAAAAUUAUUCAAGUAUUAAGUGAGAUAAAUGUUUCCUAAAAUAUAAUUUUAAUUUUCCAUGUAUGCUACGGCAUUUGGCAAAGAAACAUGUGCAAAAGUCAAGCAGGCCAAGCAGUGAAGUUACCAUUUUGACCUUGACAGUACAACGUGUCGUGAACGACGUGACUGGUCAGCAAAUAAAAAACAAUACAAGAAACGUGCUAAGCCAGUCAAUUCCAACCCAAGACCGGCUGAGCCGGUCACCCCCAACGUUAAAAGUCUUCACUUUCCCGGUAAAAACACCGUUGCCGUGUCCCAGGGGCAAAAUGGGAAAACCACCUCUUCAUAAAAAGUGAAUUAAACUUCCCAAUCUGUCUCCGCGUCUGCUCUCGUCUUCUCUACUGAGCUGAAUUUCUCUCGGGCUUCGUCUGGUAAGCACUCUCUCUCUCUCUCUCUCUCUCUCUCUCUCUCUCUCUCUCCCCUUCUCUCUUUGUUCCUUCUGUUUGGUCGCUGAGAAAAUCGUAGAAAAUGAAAGAAAUUUUGUUUAGUUGGCAUCGAAUUUGUUGCUGUUGAUCUAAGAAUUUAACGAAAAGUCCACACUGAACAAAGGCAAG